UUUUUUUUUUUCCAUAAUUUUCAUGGUCAAAUGAAAAUGCCUACUUAUUCUUUUUUCCUGCUUGGUUUUGUCCACCCCCACCCCACCCCUCUGCUACAACCCACCUCAAACUUCACAUGCAAUUUAAAGCCAUCAGAAUACUAACAUUAGGUUCAUUCAAACUUUUCUUCAAAUCUAUAUAGAGAGAAAGAAAAUUAAACAAAAUAUAGUUUGGCUAUGGGAAGUCUUGGAGAAAAGGAGCUGGAGAUCAUUAGUAAGAUUGCUCACACAUUAUUCUUCAGUUCAAAAAUUAAUCUUCCCUUCAGUUCAAAAUUUAAAGGUUUUCAUGUUAUAUAAUUACUUAUAACUAGUGUGCUUGUGAAGAAGCUAUUUUACACCUUUAGUUAGUGUAUAUAAUUAAAAUUGCUAAAGAAAAUAUAUAAGUCACAUACUGGGGGCAAUGCUUAUUGAAUAAAUGAAAUUUACUUGCAACUAUUUUGAAAAGGACACAAUUGUAUAUGUGACAUGUUUUUUACACCAUCAAAGCAUAUAUAGAACUUAAAGUACUCUAAAACGUACUAUAUAAAUUUGAAAAUACGCUAUAAGUGCUAUGUGCAUUUUUCUUUGCGUCCUUACUCAGAUCAUUUUGCUUAUUCACAGACCAAGAUCAAGAAACUGAUCCAGAAACGACGACGAUGGAUACACUAAUUGUUAUAACUGAACCAUUGACGACUCCAAAGGUUGUUUAUAAGUACCAGAAAUGGCUCGAAGUAGGCGUCCACGCCUUCGUUGUCCUGGCUAGCCAGACAGUUGCAACAAUACUUGCAAAGUUGUAUUACCAAAAAGGUGGUCACAGUAGCUGGUUGAUUUCACUUACUGAAACUGUUGGUUUUCCCAUUCUCCUAAUUCCUAUGAUCCUUUGGCCUGAUAAAAAAAAACCUACAUUAGAAGAGGGAAAUAGUAUUUGUGAUGACUCAAAGCCUCCUUCUAUAAUGGCCAAGUUAGUAAUCUAUAUAUUUCUUGGCUUUCUAGUUGGAGGAGGGUGCAGUUUGUUUUCAACUGGACUUUUGUAUCUCCCAGCCUCAACUGUUUCUCUUAUCUCCUCAAGUCAGUUAGUCUUCAACGUCUUGUUCUCUCUCUGCAUGAGACUAGUAAAACUUACGCCUCUCAUCGCGAAUUCUAUCGUCCUCAUCACCAUUUCCUCUGUUCUCCUAGCUUUACAAAACGAUGAAUCUUCAAGCAAAACAUCAUCGUCUAAGCACCAUUAUGCAGUUGGAUUUGUAUGCACGCUAACUGCUGCAGCUGGUUUCGGAUUACUAUUUUCCACUACAAAUCUCAUGUUAAAGAAAGUACUAAAAAAGAAGACGUUGAGAGAAAUCAUGGACGUUAUUAUUUGUCAGUCGUUUGUCGCGACGUGUCUAAUUUUGAUUGGUUUAUUCGUGAGUAAAGAGUGGAGGAAUUUGAAUUCAGAGAUGCAUAAUUUCGAGCUUGGGGAGUUGUCAUAUGUUAUGAUAUUAUUUUGGAUUAGUGUCUGUUGGCAGCUUUAUACUUAUAGUAUACUUGGGUUGAUUAUGAAGGUAUCUGCUGUAUUUGCAAAUGUGAUUGCUGCUUUGGGUGCACCGGUAAUCCCGAUUAUGUCAGUGAUUAUCUUUAAUGACGAGAUGAGAGGAGUGAAAGCAGUUUCAAUUGUUUUGUCUAUUUGGGGAUUCUCAUCAUAUGCUUAUCAGCAGUACCUUGAUGAGCAAAAGAACAAAGCUGGGGUUUUGAAAAAUUGUAAUGGAACAUCUGAAGAUCUUGGUAUUGAAAGUGGUUGACGUGCAAAGAAAAUUCUUCAUUGAUCUAGAGUCGGAUUUAGGAGCUUGAGUUUACGGGUUCUAAAUUUUAAUAAGUGUUGCAUGAGUAAUAUAUUCCUAUAGUGGAUUCUUAAGCUCAAAUACAUUGACUCUGUUGACUCCAUAGGUGAAGCUCUAGCUCCGCGCCCCUUUUACUUUUUAAGUAUAUGGAUCUUAAGUAUUUCUAUUAAAAGGAUAUUGCUUAUUGCUAUUAUUUUCUUUUUCUAAAUAUCAUAUGUUAACACGAGUUCCCAUUAUUGAAGAAUUAACUUUUGCCUUAAUUUCCUUGAAGAAUUAUCAGUCAAAUACUUUGAAUCAACAAUAUAUACCAGAUACAAACAAUAAAUAGAUUAAUGGAGAAAAGUGUGACCUUUUCCGUUUUUUCCCAAAAACAAGUGAGUUCAUGUUUUUCCCUUCAAAGUGGUGAUUAAAGUGAAGAAAUUCAUUGAAAAGUAUCUUCAUAUGGUGUCUUGCCAGACUAGUUGCAUGCAUAAAGUGGUGUAUUUCUCAUUAUGUAUGAAGAAUCAACUUUACAAAUCAAAAGUCAAGACCUUGUUGCAACUCCUUUAGUCAAAUUUUUUUAAUUAAUAUACUUUAAUUUCUAACUGAUUAAUAUAUAGUCAUAGGGGUAUACAUAGGUCGAGUUGCUUUGAUUUUGUAUUGAAUAAAAAUCAAAUCAACUAUGUCGGUUUAUUAAAAUUAUAAACCAAAUCAAACCAACAUAAAAUCGGUUUUUUCGGUUUAGGUUUUAGUCGGUUCUUUCGUUUUUUUCGGGUUUUCUUGUUUUUUUUUUACAAUCUUUAUUUUUUACAAUUAUAUUGUGAUUGAAGACUAGAUCAAGUAUGUUUUCACUCAUGUGCUAAUGAAAAAACUCAAUUAUGAAAAAUUGAGGAGCGAAAAACUCUUUUGAAACUAAAAAGUAAGACGAAGAGUGAAAAGUUUAGGUUUUAAGUUUAUAUUGGAUUUUGGAUCAUUUUAUUGACAAUUAAUGAACAAAUAUUACAACUUAAUAUAUAUAUAUAUACACACACACACCUACUUUCUAAAUAUUGAAAAUUAAUAAAACUAAUUGAAAAAGUAUUUAAGAAGUAGAUUAUAAUUAAUAUUUUAUGUAUAUAUUAUGUCGGUUUGAUCUUUUUGGAGUUAACAUCAAACCAAAUCAAGAAUGGUUGGUUUUUUUUUCAAACGUCAAACCAACCAAAUCAAACCAUAAGUCGAUUUUUUUUUUCGAUUUCAUUUGAUGGUUCGAUUUGAUUUGACUUGACGGUUUAAUCUGUAGACCUAUAUAGUCAUGCUAUGAUAUAACGUGAAGUUCCAAAACAGCAAAAAGGUAUCGAAUAUAUUAGGUAGAGUUUCCUUAGAAAUUUUUGUUUCCUUAUUAUUUAUUUACGUAAUUUAUUGAAACACAGAGUGUUUUUUUAUAUAAACGAACUUGAUUCUUCUCUUUUUACUGGAUUGCAUAUUUGCAUUAGAGGCCGCAAAGAAUUAUACAUGGGAUGCCCCCAUAUCGAGUAUAAUGCUUGUAUCAAUACCAUGAUAAAUAAUGGAGUGAAUAAUAAUAUGUCUUUAAAGCUUUUAAAUAAAUAAAAAAAUAUUUGUGCGUUAUAUUUUUUUAAAAAAAUAAUAAUAAUUAAUAUAAAUAUUUUAUCAUAGUAAUUAUAUUAAAUAUUAAUUUUAGAACUUAAGACAUAAUUUAAGGAAUAAAUAAUUAAUAUUAACAUAAAAUAUGGGAAAACCAUUUUUUCUUUAAAAUUAAUAAUCAAGACCAUGGUCCAUGUGUCAUCUCUUGGGGCCCGCUUGUUGUUGUUCGGCCCCACUUAUCCAAAUACACUUCCUAAUUGGAUAAUGCAAUGGAAAUAGCUUAUCCUCCGGACCUACACCAUAUUAUUUCCAUUUCUUUUAAGCAAAUACCCCGUGAGCCUCUAACUACAACUUCACGAUCCCCAUGUCAAUUCAAGUUUAUUUCACAUUAUUAUUGUAUCACAAUGAAAUAUGAAAUUAAGAAAAAAGUUGCAUCUUAAUUAUGCAAUUAUAUAUCUUAUAUAGAUAAUGGAGUACAAAUCCUGAUUUGGAUAAGAUAAAUAGAACCCGAAUUAUAUCUCUUUUAUUAUUCUGAUUAAACUAGCUUGAUGAAUUGUUUGAUUCAGAAUAAUCACAUAAUUACAAUAUGAAAUCUAUAGCUAACACCAUCAAUGAAAUACGGUACCUAAUCUUUCAAUCAAAGCACCUUUCAAUUUGGAGGGACAAAUUGUUAUCCUAGACCGUAACGCAGUGAAUCGUUUCUUUCCCAUAGUCCAGAUAUUUCCUCUCUUUUUCGCCACCGAGUCUGAAGAUAUGUGCACUUUUUUCAGAUUAAUAAAAAAAUAAAGAAAGAAGAUAUAUCAUAUAUGUGCCCCCAAAUAGUUCACACUUUUCAGUAGUCGUUAAUUCUAAGAAACGGUUAUUCCUUUCUCUCUUCUCUCUCUCUCUCUCCCUCUCUCUCCCUUCUUUCAUCUGAGAGUUUUUGUACUCCAUUGAUGGAGAUGAAGAUCUCCAACUGCUUACCGACGCAAAAAUGGUGUGGAAAUGGAGGAGUAGGAGGAGCGGUUUUUUGUAGACAAGUAAAUGUUCGAUUCUAUCCACGGCCAUCUCAACGCUUGCUUCCACCUUCAGGCAAAAUGCGCCAGCGCCGCAAUUUCAGGUACUUCAUUUCGGACUAGUGUAGAUUUUGAUAAGGAUCAGUUGAUUGCAUUUCGGAAAUACUUGAGCUGGUUUCGUUGAGUGAUUUGAGGUUUAUAUGUGAAAAAAAAUACUGAUUGUUGUUAUUUGUUGAAAAAAUUGAGUUGUUUAAUUAGGUAUUGGAGUUUUUGAUUAAUGGAGAGUCAGUUGCUUUCGUUGGAGUUGGUUUAUUGUUUUUCUGAGAUUUUGUGUUGUCGAAAAUGCUUCUAGUUUGUUUUUCCCUUCCUUUUUCGGUUUUUAAAUUAGGUUUAGGAGUUUAUUUGAAAUCCUUUCGGGAUGAGUAGUUGAGUAGGCAAAAUGCGCCAGCGCUGCAACUUCAGGUACUUCAGUUCAACGAGUGUAGAUUUUGAUACGGAUCAGUUGAUUGCAUUUCGGAAUACUUGAGCUGGUUCGUUGAGUGAUUUGAGGUUGAUAUGUGAAAAACUUGCUGAUUGUAGUUAAUUUUGAAAAAAAAUAAAAAUUGAGUUGUUUAAUUAGGUAUUGGAGUUUUUGAUUAAUGGAGAGUCAGUUGCUUUCGUUGGAGUUGGUUUAUUGUUUUCUGAUAUUUUGUGUUGUGAAAAUUGGAAAAUGCUUCUAGUUUUUUUUUCGGUUUUAGAUUAGGUUUAGGGUUUAUUUGAAAUCCUUUUGGGAUGAGCAGUGGAGUAGAUUUGAGUUACCGAGAAUCAUUUGCUUUAGUUUCUGUUAGCACGAGUUGGUUCUGUGAAUGGAGUAUUUGCACUUGUGGAGAAGUCAUUUGAGUUUUUGAAUUGUUAUAUAUUGUUUCAAAUGAGUAUCUGGAUAUUAUCAAUGAGAUGGAUUUGUCAUUGAGGCUCUGUAUGUUGAGCAGAGUUUCCGUUAAAAUGUGUUAUAAGUGAUUAACUUCUGGUUAAUGCGAUACAUGUCCAUUCUCAUAUUAUUAUUUGGAAAAUUACAUGGACUAUUACUUUGUUGUGCAUUAUGCUCUGUUUAAUUUCCCUUGAUUGGGUACGGAAUCAUUGUAGUGCUGAAUAGAGCAGGCCAAGGAUUUGAGUAUUCGAGAUUUUUUCUCUAGUUUAUCUCCUGAAAUAUUGAACAAAGACCUAUACGUCAUGGCUACAGCUUAGAACUAUGUUCCAUGGAGUAUAUAUUUAUGUUACAUCGUCUUUUAUGGAUAUUAAUUUGCUCAUAUCUGGGAAGUUCACUGGCGGAUGGAGAACAUUUGUGAUUGAAUAAGCUGCAAUUUAUUAUGUACUCUGGAACUCUACUUAAAUGGCUUGGUGAAAAAUGUAUUUCUAGAUGUCGAGUAGAUCAACAUAGUUAGAAACACAAAAUCAAUGUUCUUUUCUAUCUCCUGCUGCAGUAAUUGACUAUGCUUUGAAAUUUCCAGUUUGCAGAACAAGAGACAACAGACCAAGAAGAUAAAUACUGAACGGCCACCAAAUGUUGAUUUUCAGUCAAGUGAUGAUGUAGAAUCCAAUACUGAAAAUACGUCCAAACAAAGCCUAGAAAGUUCAGAUCAGGAAAGUUCAAUCAAAGAAAAUGUUGACACUUUGUCAGAAACCGAAAGUUCAGAUGAGAUUAGUUAUGUGGUAUGUUCUUUGAAAUAUUGGAAUAUGAGAUAUAUGUACUGGUAUGUAUGUUGAAUAAGGGUUUUCAGGUGUGUCAUCCAAAUUUCCCCUUUCAUUGAAUUCCCCAAGUGGAGAUUUUCACAAAUCCUGAACCCUAUAAAAGUUAUCUGAAAAUCUCAGGAAUGCAUCAAAGAGUGCCUUGAGGAGACAUACCCUUAUUUUGGCCAUUGACAAAUAACUAAGUGCCUGUCAUCAUUUGAACUAAAUUGUUGUACCUUGUGGUUUUUUGAUGGAUCAUACUCUAUAUUAUGAAGUAUGAAAUAUGUGCCAGUGAGUGCUUGCAUUAGAAAAACAUAGUUCCUAAUGUUUUCAUAUUUAAUAUCAACAUACAUGGCUUCAUAUGCACUAGAGUUAUAGUUUCUGUACACCUACUAAUACUGUAAGAAAAACGGAGUGCUAAUGGUUUAACUAAUAUUAAUAGAAUUGCCAAAAGUAAACCAAAUAAAGCUGAAUGCGCCUUCGAGGUGAGUAUGCAGGCGAGUAACUAUCUUUGACCUCCCUUUGCUUCUUCUCUUUUGUAAUCUACCAAUAGUCCCUUGCAGUUUCUAUGGACCCAUAAUAUCUAUGAUACCAUUUACAUAAGUAUGGAACUUGAUCUAUCAUCAGUGUUUAUGAACCUAACAACUUAGAGCAUCAAAUAACAUCCAGUUUAUUGCUGUGUUAGGAGCGAAAAGUAAGCAUCAACAGAGGUUUGAUGCAUGUCAUACAUCCUCAGAAAUAAGCUCCACCAAAUGGUCUUUGUUGUUUUGUUCCUUGCUAAUAAAGAAAUUAAAAAGAUUCUUGUUUCACAUCUACUCUUUAAUUAGUAAUGUCUUUAGCAAUUUUAUCUUUUGUUCAAUUUAUCCUAAUGGUGCAAAUUACUUGGGAUCAUAAAUUGAAUACCUCGUAAUUGAGACAGUCUGUCGACUCAAAUGAGGAGGGACAACCUUCAAGCGUUCAUCUUCAGGAUUUGAUUGACAUGAUAAGAAAUGCGGAAACGAGUAAGACAUUGUGGUUUUCACUCUUUAAGUUCACUUAAUUUUGCUAUUUUAUGGUUUUCUCCUUGGGAAAUUUGUGUGGAUUUCAUCAAAAUCGAAAGAUCAUUGUGUAACUUCGUUACCUUCUGAAUAAUAUCUGUAGAUAUUCAUCUACUCAAUGAAGCUCGUGUCCAUGCAUUAGAAGAUCUUCAAAAAGUUCUUGGAGAGAAAGAGGAUUUGCAUGGGGAGAUCAACAUUUUAGAAAUGAAGCUGGCAGAAACUGAUGCACGGCUCAGAGUUGCUGCCCAAGAAAAAAUACACGUGGAACUUCUAGAAGACCAAUUGGAAAAGCUGAAAAAUGAAUUGUCUAACAGCAGAGGUGAUGAGGAAAAUGUGCUUCAUGUGAAUAAUUCAAUUCCUCUUUCACAUAGUGAUUCUGUUAAUUCACUGAGUGAGGAACUUGAUUCGUUAAGGAAAGAAAAUAUAUUAUUAAAGCAAGAUCUUCAAGCGAUGAAGUCAGAGCUUAGUUUAGUCAAGGAAACAGAUGACUACAUCUUAAUGCUAGAGAAAGAACGAUCAGUUCUUGAAUCUUCUUUAAGUGAGUUGGAAUCUAAACUGGUUGCAUCUCAGGAAGAUGUUUCAGAGCUCUCUGCCUUGAAAUUGGAGUGCAAAAAUUUGUAUGAAAAAGUGGAACACUUACAAUUGUUGCUAGCUAAGGCAACCAAACAAGCAGAUCAAGCAAUAUCAGUGCUACAGCAAAACCAAGAGCUGCGGAAAAAGGUUGACAAGCUUGAAGAGUCUCUUGAAGAGGCUAGCAUCUAUAAGCUUUCGUCUGAAAAGUUACAGCAGUAUAAUGAACAAAUGCAGCAAAAGAUAAAACUUCUUGAUGAACGCCUUCAGAGGUCUGAUGAAGAGAUACAAUCUUAUGUCCAGCUGUAUCAGGAUUCUGUCAAGGAGUUUCAAGAUACACUUGAUAAUUUGAAAAAGGAAUCCAAAAAAAAAUUUCUAGAUGAAGUUGUAAACGAUAUGCCUUGGGAAUUUUGGAGUCGGUUGUUGUUGAUGAUCGAAGGUUGGUUUAUGGAAAAGAAAAUCUCAAAGGAUGAUGCAAAGUUGUUAAGAGAACUGGUCUGGAAGAGAGAUGGACGUAUCUGUGAUGCAUAUAUGUCAUGCAAGGAAAAGAAUGAUCGUGAAAUUAUGGCGGCAUUUCUUAGAUUUACUUCAUCACCAACACGGUAUGUCUGGUUUCAAAAAUUCGUAACCGGAUAUUCCUAGUUUAAGGAUAUAACUUGCAGUUUCUUUUCUGGUGAACCAAUAGUCCAGGACUGCAUAUCAUCCAUAUUGCAGCCGAGAUGGCGCCAGUUGCAAAGGUAUAAUGCUCACCUCUGUGAAUUGCAGUCCCCUCUAUUAGAUGAAGAUGAUGAAACUUUCUCUACGGAGGAAAAUGUUAUCCAUGCAGAAUAUUUUCUAAGAAAACAAGUGGUUUUUUUAUUUAAUUUCCUGUGUUCGGUAUGCAAGUAAAAAAUGUUAUCCUAAAAACAUUUGUAUAAAUCUAAUACAAAAUUAUAAGGAUGGGUAGGGGUAGGGUGAUGGAUGUUGUGGUGGGGGUGAGGGAGGGGAGUGGGAUGGAGAGGGUAGGGGGUUGUUAGGGGUUUGGAGGGUGGGAUAGGAGGAGACAAUGCCACUUGUUUUCUCUACUUUCAUUAAGGAAGUCAUUUUCCUUAUUUCCAACAAGCUUGUUUUCCUAAAGAAAAUAUUUUCUAGAAUUUUUAACCAAGCGAACAUGAUGAAAUAGGAAAACAUUUUUUUCUGGAAAAUGUUUUCCUCCAUACCAAACACACCCUUAACCUGUAUUUAUUUGUGUAAUAUGCUCUUCAGAAUGCAUUAUUGAAUUGUAUGUUCUGUAUUUAGGAGUUGUUCUCUCCUUACAUCGAUGUACAAAGGGAGAAAGGAGAAGUUAAUAAAAGUAAUUCAAUAAUAGUACCUAGAUUUAAAUAUGAAGGCAAUUAACAUGAGUUGGUUAUAAAUCAUCUUUAGCGUAAGUCCAUAUAACUCUAGGUUAGACCAGAAUCACAUAUGCAGGGGCAGAUAUAGGGGAAGGAUUACCCUUUAUAUAUAAGAUAGAUUUUCUGUGUUUAUGUACAUAUAUAAAUUUUGAAUCCCCUAAACGACAUGCAAAAGGUUAGCUCAGCGGUCCAAGGCAUUCAAAAUGCACCCAAUGUCCAAGGUUUGAUUUCCCUCCUUGAUCCGCCACUGCACAUAUGCACCUAGUCUAUUAAAAAGUUAUCUUCCCUUCAUCUGUGCAUUUUGAAGUUUCCUGGUGGUUGGUGCUAAUGUUUGUUUGGUAAAGUGUAUACUUACCUUUUCUCAAAAAAAAAAAAAACUUUGUUUGGUACAAAUAUAGCAAAGUAGGCUGCAAAUGAUCGCUGGUCACGGAGCCAGUAUUUCUACUGUUGGGAUGUUGUGUCUUUCCUUUAUUUGUUCUUUGUUCUUUGUUAGUCCGUUAUGCCCUCUGCAAGUUGCAUGUUCUGUUGAAAGAUACUAAUAUAUUUAGUAAGCAAUCCCUACAAACUAUUCUAGCUAAAAAUGAUUAUUGCUCUCAAGAACAAUGUUUUGGUAAAUUAAGCAACAACUAUGUAAUUAUAUACUUAAAAAUUAGGCAACAACUGUAUUGGAGGCGUUUCAAAUGUUUCAAUAUAUCUAAAAGGUAUUUCUUAAUUGUCUCAUAGGUAGGUGGUUUAGGGGAUGUGGUGACAGGUCUUGGCAAGGCUCUGCAGAAGAAAGGUCACCUUGUGGAAAUUGUUCUUCCUAAAUAUGAUUGUAUGCAGUACGAGUCAAUUAAGGACAUGAAGGUAUGCUUAAAAGUUGACAUUUCCAUCAUCACCUUAAUAGCCAGUUUGUGUUAUAAUUUCAGAUCACGUAAAUGGUUAUGCUUUUCCAGGUCUUAGAUGUGGUGGUUGAGUCAUACUUUGAUGGUCGGUUAUACAAAAAUAAGAUCUGGACGGGCACUGUUGAAGGUCGAGUAUUUACGGUCCACAAGGAUCCAUUUCUUUGUUACUCCUUUUGCCUUUAGGUUUGGCUAUAUCAUAUGUCUUUGAUUUCAGGCCUUCCGGUUUAUUUUAUUGAGCCUCAGCAUCCUGGUAAAUUUUUCGGGAGAGAAAAACUUUAUGGGGAGCACGAUGAUUUCAAACGAUUUUCAUUCUUUAGCAGGGUGGCACUUGAACUACUACUUCAGGCUGAAAAGAGACCAGAUAUAAUUCACUGCCAUGAUUGGCAAACAGCUUUUGUUGUAAGAUUGAUUGCGACUUCUCUUUACCUUUUAGAUCCUUUUUUUCCGUACAUUCAGGAUUCUAUUAUUUCAUGAAGGCACCACUUUAUUGGGAAAUAUAUGUGCCAAAAGGAUUGAACUCAGCCAGGAUGUGUUUUACAUGCCAUAAUUUUGAGUAUCAAGGGACUGCGCCAGCAUCAGAAUUAACAUCUUGUGGUCUUGAUGCUUAUCACUUGAACAGACCAGAUAGGAUGCAGGACAAUUCAGCAAAUGAUAGAAUAAAUCCCGUUAAGGUAUCAAGAUAUCUGUUGAUAAGUUAUCAUAUUAGUUGCUCCUCUAUUUUUGUGUCGACUUUUUUAAUACGUUGUCGAUGUGGUUCUUUCUUGUUCCAGGGUGCAAUUGUGUUUUCUAACAUUGUUACCACAGUUUCACCAACUUAUUCUCAAGAGGUUCGCUCUGCUCAGGUAUUAAUUUCACUUCCCUAAGCACCUUCUCUCACAUCUGUUUUCAUGCAGUAUCCAGUCAUUUUUCUUAAUCUUAUACUUAAGUAAUUGGUUUCUCUAGUGGGCCACGAUAGGUUUUGUUUGAAAUGCAACUUAAAUGAGACCUUUGAACUAUAGUUUCUGCAGGCCUGAGAUGACCUGUUGCCAUCUUCAUAAAUAAAUAAAAACUUCUAUUGUUGCCAAAGAGUCGAGAAAUAUAUCUCUUUCCUUCUUCAAUAUUCUUUUCCUUGUCUUUCUUUCUGGUCUUAAAGAUGCUGAAUAUCCCCCUGUUGACUUCAAGGAUUGGUAUGAAAUCUAACGUCUUCUAUAAACAAGUGGUGAGAGACAUCCUUGAUUUUGUAGAAGGUCCAAUGAUCAUGUCUUUGGGUCUUCAUCAACGAUUUAUGGUUAGCCAUAUGGUCAAUAUAUUUUCAAGAUGGUAUGCAUACUACUUUUGGCAGAAACUUUAGAAGACCUUGAACUUAUUGGUGGUACACCUGAUAAAGCUUAUUCGAGAUUUGAGAAGUCCAAAGGUGGUUUGGCAAAAGGAUUAAGUUCUCUUCAAAAAUUGAGUGCGCUUUCAUUUGAGUUCUUACUUAGUUUCAUCUGGUACAUGAUGAUCGUUAAGUCUGUAGAUGAUAUUAAUUACUUAUGCAUGUUUCAAGUAAAUAAUCCCCUCCUACUAGGUGAGGAAAAAGGUUUCUUUGACAACCUGAUAUCAUGUUUAGACAACCCUUUACACCUUGCGUGAUGAAUUUCUGCCUCAGAGUCAAUUUUCAUUGGUGACGUACAGGGAGGAAAAGGACUUCAUGCAACAAUUAACUCCCAUUCUAAGAAGUUUGCUGGAAUUCUGAAUGGAAUUGAUACUGAUGCUUGGAAUCCUGCUUCUGAUAAUUUUCUUAAGGUCCAAUACAGUGCCAGUGACAUAGAUGGAAAAAUAGAAAAUAAAGAAGCUUUAAGAAGACUUCUAGGGCUCUCUUCUUCUGACUUUAGACAACCAUUGGUAAGAAUUUCCUUUGUUUAUACUAUUAAGCUAUGAUUAUGAUGUCAGUAUUACACUUCCAUAACAGCACAAUGCUUUAGUUAGCUUAUGACUAACCUUUUAUGAGAUUCAAUACAAAAAUUAUUACUUCCUCUUUCUCAUUUUAUGUGAAGGUAUUUGACUAAACUGAGUUUUAACAAACAAAGAAGACUUUUGACCUGUAGUUCAAAUAUAUGCGGAAGUGUCAAUAUUACCCUUUUAAAUCUGUAAUGGAGAGAGUUCCACAUGUCCUUUUAUUUUACGUCAAGUGGGUCCCAACAAGUCAUGUCAUUUCGGGUAAAAUGUGAUUCUAAGAUUAAAUAGUUUCCAAAAAGAGUUUGUCAUCCUUUUCCGGAAAAACUAAAAAGGAAGGUGUGUCACAUAAAAUGGGAACAGAGGGAGCAAUUACUAGCUAUAGCAUAACUCUUUGCAUUCCAAUGGAAUUCAGGGACUCCAAGUUUGGAUUUGGUGGCAAAAAAUGUUUUACAGAGGCGAGUACUGCUGAAACUACCAUUGGUUUCAGAAGAUCCCACUAGUGUGAAUUUUCUGUAGAAAAAAGAAAAAGAAAAAGAAAUGCACCAAGUGAUGACUCUGUAUAUUACUAACUGAGUCCAUGAACAAGAUUGUAAAGAGAGUCAAGAUUAAGUUCUAUGACUAAAUUUAGCUGGAAAUCCUGAGCCUAACCUUAAAAUCUGACUAUGAAUUCUCUAGAGUUGCAAAGCAUGCUGGUGGGUCUUCCUAAUCAUUUGUAUCCAUGUGUGUCUCAUUUAGUUUCAUUGUAUCUUGCAUAGUUUAUUAUCCUUCUCUCAAGGUAAUCUUGUCCACUCCGUUAGUUAACAUGGGAUAUAUCUUAUCAAAGUUAACUCGAGAAACAUUUCAUUUCAGAUAAUAUUCUUUUGAAUCUAGUCUAAAUCGAAAAUGUUGGAACGUCAUGAGUUAUGACAGUUCUGAUGUUUUAGGUUGGAUCAAUCAGCCCACUGCUAUUAUUCUAUCUUUAAUAAUAUAUGGAUGACAUUAUGACAAUGUUAUGUUGUCACUACUCAUUUUAUUGUACCAAUUGACCUUUCUUGGCAUCCACAUUCUUAUAUUACAAAUUCUGAUGUAAAUGUACUCACUGCUUAUAACCGAAGUUGAAAAGUAGAGACACCAAAAAAGACAUGGCGUACAGUAUGUUAAAAUUUUCAAACAUUCACAAUGCUACCAAAAAAAAUUUCAAACACGAUAUCGGAGGAUUAAUAGCCAAUGAUUUAAGAAAAGCAUCAGUUGGGUGGAUAUACUAAUUGACAUUCCAUUAUAAGUUGCUGUGCUUAUUUUUUCCUUUUGGAUAAAGACUUCCAUAUCACUUGCAUAUUUUAACCUAAGAUUGCUUGGUAACAGGUUGGUUGCAUAACAAGACUGGUUCCUCAAAAGGGUGUACAUCUUAUUAGACAUGCCAUAUAUAGGACUUUGGAGUUGGGAGGUCAAUUUGUUCUUCUUGGUUCUAGCCCAGUGCCACAUAUUCAGGUAAUGAUUUCCUUCCCGUAUGCUAUAUGAAAAUACUAUCAUAUAUUGUCUUAAUGAUGAUAUCAAAGUGAUAUAUUUAGCUGAUUUUUGCACACAGAUAAGCCUCUUUAGCUCAAGCUUCUAAAUUUGUUUAUCAAUAAAAUGAGAAAUACGGAAGAAGAAAAGGAAGGUUCUACAUUCCAGUUUUGUCAUUACGAAUUCUUCACACCUUUGUUGGGUUUUCAAUUUUAUAUGUUGGAUCUUCUAGUUGGGGGUACAUGAGAAUGAACAAUUCAGUAACCGAAUCUUUCAGUCUAGUAGUUCAGGCUUUUUGUUUCUGUGCUACUCAACUCAGAAAUCCAUCCUUUACAGAGACAUCCGAAACUUGGAAACCCCAUAGCACCUUUUUCUGAUGAUUCAAGAAUGAAUUGGUAUCAGUCGGAGUUAUAUUCCUUGUAAAAGGUUGGCUUGUCCUUUCUUUGAGAUAUGGUGUCUUAUGCUAAGGUUUAGGGGUGGUGGUUUCUUUAAGUUUCUUUAAGGUUAGAGGCAUUCUUUAUAUUGGUACUUAAACUUAUACUAAUUGAAGCUUGAUUUUAAUUCUUAUGGCCCCUAAGAUGAAGAUGCUUGUGUUUUCUUAGAUUUUCCUAUAGUGGCUUCUCCUUCCAUUGUUAAUCAUGGGAAAAUAAUAAAACCAUAUAUGAUGGAAAUCUAAUGCUUCGCUGUCAGAUAUUUUUGGCUGAACUUUAACAUGUUAUAUCUUCUCUUUUUUUUCCAUGUCUAUUUCUUAUCAAACCAUUCAUGUGAACUUGUCUGCACUUUGCUGUGGACUCCACUUCUCCACUGUUUGCUCUACCCCUAGCGCUUCCUAGUAUAAUGUUUGGAGCUUUGUCAACUCAUGCAUCAAUGUUGGUGCAGAGGGAGUUUGAAGACAUUGGAAACCAUUUCCAAAAUCAUGAACAUGCUCGGUUGGUAUUGAAGUAUGAUGAGGCUCUUUCCCAUUUGAUUUAUGCAGCAUCUGACAUGCUUAUCAUCCCUUCCAUCUUUGAGCCUUGCGGCCUUACUCAGGUCAUUCCACAAUUGCUGGAACGAUUUCUAUUAAAUCAAGAACCUGUAGAAUAACUCGAUAUUUUUAGGUUCUAGUGUUCAUCUGCAUUUCAUUUGUGCAGAUGAUAGCGAUGCGAUAUGGGUCAAUACCAAUAGCUAGGAAAACAGGGGGCUUGAAUGAUAGGUUCGUCAAUGCGGAACAGCAGGACUUCUUUAUUAGUCAGCAGUCAUGGUUAUCCUGUUUCAUAUUUAUUUAUUGAUCAUUCAAAUGUGUUUGCAGCGUUUUUGAUGUUGAUGAUGACACAAUCCCAGUUCAGUUUAGAAAUGGAUUUACAUUUGUGACUGCUGAUGAACAGGUAUCCGAAAUUUAAUAGCUAAGAGCCUAUACAUUAGUAAAAAGUUAUCCAAGUCACAAUUCUGGUUCAGUUUUGCAGUCUUUUAGCAAAUUAUUACUGUUCGGAAUCUGCAUCAAGCAUUGUUCUUUAUAUCCAGCACCUGGCAUUAUUUUUAAAUGAUGCAUACAAAGUUUGAUGUUGCACUAUUCCAUGACCAGGGAUUCAACGCCGCCUUGGAACGUGCAUUUAACUAUUACAAGAACAAUGCCGACACUUGGAAAGAGCUUGUUCAGAAGGACAUGAGCAUAGAUUUUAGUUGGGAUUCAUCAGCAUCGCAAUAUGAGGAACUUUACGAGAAGGCUGUGUUGAGAGCAAGAACUGCAAGUCGUAGUUGACCUCAUUUUGAUCACAAUUUGUUAAUUCAUUGAUCUAGUAUUCUAGUUAGCUGCUUGCCUAUAUGCCGUCAUUGUGAGGGAAUGACAUCCAUUCGAGGAUAACAAAGCGAGCACCCACUUGACUGAACAUUGUGAUUUCAUAGUCAGUAUAAUGCAUGUUCAACAUCGGAUCAAAGGUGAAACGCAGAAUUGGCAUACCAUCUGCGAAGCUUUUCCGUACGAAAAUGAGCAACUCAGUUUUGUAAAUUUGUGUAAAAACUUUAUGUUAUUACUUGUUAGUACAAUGUAUUCUUUUGGCCCAAAUAUGUUGUAAAUACUUUUCGUACUGCUUAAAGCUAGAAUAUAGACAGUGUAGUGAACUUUUUUACGUACGUGGGGAUCCUUUAUGGAUUAUAAAGACAUUCAAUAAGCUGCUCUAGCUGUAAAUUCAACCUUAAGCUUUCAAAAUAGAUUUACAGUUCGUCUAGUUACUCACAUGUGCAGGGGUACCUUUUUUUCUUUUUCUUUUUUCGUAUAAUUUUGUUAGUGCUUACAUCAUGGGUGUGGACUAUGGAAAAUGGAACUCAUUACAGAACAGUCAUUCAAACACAACCAAAAUUUCAUUAUAUUGUCUGGUAGCACACAACAGCUUUACAAAAGAAUGUUUUAAGGUUUUCAUUUUCCAGGGACAAAGUUUGUGGCGUAGGCCCAGGCGUUGUUGUUAACUGGGUCUGCAAGGUGGUCAGCAAGGUUCUCCAAUGGACCCUUUCCAGUAACAAUGGCUUGGACAAAGAAUCCAAACAUAGAGAACAUAGCAAGUCUACCGUUCUUAAUCUCCUUUACCUUGAGCUCAGCAAAUGCCUCUGGAUCAUCAGCAAGACCUAAUGGGUCAAAGCUGCCACCGGGAUAGAGUGGGUCGACAACCUCGCCAAGAGGCCCACCAGCAAUACGGUAUCCCUCAACGGCUCCCAUCAAGACAACUUGGCAAGCCCAGAUGGCCAAGAUGCUCUGUGCAUGGACCAAACUUGGGUUGCCCAAGUAGUCAAGUCCACCCUCGCUGAAGAUCUGAGAUCCAGCCUUGAACCACACAGCCUCACCAAACUUGACACCAUUACGGGCCAAGAGCUCGGGGAAAACACAUCCAAGAGCACCAAGCAUAGCCCAUCUGCAGUGGAUCACCUCGAGUUCACGGUUCUUGGCAAAGGUUUCUGGGUCUGCUGAAAGUCCAGCAGUGUCCCACCCGUAGUCACCAGGGAAUUCACCGGUCAAGUAGCUUGGGGCCUCACCGGAGAAUGGGCCCAAAUACUUAACACGGUCUGGGCCAUACCAUGGGCUGCCAGAUGAGGCAGGCUUGGAGGCAGCCUUUCUCAUGGAGAUCCUUCCAUUUCCAGAGAUUUCUGAGGCAGAGGGUGAGAGUUUCACUGCCUGUCCAGCAAAAGAAGGGGAAGAAAGAGCCAUUGUAGAAGCUGCCAUGGCUUAUCAAGAGAAAAGUGAGUGUUUGAUGGUAUGAAAUAUUGUUGAAUUUGGCUGUGAUGAAACUGAAGUCAGCUGGGUUUCAGAAUAUAUAGCAAGUAAGAGGAAAAGGGUCCUUAUCUAGUGAUAUCUAUAUCUAUGAUCUCAUUGGGUAUCAAGAUUACUCUUCACUCACACUUGGCAGUCUUAAAUCCAUCAACUUUUCCAAGAUUUUUACAAGGGGGACCCAACCAAUGUUGUCCGCCCAUGUGUGGUUACAAGGAUUGCACUCUAUCUUGUGAACUUACAAUAUGAAUACGAUGCCUUCCCAUUGGACACCUAAGCUCGCCAGAUUUCUGUCCACCAGCAGGAUAAAAGACUCCUACUGUCUCUACAGCUAGCUCGUUCAAUGUAGGACCACACGAUAUUUUUCAUACAUCUAUUGUCCCUGGUUUUAGAGUUUAGUAUUUAGCUAAAUAAGAGAAGGGACAAAAUGAGAUUUAUUAUUAUUUGAAUUAUAAAUUAUGGGAAAUUAAAUUGCAUGCUUAAUUAUAGUUGCAAAAAAGCAAUGAGAUAAUUAACUGGUAACAUUUUGCUUCUUUACUAGUGAGUGAAAAAGGGAAAGAAAAUACAAUUAAAGAAAAUGGGAAGAACUCGGUGAUUAUAGUUGGCAUAAUUCUGGCUAUAGAUAAGAUUUUUUAAAACAUAGAUCCAUGUAUAUAUAUUUGUUAGUUUAUCUCAUGGUCAUGGAGAGGCAUUGUGUUCAACAGUUCAACUAUUUUCUGGCCAUGCUCAUGUAGUUAUUGCACUAAUCCACUACCAUAGGCUAGAAUUUUCAAGGCUUUGGCAUAAAAAUCUGCAGAGUUUUUCGAACGAGAAAUUAAGGUAAUUUAUGAGGCUGCAAACAAUAUCUGUUUGUUGUUAUUGUCCGUAUGUGCGCGUUUAUAUAGCUCAGAUAUUGUUCAUGUGUUUAAAGAAUGAAUAUAAGCUGAUCUGGUCUUCAAAUUCAAGUUUUAAGUUUUUAAUUAGUAAAAGCAAGCGGAUUCACGUGUAAAAUUUGGGGUUGUCCGUACACCUGUUUACUUCGUGAAAGUAUACUUAGUUCAAGUCCAACAAACCACAAAAUGAAUUAUGUUAUGAUUCUAGUUUAGUUUAUAUUUAUUAAGAUAUGGCGAAGCACGGAAGCAGUAUGUGGGCAACACUGCUUCGACAAACACGCAUUCGGCAUCCGCCUCUAGUGGUGCUAUCAUCUUCGAAUCCUGAAUUCACUUCAGACAAAGAUUCAUCCAUUAGCAUCUUUUUAGCUUUAUGACACCUGUCCUUUUAAUAGAGUUAGUAUAGAUUUAAUUAAAAUACCCUCUAAAGCAUGAUUAAGACACAAAAUUAUCACAACAACUAAAAUGUUGCUAGAUUUUUAAUCAGAUUGACAAAUAAAGGGAAGAGGAUUAAAAAUGCCUCUCUACUUUGAUAAGCUGAUUAAAUUUAUCUCUCUUUGUAUUAUUGGAUCAAAUAUAUUCCCGUUGUUAUAUUAUAGGAUAAAAUAUACCCUGUCAUUAGCAAAGUUAUCAAGAAUAUUUUUUUUUUAACAGUUCUCCACCAUGGCAAAGUGAGAGCCCCGUGUCAUCAAAUGGAUGCCACGAGAUAUGCCACCUUAACAUUUUUUUUUCCUUUUUCCUUUUAAAUUUUUUGCUUCAAAUUUUAUUAAUUAUUUUUAAAAAAAUGAUAAUUUAAAUACUCACAUAUUUUAUUUAUUUAAAAUAAAAUAACUGUAAUUAUUAAUAAAUGUUGCUAUCUCUCUUCACCAACAGAAGAGAACCACCACCAAAGGCGGCCGAAGGAAAGGAUGUUCCACAUAUCGAAAUGUAAAGAGCAAAAGCGGCAAAUUUAAAAAUUGAGGUGUUGGAAAAGGUGGUGGAUUUUGAAAAGUCCGACGAAGAGGUGUCGAAAUGGGGGUUAAGGUUUGCAAAAUGCUAAGAACAGUUAACACUGCCAUGAAUAUUUUACUACUAGUGAUAGUUAUUAGUCUUUAUUCGUGUGUGUUAAAUACUUACAUAUUUUAUUUGUUUUAAAAAUUUGAUAAAUUAAAUAACUAAGUAAAUAAAAUUUAAAGCAAAAAUUAAAAUGAAGAAAGAAAAACAUUUGAUGUUGUGGUGGCAUGCCACGUGAUAUACACCUCAUCUAAAUGUCAGGUCACAUGGCUCAUACUUUGUCAUGGUGGAGAAGUGUUAAAAAAAAAAUUAAUAACUUGAGAAAAUUAGGUGGGAAGUGACAAAAAAGUCGUUAAAUUAAAAAUGAUGAUAACUUUGACCAACUAAGGUUGAAGCUUCAUUUAAAUUCUGAUUAAGUUAAUUGGAGCGUAAUUUUUAAAAACUUUUUAAUUUUUUUAAAAGGGUAACUUACAUAAAUCCCUGAAUCUUUAAGUGAUAUUACAUAAAAUCUCGAUUAUUUUGCUAAUUACAUCUUAUCUCGAAUUUUUGAAAUGGUGAUACAUAUAUUAAGUGGUGAUACAUAUAAAAAAAGUGAUACAUAUGAAAUAGAUCAGUUCUUUAUUUAAGGAAGUAACGGAUUUUCUCUGAUUUCAACAAUGCAAAUCACGACAAAACUGUUACAAGCGCUAAAAACGCAAUUACAUUCAACAAGAGCUCAAAAUUGAAGCAAACCAAUAUUUUUUAAAGCAUACCGGAUUAUAAGGUCAAUUUUUUUGAAUUUUGGGGAAAAAAUCGAUCGUCUUUCUAAAAUUUCUGAUUAUUUUCAAUGGAACUCGUGACAGUGUUGUUGCGUCAUUCCGAAAAAUGAGUUUCAAAAAUAAGGUACGAUAACUAUCGAGUCAAUGGUAUUGUAAUUCAUGAAAAAAUAUCGUACCACGAUUUAAUGGACGUCAUAUCAAUUCAAUUGAAAAUUAACGUAUCUCUGAAAAGAAUUCAUGUCAAAUACGUUGUUCAGGACAAUUUAUCAGCAUUGGAGAUUCAUAAUGAUAUGGUUGUGAAACUUUUUUUCAGAUUUUAAAAGCUGAAACUAUAUUCGGGAAGUAUCCAUUGUGUAUUACAACGAGUGAUAUCGUAACUGACCAUGAUGAUUUUGACGCGGAUGAUAUGACAAUUGAGUGUUAUGAUUUUGUUGAGCCGUCUGAACUUGCAGUAGUUGUAAUUGGUAACGUUGAAUCCCUGCCAGUUGUGAAUAUGGGUGGUGAAGAACUAAUAAGUGAUUGCUACAACAGUGUUGUAAAGGUGAACUAAAAGUAUAAAAACAAAGCUACACUUGUCUUGGUAAUGCGUAACUAUGCAAUCAAGCACAGGUUCAAGUUCAAAGCUGAGAGAUCUAACAAGCAAAGGAUUGAUUUUAAUUUUUUAACGAUAAUUUCUGAUUUAUUUCGCAAUUUGAUACAUUCGGAAUUUGUAGUGAUACAUUUGCAUAAUAGUUAAUUGAUGAUUCAUAUAAUUGGUGAUUAACUAAUGAUUCAUUCCAUCUAAGGAUUCAUAUGUCAACGAAACUGGUGAUUAAUUGGUGAUUCAUAUAUCCGGUGAUUCAUAUAACUGGUUAUUCAUAUUAGUAAUGCAUAUAACCGGUGUUUCAUAUAAUUGGUGAUUCAAAUAACUGGUUCAUGUAAUUGGUGAUUCACAUUCGUGAUGCAUAUAAAUGGUGUUUCAUAUAAUUGGUGAUUCAUAUAACUGAUUUAUAUAACUGGUGAUUCAUAUAUGUGAUGAAUAUAACUUGUGAUUUAUAUUGGUGAUGCAUAUAAAUGGUGUUUCAUAUAACUGAUUCUUAUAACUGGUUAUUCAUAUUGGUGAUGCAUAUAACUGGUUAUUCACAUGUUAAAUGGCUUAAAUUUUGAUAUAACUGGUGAUUCAUAUGGUAUUUGCUGAUUCAUAUAAAAAUCGAUUAACGUAACUUUAUAUUGGUGAUAUAUUUUUUGGCAUUUAUUUCAGUUAUGUCUUGCUGUGCAAAUCUCCGGAAUGUUGUUGGUUAUUCAAGGCAUCCUAUAAGCUUAGUACUGAUACAUUCAUAGUACGUACGUUCAACGAUGAACACACUUGUCCCAUAAUGGGUAGAGUUUUUGAGCAACAACAUGUAACAAUUGCUUUUUUAGAGGGAAUAACAGCUCCAAAGUUGGUGAAUCACAAAAGAAUAAUCACCCCAAGUGACAUUAUUGAAGAUAUUAAAAGGGAACUUGCUUUGAACAUAGAUUACAUGAAGGCGUGGUGUGCUAAAGAACGUGCUUUAAGGAUAUUGAGAGGGCGACCAGCUGACGGAUAUAAGAAAAUGCCUACCUACGUAUACAUGUUAAAUUCUGUUUAUCCAAAUUCAAAUAUAAGGAUGCAUAAGUCUUCGGAUAAUUGAUUCAUGUAUUUAUUCGUAGCACUGCAUUCUUUUAUUAGGGGAUAUGGUUAUUGUAGGCUUGUUGUGGUAGUAGACGGUAGUCACAUGAAUGGACCAUAUAAGAAAACAUUCAUUUCAGCUAGCACACUUUAUGGAGCGGGUAUUGUACGUAGUGAUUCUUUUAUAUUUUUCUUACAGAUAUCGGUAAUUGUUAUAUAAAUUUUACAUAGUAAAUGGUUGAUGUUAUAUAUCAGGACAUAUAUUGCCCCUUGUGUGAGGGGUUGUAGAUUCUGAGAAUGAUUCAUCCUGGACGUGGUUUUUCCAGCAUUUUAAGUGUGCUUUCGAUGAGCGCGAUAAUAUGUGUGUUGUCUCUGAUAGACAUGAAAGCAUAAUCAAGGCGGUUAGUGUGGUCUAUUGCACGAAUUAUAGAAAGAGUAAGGACAAGCUGACCAGGGAGUUUUUCGCCAUGGCUAAAACGUACAAAUUGGAUGAUUUUGAUGACUUUAUGUGGAAAUUGGGAAAGAUUGACAAUAGAGUAAAGGUAUAUCUGAAAAAUGCUGGAUUUGAAAAGUGGUCACGAGUUCAUGCUCCAAUAAAUAGGGGGAGGAUGAUGACUUCCAACAUUGCAGAAUGUAUCAACUCUCGUCUUGUUGAGGUACAUGAAUUACCAAUUUUAGAUUUUCUUAAACAGGUCAGAAUCUUAUUUGAUAUGUGGAGCCGCAAAAAUAGAGACUGGUCUAGUUUUCUUGCUAAAAACUCAUUGGGAGGUAGGUUUCAACAAAUUCUUCAACUGAACAAGGCAAAGUCAUCGGGUAUGAUGGUAAGUUAUUUAAUAUUUAUUAUACUUAUGUAAGUUGAUUUGUAGACCUUUUCAACUAUCUGAUAACAGAUGUAUCAUAGUGAUACAUCUCGAACUCAUAUGUAUCACUUUGAUACAUCUGCACAAAUAUGCCUCCACUUGAAAUCUAGUUCAUUAUAUUUAAUUAUCUGUAAUAUUUAUGAUUCAUAUAAUAUAUUGAUUAACAUAACUCUUUAUGAAAUAAUAUUUUCAAAUUAGGGAAUCAACUAACUACAUAUACAGAGUGUAUGAAGAAGGAAGAAAAUACAUUGUUCGGUUGGAUAAUGGAACAUGCAAUUGCGGUAGAUUUCAGCUUGAUGAGAUACCAUGCAUGCACGCUAUUGCUUUUUUGAAAAGCAAACAUGUAAAGAAAAUGAAGUCAUACUGUUAUGAUUGCUACAAGAAGGAGACACUUGUGAAGACUUAUGAAAUGCCACUGUGUUCAAUGCCCGAUAAACGAGAUUGACAUGUACUACCGAAGGUGUUAGAAGAUGUGAUUUUGCCUCCAAAAUAUAAGCGCCAACCAGGAAGACCGAAGAAAGGAAGAAAAAAGAAAAACAGUGAAAAUUUUUCAUCAACCUUAAAUCGUUAUGGCAAGUGUGGGUAUGAGGGUCAUAAUAGACGCACUUGCAAUUUUUUUCAAUAGAGAUGUGGCAUUUUUCUUUGAAGUUUACUCAGACUUGUUUACUUUGUUCAAUGAUUUGAAUUCAAUAAUUUGAGUUAAAUACUCAAAAAUUUAUUGCUUGAGAUACUCUGUUUACAAUGGAUAGAGAAAUAUUUAUUUUAAGAUCACUAUUAAUAAUUAAUUAAAACUAUUAUAUUCAGCAGAUAUGUUAGAGUUCAUGAGGAAUGUUAGUGAUACAUUUCCUACAUGAAAUUAUAAAGUGAUACUUAUUAAAAAAUUUAAUAUUGUUAUAUGAUUCAUAUUAACUGUUCGAGAAAAUUAUAUGAUUUAUAUUAGUAAUUAAACUGAAUAGGUUAAUUGGUGAUAUAUUUUCAAAAUAUUGUUUUAAGUUGAUUCAGUAUUAAAAAUUUAAUACUUUUAUAGGACUUUUUAUUAACCGUUCGUUAAAGAUAUGUGGUUCAUAUUAUUAAUUAAGCUCAACAGGUUAAUUGGUGAUAUAUUUUCAACAUAUUUUUUUAAGUUGAUAUAUAUUAAAAAUUUUAAUACUGUUAUAUGAUUCAUAUUAACCGUUCGAGAAAAUUAUGUGAUUCAUAUUAGUAAUUAAAUUGAACAGAUUAAUUGGUGAUACAUUUUCGACAUGUUGUUUUCAGUUGAUUCAGUAUUAAAAGUUUUAAUACUGUUAUAUGAUUUAUAUUUACCGUUCGUCAAAGUAAUGUGCUUCAUAUUAGUGAUGCGUGAUUUAUUGUUAAGACUAUUAAACAAAAUUAAUGAUACAUUUUUGUAAAUUAAACUUCCAGCAACAGUUCUAAUACCACACCAGCUGUUAAAUAAAAUGUCAUGACACUAAAAACAAAAAUACUGAAAACUUAAUACAUAAAAUACGUCAUGAAAUAUCAAGAAAUCCCCAACCAUUUGUCAACUAAGAAAAAAAUCAAUAUCCUUUUGUCACACAACAAAUACUAGACAACUACGACUCAACAUCAAUCAUCUUUGUAUCCUCAUAUGGAAUAAAUAUACGUUUAGAUCCAGGCGAAUCCUGAUUGUCACUAACAUAUUUAUUGCAUGCCUGGUUCACACCAUAAUCCCAUAAAAAGGAUGUAUAUCUUGUAUGAUGCUUUUCUGGAUCAAAAUCUGAAGAAGGUAUUUGAUGUCGAUCACUUAGAUAUUCAGCAUAUGUUGCAACAAACAAGCCACAAUCACUGAAAAAUAAAAAUAAUAUGUAUUUUAUGAAUUUCUGUGAGCUGUUAUGUAAAAGAAUAAAUGAUACUUACAAUGUGCCGCUCGAUUGUUGCACAAUUUCAUCAACAAAUUGAACAUCAAAUGCAUCCUGGUCUGUCUUUUCCUUGUAUGCUUCUAGUAGGGACCAAUCUGUACGCUUUUUUUUCCCACAAAAAUCGGAUAUUGUCAAAUAAGUUGACAACAUUUCAACAAGCUCAUUUAUCUCAUCACCAUGACCUCUAUGGCCUUUCAAGGAGUCAUACACACGAAUGCAUCUUUCCUUGAGUCCUAUGACUGCCAACACCCAGUGAAACGAUCCCUUAGAAUUUAUUAGAACAUACACCUCGUCAAUCAAAUGCCAUGAAAUACUGAUUGGAAUGCAUAGUCCUUGAAUAAUCUCACAAAUUGAUCUCUCCAUCGAAGUCACUUUAUUUGAUCGAACAUUUUCGUCAUGUGAGCUAAGAUCAAUAUCCGAAUGACUUCGGUGAUAAUGAGUGUAUGUUUCAUGGAUGUAGUUUAUGAACAUGCAAUUCACAGUGGUAUAUCUAUAUUCACUGAUUUUGUCCAGUUUUGCUUUCUUUAUAAGAUAGUAAAAUACCAUAUCGAUGUGUUGUAAUAUAAAAUUAAAAUGUGUAAGAACAUGUGAUUCAUAAAAUCCAUACACAAUACUAAGUGUAAAACAAUUGAUACUUAUGAAUUUAAAAAACAUCGACUGAAAAAUACUUAAAAAUAUAAAUUUAUGUUGGUUAACAUCUGUAUCAUAAUGAUGCAUAUUAUUGUCAGAUAUAUCACUGUGAUGCAUGUGUUACCAGAAAAACUAUAUGCAGAUAGCAAAUAUCAAUUAGGUUGGGUAAUGUAAUAAUAUUCAGCUUGUGCUUAUAUAAAUAAAAUCAAUAAAACUAUUAAUUGCUAUAAAUAUUUCUUGACGGUAUACCUCAUCAUUCUAACAAUUACUUGAUUGGGUCAUGUCAUAAAACGAACUUUUUUUCACCGAGUGUACAACUAUAAAAUCAAGCUUUGAUUUUAGAUCAGCGUAUUAGGCCAUGUAGUACUCAUCUUGUCCUUUCAUGCAUUCAAAUUAUGAUUUCAAUAAGUGUUGAUACUAGUUUUUGUGUUGUACAGGCCAACUGACAUCCAAAGAGAGAACUUAGAGAAGACAUCUUCGGCAUAUGAUCCAUUAAUGUUGUGACCUUCAAACGGGUAGUUCAACUUUUUGCACGACUGGAUAACUUCUUUAUCUUUUGACACAGAAUCAAAAACACUUACAAAUGGUGAUUGAUAUAGUUUUGAAGGCUGUCUAUUUCUCUUAGAAGGUUUCUUUCUAACAUAUGUCAGAUUAGUCUUGCAGACAGGGACCUAAGAAAUAGCUGCAAUAGCUUUGUUGCUAAUAUAACACUGACUAUCAGUGUUGUCUUGCCGAUCGCAUGUGUCAAUAGCUGCAACAGUAAUAUCAGUGAUCCCUGUUAGAUAGGCAACAAUCGAUGGUGGUACGUACAAAGUAAUAGCUUUAGAUAAAUCUUCAUCUGUAUUGUGAAGGGCUUCUUCAGAAUCAUGUGUGCCAUAUGUAAAAAAUGAACUUAGUGUACAAUGAAGUUUAGAAUUAAAGUGCCUAAACUAUCUAUAUGUAUCAUAAUGAUACAUAUGGACAAAUAUGUAUCAUUCUGAUACAUCUGAAAAACUUAAAUAACAGAUAACCAAUUUUUGAUACUUGAAACUUCAAUCAUCUUUAAAUAAGAUUAAAAUAUUUUUACUGAAAAAUUAUUAUACCCUAGAAAAACUAAAAAUAAGGUUGUGACCAUUAUAAUGAACAACUUCAAUGUACCAAAUAAUUAAAAAUAAAUAUUUGUGAGAAAUUACAAAACAAAAUUCGUUAUAAAUAAAUCGAUAUUACCUUAACGCGUUUGUCCCUUAUGCCUUCAUCUACUUCCACAGUUGUAUUAUGCCUAUCUUCUUUUUGGACCUUUUCUGUUUAUUUUGUGGAAAUUUUGUCUUUUAAGAGUCACCACUUAAUUUAUUUGAAAAGAAAUUAAGAAAACCUUUGAAAGUUACUUAAACGAUCCAAAACAAAAAAAAAAAUCAUUUAAGUUUGAAGAUUCUGAGUAAGCGGUUCCUAUCUCUUGGAAGGUUGUUAAGGCAUCAAGAGUAUCCUCUAACUUGCGGUUAUCCAGACUAUUUGAAAAUAUCUUUUGACUAACUUCAAAAAGAAAGAUUGAUUGUUGAAAAGUAAUUGACUUUAGGAAAAGACUAGAGUAAAAUAGAUUUGGACGACUUAGCAGGGAUUUUAACUAAGUCUAAAUAAAUUAAUAACAAAACAUGUAAAAGGAAAAGGGGAGAAAAUAAAAGACUUAGGCCAUUGGGCCCAAAUCAAUAGAUCAUGUACUAAUCUAAUUGAGUUUUUGGCCCAUUUGCACCUGUCCUAAUCUAAAUAUUGGUCUUUUGGCCCACAACCUGUCCUAAGCUAGUUUUCAGACCUUUGAGGUCCAAAAUCCGCUUCACCUCUAUUUAUUUACAACUUUGGAUUCGAGACCCCGAAUAAAUGAAUAAGUAAAUGAUUAAAUGAAUAAAUAAAAAGAAGACAAUAAAAAUCGAGACUUUACAAGUCUCUUAGUGACCUCAUCAAUAGAUUUUGACUCAUUUCCCUUCUUCGUCUAUCUUCUAGCACCCGCACGCCAUAUAGUCGACCUAGGAUUUAAACUUCGAACUUGACUCGAAGAGGUGGGCCUCAUUGGUCCAUUACGAAAUGCAAGAGGAGAGAAGUCCAUUUAAACUCGAGAUAUUUUUUGCAUACAAAGAAAAGAUAAAGAAAUUAAUACACGUCCAAGGCAUAAAAGUGACAUAUUUCAAAGUAAAAGAUACUAUCAAGAACCAAUUUUUGAAUGACAAUGAUAAGCACACUUGCACAAGAAUGAGAGUCAACAAAUAAAAUGCGAAGAAAAGACACCCACUUACAUGCCUCAUGACUUAUGUUCAUAUAAAAAUGAAUAAAGGUAAAAAGAAGAAGAUCAUAUUCAAUGAAUUAAUGCGAGAACAAAUAACGCAAGUUUGCAAGAGUAAAGGGAUGGGGAGAUAAGAAAAAUACCCAUGACUUCUAAAAUUGAACAAACAUAGAAACUAAUUCAUAUAACAAAAGAAAAUAAAAGCUACUUUUCAAGAAAGUGAAUCUUUAAAUUUCAAUUAAGGAGAAAUUAACGAAAAUUAAUACAUCUAAGUCAUGGCCAACUUUAGGAAAAACAUGUAACGACAUAUGAUUUAUCGUUCUAAGACAUCGUUGAUUCUCUUUUGACAUUAUGACUCAAAGAGAGACAUGAAUCAAGUCUUUACACACACAAAGAACACGUAUAACAAUCCAAAGGGAGUAAGAAAAUUUGAAUAAAUGUUUAGCAUCUCUAAAAGUGAAAUAUCUUUCAACAAUCAUACUGUGCACGAGUCAAAAAUAUCCAAAUAAUUCUAUUUAGCCACAAAAAUUCAAACUUUCUCAUUAUUUUGACAAGACAACAAGCGAACAAAAGAGGAAUAAACAUCUUGGAUGGAAAAUAAAGCUAACACUUCAUCUCUUAUAUGAGGAUUUUGAAAUCCAUUAAAAUAAUUAGCAAGCAAAUGACAAAUUCUUGACUUAACUAAUUACUAUUUUUACGAAGGCAAAACAAACAAUAAUAACUAUUUUUUCAACAUAAAAGAAACAACUUUACAUGCUAAAACAAACAUAUCCGCCAACAAUAAAUUUAAAAAAGGCAUGAGUUCGUCUUUUGAGCAAAGAUCAAAACUUUAUACAUAACAAUCAAAGAAUAAAGAUAAAAGGCAAAACAAUCAAUAUUAACUAUUAUUUUCAACAUAAAAAAAAUAACUUUACAUGCUAAAAACAAACACAUCUACCAACAAUGAGUUUAAACAAGACAUGGGUAUGUUUUUUAAGCAAAGAUCUAAACUUUAUCCAAAAUAAUUAAAGAAUAAGAUCAAAAGGCAAAAUAAUCAAUAUUAACUAUUUUUUUCAACAUAAAGAAAAUAACUUUACAUGCUAAAAACAAACAUAUCCACCAACAAUGAAUUUAAACAAGACAUGAGUAUGUUUUUUAAACAAGGACCUAAACUUUAUCCAAAAUAUUUAAAGAAUAAGGUGAAAAGGCGAAGCAAUCAAUAUUAACCAUUCUUUUCAACAUAAAGAAAAUAAUUUUACAUGCUAAAAACAAACAUAUCCACUAACAAUGAGUUUAAACAAAGUAUAAGUACAUUUUUUAAGCAAAAAUUGAAACUUUAUCUAUAAUAAUUAAAGAAUAAAGUCAAAAAAAGGCACAUACAACUAUUGUUAGCUCUUUUUUAUAUCAUGAACAUGAAGAUAAUUAAAAUAUUGAUACCACAACCUUCAAGGCCAUAAACAACAAACAAUCCCAGCAAACAAAAUUAUAACUACGAACUAUGAAAAAGAUGAAGAAGAAAAUGAUACUAAAACUAAAAAAAAAAAAAAGGUGUGUUUACCUUUUUUGGGGCAAGAAAACGAGACUACGAGUUUCGUCGGAAUCAACCACCACCGAAAAACGUCACUGGUAACUCAAAAAUUUUGAUUAACCGACCAACUUUAUGAAAUAAGAAUUUUUACUAAAUAAAAAUAACUAUUUUGCCCAAAAGGAAUUUUUCACCUUUCUAGCCUCUUUUAUUUAACUUCUCCACCCCUCUUUUCUACCAAAGUAGUGAUAAUAUUUAUAGGGGAGAAUGGAUUUUUUCUUCCUUUUCUCCACCAAUGUGGGAGAAAAAUAUUUAUAGGAAAGGAUGAAGAUUUAUUUCUUGUCAUCCAUCAAUGUGGGAGAAAAGAUAUUUUGGGGUGUUUUUUUGGAAUUUUAAAAUUAAAGAUAAGAUGAGGUGGGAGAUAAUGUGGGGGGAAUUGUACCAUAUAGUACAAUUUUUGAAUUUCAAAAUUGUGAAAGGACAAAGUUGGGGGGAAAUAGUACAAUGUAGUACAAUUUACAAUUAAUUUUUGGUGGAAAUUGGGUAGAAGUUAUGAAAGUUUUUGGAAAUUUUAGGGUUAUUUAAAAUAUAACCCCAAUAGGGAUUUAAAAUUUAGCCAAAUUUAUUUAAUUUUGAUCAAAUUAAAAAUCAAUUGGCGCAUUGCAUUGCAAUUAUGAUCAAUUUUAUUUCAAUUAUGGACAAAUCUAAUAGAUUGGCUAAAUUAAAUUAAAAUUUGAUACGAAUUAAUACUUCUUUUAAUUCCGAGCUUCUUGAUUUAAUAAAAUCAAACACAUAUUUAUCCAAAUAAAUUAUUUUUGAGAAUAAAUUAUAUUUAAAUCAAGAUUUUAAUCCUUUGAAUUUAUUUCAAGACAAACCUUGAUUAAAAUCCGAUAUUUAUAAAAAUGGAUAUUUAAGUAAUAAAAUUAUAUAAUUUCGUGUAAUUGAAUACGAUAAUAUAUAAUCGCUACUUAAAAUGAUAAACUUAUCCAGAUAAAUAUUUUGAAAAGCUUUUUAUUCGGAUAAAAUAAAUAUUAUAAUUUUAUUUAAAAAAUUGAAGAAACUUGUAAUUAAACUUAGUUAUGGAGGACAAAAAUUAGGUGUCAACACUAUUUACGAACUCUCAGCCUCCUAUUUGACACAUGUCAAAUUUAAUUUUGUGUGACAUUUAAUUUAUGAUAUAAAUCGAUUUAAUUAUUUGUAUGUAUCAAAUUGAUAAAGGUUGAAACAAAUGUAUGAAAAUGAUUCAUUUUGAAAACAUAAGGAACACAUAACAAAUGUGUGUUACUGAAAAUCUUGAUUAAAUUGUCUAUAUGUAUCAAGGUGAUACAUAUGAUGUCUGAUGUAUCACGUGAUACAUAUGAGUAACUUAAUCAAUACAUAUACACCGAUAUAUUAACAGUUUCAACAUUUCAAAAAAUAACAUUUAAACUAUUUGAGGCUAGUAUUUUGAGCAAGUUGUAACAAAUCGAUCAUAUACUUAAGUCAAUUUAACUACCUUUAAGCAUUCCUCAGCUCCUCCUUCAUUGCCACCUACUUUAGAUGAUUGACCGACAUCAUGUACGACAUUGUCACUUUUAGCAUCCAUUUUGUGCUCAUUAAGAGAUUGAGGAGGAUCCCCUUCUCUAUCCGGGAUACCUUUUUUCACUUUCAUAUAGUGGAUAUUGAGCAACCUGCAAUAUCACAAAUUUGAAUAAUAUGAAAACAUAUUGAUAUUAAUGACAAAUUAUGAAUACCUUGCCAUAUGAAGCAAAACCUUUUUUCACAACUCCAAAAAAUCCUGUAUAAUGGUCCACCAUUAACUUUUGAAGAUCAUUGAAUUUCAUGUCAAUCUACAUUGUGAAUAACAUUUUGAAUUUCAUGUCAACUAAUUCUUGUUUCUUCAUAGGAGGGUGUGAAGAUGGACCAGCAUCAAACCUCAUCUUUUUGAGAAAAUCUACAUUUGGAGUAGUACUGAAAUCAUCAAAUUCAUCUCCAAAUUCAGUAGGAGCAGUCCUUUCAGAUUAUUGUUGUACAGAUACUGCCUGUGCUAUAUUUGCAUCAUGAUUUGUUGGACCAAACAUCAAAGGAUUGGGCAACUCAAGAUGGUUCAAUUCCUGUGGUGAUGGGGUUAGAUUCCUGUAUACAAGCUGCAACAAAAAUAACACACAGGAUCAAAAAUUAAAAGUACCUUAAAAAUUAAAAAUAGACAUACAAAAGUAUCACGGUAAAAAAAACACUAUCUUACUAAACAUAUCAUCCAUCAGAUCCUUGUAUCUAGGCUUAGGUUUAACCACCUUCCAAUUCACCAUCCUUGGGAUUAAAUUGUGAACAUGAAAGACAAGUGAUUCAUCAACUGUGGCACAACAUUCGUACCACCAAAUCUGAAGCGCGUAUGGCAUGCCACUUAGACGGUAAACUUUUGGACAUCAUUCAUCGAUCGACUAAUAGAAACCAUCAGUUUCUCAAGAGCCAUUUUUCCCUAUGGAAAAUGACUAGAACUUUCAUCAUCCACCAUGUGAAAGUCUCAGGCAGGGAUAUUGGUUUUAUCUAAUUGGGAGAACACAAAUGUGCGUAUGAAGUACAAUAUCCCAAUUUUUAUUGCAUCUUUCACAUUUUCCCCACUUGUUAUUCAAAGAAAGCUUGACCAACUCACCCUUUUUCACAUUUGCUGUCGAAUUUGAAAAAUAUUUUUUCUGUAGUCGACAUGGUGGAAGGUCUGAAUAAUUAAAAUCAUCUACGUUGCCGAUGCAUUUCAAUCCUGUAACGAUAGCAAACUUGUACAGUAAAAAUCAAAGAAUUGUAUUGUUGACCAACGCCCUUAGUUGAUCCUGAUAUGAGUGUUGGACCUCUAAGAUCAUCAAGAACCUUGCUAUCAAUCCUUGAAAGUUACAAUUAGGUAGGUUCAGAAAUGACCCAAAACAAGUACUUCUGAAAAUUCUGAUUUCUUCAUCCUUCAAAAUCACGUUAAGCAUAUCUACUACAUUAAUGUUAUGUGCACUACCAAUCCUUACGUUGUGGGAAGGUCAUUCUUUCACAAUCAAACUAACAUUCUGCCAACAGAAAAAAAAGAAGUUGAUUCAUAUGUCAAAUGAAUCACAUGUUUAUAAAUUACAACAACAAUAAAAUGAGAAUAGAAAGUGUUAUCACAUAUGUAUCACAAAAAAAAUGAUACACAGAGAAUCGCUCUUAUUCUAUAUGAAAAAUGUGUAGCUGUAACGCCAAUAUGAAUCACCAGCACAAUAUAUGUAUCACCAAUUAAAAUAUCAUUUUAGUGUAACACCCAUAUGAAUCACCAGCACAAUAUAUGUAUCACCAAUUAAAAUAUUAUUUUAGUGUAACACCCAUAUGAAUCACCAGAACAGUAUAUGUAUCACCAAUUAAAAUAUCAUUUUAGUGUAACACCCAUAUGAAUCACCAAAAAAAUACGAAUCACCAAUAUGAAGUUAGACUGUUAAUCUGUUAUUAUAUGAAUCACCAAUAUGAAUCACAAGGUAUUUGAAUCACUAGUUAUGAAUCACUUGCGAUAACAAUACUUGCUCCGACGGAGAUUUGGGGAUAUGUUCAAUUUCAUCCUGAUGUUUCAUUUGUUUGUCGGAAUCUCGAUUUUUAGCAACAAAAGCUUCUAGGGUCAUUUCGCUGCUUUGAAUGAUUUUCACUAAAACCUAACUUGGUGUAAUUAAAUUUGCCCGAAGUAAAGCCCAGAACUUGAUUACUAUCAUGAACACCUUUUUGUGUUUCAAUUUGUGAAAUUCCCAAACUGAAUGAGGGUAAAUCUUCAUUAGCUAUUGAAGAUUCAACAAAUUAACACAAAGAAAUUUAAAGAAUAUAUAGAUAUUGACUUCUCUUGUUAAAAACUAACUUAAAACCCACAUAAACAAAAAAUUAACCUCUUUGAAGUAAUUGACAAAUUUUAAAAUUUAAUGCUGAAAGAUUACGUUUAAUUAGUUGAAGUAGUGGAGAAAGAAGUUGACUCAAAAUAUGCUAAAAUGAGAGAGAUUUAAUGGGAGUAAUUUGUGGAAAAAAAGAAGAAGAAGAUGCGUAUAAAGAUGAGAGAGAAAGACGUUAAUGGAGGAGAGAAAAUAGAGUGUGAAAGUUAAAGCAAAUGUAUCACCAUAAAUAUGCAAAAAAGGAUUUUAUGUAAUUUUUAAAAUAUUAAGGGAUAUUUGAUAAUAUGGUGCCUUAAGUUUGGAGUUUUUGUAAUUUAUCCUUUUUAAAAAGUCCUCAACUCCAAAUUUCAAAUUUUAGAAUUUCCCCCUUUUUCUUAUCUUUCAAUCUUUCUUAAUUUUUUUUCUUUCUAUCUCCAAAUUUCUUUAUCCCCAUCUUCUUCUUCUUAUUUUUUUUUCUCUCUAGAUUUUCCUCUUCUUUCAUCUUCUCUUCUUUUUUUUCUUUCUCUUUUCAUUUCAUUCUUCUUCCUUUUUAAAUUUUCAUGGAUAUUUUUUAAAAAAACAAUUGAGAAGUUUGAAAAGAAUUUUUUUGAUUUCUUUUAAAAAUAAAUAAAGAAAUAGUUUAGCAAAUUCAGCAACUACCAUAGUUGCUACAACAGUUACGGUAAUUGCUGCAACAACUACUAUUAGUUGUUGUGUUACAACAAUUAUCGAAAUUGCUGCAGCAACUUCAAUACUUAAUUUCUGAAAAAAGAUGUGGUUGGAGGAUGAGCUCACAAAAAAGUGAUAUUUUUGAUAAAAAGGAAGGUGAUGGUGCUGAUGGUGGUGAUGUCGAAUGAGAAGAUGACAUUUGUUAUGGUGUUGAUAGCGAUGGUGGUGAAGGAGAAAGAAGAAAAAUAGGCGAUAGUUAUGUAGAGGGAGAAGAUAAUGGUGAAUCUGAAAGAGGUGACAAUGGUAGUAAUAGUGAUAGUGGAGGAAGAGGAGGCAGCGGCGACAACAAAAAGGGUGUGGAAGAGGAUUGAUGGUGAUGGUGUAGGGAUCUUUGUGUAAAUAUAAUAUAGGGAUCUUUGUGGAAAUAAUAAAACUUGAGGAUUUUAAAAUUAAUGUUAUUAAUACUAAUCUUAAAAUUAUCACCUCUACUCACUCAAUAUUUAAGACUUGUGUCACUCUUUUUAGUUUUGAAAUUUAUUUGUCACCCUUAAUUAAUUUGCCUUAAUAACUUUACUAAUAUGGAUAUAUUUGGCCCAAUAAUUUAACUAGGUGUAAAUUUAGUUAAUUUAUCAAAAUAUUGGUUAUUUUUGACGAAGUUAUUCAUUCAAGAUAUACACGAAGGAAGAACAACAAAAACGGAAGAUCAAAUCAUUUACUAGUCGAUGAGCAAAUUUUCUCCAGGGAAUUAGUGGCACCAUUAAAACAGGUUCUUCUUCUUCCUUCUUACACCAUUUUUUUGUUGCUAUAAACUGUGAAUCUUGUAGUGGAAAAUUUGAUGGACAUGUUUCUAUUAACCUGUUGACAUAAACAUAUGUAACCAACAAUAUUCGUAGCCGACAAAAAUAUCUCCACAGGCGACAAUAUUAUGAAUAAACAGUAACUUUAUUUUGCUUGAUACACUUUGUAUAUAAUAGUAUUCAAUUUGGUAAUUGAAUUUUUGUCACACCAAGGCUGUAACCUAGCUGUAGAUGUUGGAAUUUGUUUGUCCAAUAGUUAUUUUAUUUUAUAUUUUGCGAAAAUCUAGUGACAGCUUGCUGUUAUGAAUUGUUAUGCUGAUCAUUUCUCAUUUGAUCUGAGAGUUUGGUGUAGUAUUGUUUCAUGACGCAUUCAUAGAGGAGAUCAUUUUUAUCAUAAUCUGUAAUGACAGUAAUGUAGUUCAAUGUUAGCCUAGUAGAAGCAUGUUCAAGCUUCCUCUUCUCAAUCCCAAAUUCCUUUAACGUUUCAUGGAAGGUUUGAGCAGUUUUACGCUAAAACUAAUUGAUGUUCGAGAUGCUUAUUUCUUUUCUUUUUGGAACGAAAGUUUGAGUGUUUGAUUAAUACGUGGGUUUAAAAAAUGAAAAUUCAGGACUAGACAAUCAUUGGAAUACAUGAAAAAUCCACUCUAUUAUCAGCUCAUUCACAACCACCUUACAACGACAUCAAACUAUGAAAUUUUGAGAACAUUAUGAUAUUCACUUUCCAGGAACAAAGUUUGUGGCGUAGGCCCAGGCAUUGUUGUUUACUGGAUCUGCAAGGUGAUCAGCAAGGUUCUCCAAUGGGCCCUUACCGGUAACAAUUGCCUGAACAAAGAAUCCAAACAUAGAGAACAUAGCAAGUCUACCAUUCUUAAUCUCCUUUACCUUGAGCUCAGCAAAUGCCUCUGGAUCAUCAGCAAGACCUAAUGGGUCAAAGCUGCCACCAGGGUAGAGUGGGUCAACGACUUCACCAAGAGGCCCACCAGCAAUACGGUAUCCCUCAACGGCUCCCAUCAAGACAACUUGGCAAGCCCAGAUGGCCAAGAUGCUUUGUGCAUGGACCAAGCUUGGGUUGCCCAAGUAGUCAAGUCCACCCUCGCUGAAUAUCUGGGAUCCAGCCUUGAACCACACAGCCUCACCAAACUUGACACCGUUACGGGCCAAGAGCUCAGGGAAGACACAUCCAAGAGCACCAAGCAUAGCCCAUCUGCAGUGGAUCACCUCGAGUUCUCGGUUCUUGGCAAAGGUUUCGGGGUCUGCUGAAAGUCCAGCAGUGUCCCACCCGUAGUCACCAGGGAAUUCACCGGUCAAGUAGCUUGGGGCCUCACCGGAGAAUGGGCCCAGGUACUUAACACGGUCUGGGCCAUACCAUGGGCUGCCAGAUGAGGCAGGCUUGGAGACAGCCUUUCUCAUAGAGAUCCUUCCAUUUCCAGUGAUUUCUGAGGGAGAGGGUGAGAGUUUCACUGCCUGUCCAGCAAAAGAAGGGGAAGAAAGAGCCAUUGUAGAAGCUGCCAUGGCUUAUCAAGAGAAAAGUAAGUGUUUGAUGGUAUGAAAUAUUGUUGAAGCUGGUUGUCAUGAAGCUGAAGUUAGUUGGGUUUCAGAAUAUAUAGUAGUAAGUAGAGAGAAAGAAUCCUCUUAUCUAGUGAUGUCUAUAGCUAAAAUCUCAUUGGGUAUCAAGAUCCCAUGUAUAGCAAGUAAUGCACUCUUGGCAAUUCCAAUCCAUCAAUUUUCCAAGAUGUUCACUAAGGGGGACCCAACCAAUUUUGUCCUCCUAUAUGUGGCUGCAAGGCUUGAAAUCUAUUCUAUGAAUUCUCGAGCUUCAAUAUGAUAUCUUUUAUCCAUUGGGAAUUUCUCAAGAUUUUAUCCACCAUGACUAUAGCUCAUUCAGUGUAGAACUAUGGUUUGGCAUUUCACUAAGUAAAUUGAGGAAAAACUGAAAUUCACUUGUAUUAGAUUAUCAAUUACUGAUGUUUGUCAAAAGAUUAACCUGUAAUGGCUUAAUGAGCAAAGGUGGAUCAAGAUUUGAAUUUUAUGAGUUUUUAAUCUAGGACUAGACCUUAAGUAGUAUAUCCGUUGUCCCAAUUUGUGUGGCACAAUUGCAAUUUCGAGAGCCAACCAAGUUUUUCUUUGAUGGAAAUUUGUUUACAUGUCUUUUAAAUAUUUCAAGUUAUUAAUUAUUGUGAUUUAUAGUAGUACUUUUUAUUUUUAGAUAACCGUGGUAUCCAGUGUUUGCCACCUCCCACCAACAUGGGAUUUGAACCUAAGAUCACUAAGGUUCUCAACCCACUUCAUUGACCAUUAGCCCAUAACCUUGAGUGCAUUGUGAUUUAUAGUAUUGUUUACAUAGUUUCCAAGUACAUAGAUUUUAUUUCAAAAAAAUUAAAACUUUUGUGUCCAAAUUGACUGUCAAAGUUUAAAAGUUUGAAUUUCAAAAUUCUAAAACAGAGGGAGUAGUAAAUAGAUUCUGAAUUUGAUUACAUACAUAUUUAAUGAUUAUUGUAACACAUACAUUAUUUGGGCAAAAGCUAAUUGGUUCUGUCAAACAGUAUGCGGAAGACUACCUCUGUCCCUGUUAAUAAGUGAUAUGAUUGUAUUAGUAUUUUUAUAAUGUCAAUGCAUAGAACUUAAUUGCCUUUCUAGUAAGUGUCAUGUAUAGCUUACUUUUAUCUUCUUCUUACUAUGUCCUUUUGGCUCUGGUCAUUACUAUGUGCCAUGUUUCGAAGGAUGCCUGCCUCUGUUAAAUAAGCCGUCACACAGGCAUGCAAGGAAGGAAGGAAGAGUAUACAAGAAAUUUAUGAAUUUGUUCAAAUUAAAGAUGCUAAUUAAAUUAACGUACACGUAAACCUAAGUAUUAUGACCUGGAAACUCAUAUAGCAGUACUUGCUACAUUCAGACUACAAAACAUAUUGGUUUUCCCUUUUUAACUGAAAUGUCAUUGGUCUAGUAGUAAAAUAAUAUGAUGACCCUAUUUACUUUUGAAAGAAAAAUGAGGAAUCAUGUAAUAACAUCAUAUCGUUCAGCAUUAUUAUUUGCACUGAUUUUGAGUAUUGCUUCUUGAGAAUUAAUUGAAUUCCAUAAGUUUCUCCGGUCUGUAAAUUUAAGUUUUAAGCUUUUAACAGCUUUCUAGUUUUUCUAGUUACCAUAUCCCAAAUGCAGCUUCGGUCUUUUUGCUAUGCUCUUCUUUUUUUCCCUUUGGUAUGAAAAUUGAAAAUGGCAAUAUAUGAUUCAUGUCUUUGAAAAGUGAAACUCAGAACUACAUCAUCAUUGAGAUAUAACAAACAUUUAUUCUAUUGUCAACUCACUCACAACAACUUUACAAGGCCAUCAAGCAAUCAAAUUUUAAGAAUUAUAUUAUGAUAUUCAUUUUCCGGGAACGAAGUUUGUGGCAUAGGCCCAGGCGUUGUUGUUAACUGGAUCUGCUAGGUGGUCAGCAAGGUUCUCCAAUGGACCCUUUCCUGUAACAAUGGCCUGAACAAAGAAUCCAAACAUAGAGAACAUAGCAAGUCUACCGUUCUUAAUCUCCUUUACCUUGAGCUCAGCAAAUGCCUCUGGAUCAUCAGCAAGACCUAAUGGGUCAAAGCUGCCACCAGGGUACAGUGGGUCGACAACCUCACCUAGAGGCCCACCAGCAAUACGGUAUCCCUCAACAGCUCCCAUCAAGACAACUUGACAAGCCCAGAUAGCCAAAAUGCUUUGUGCAUGGACCAAGCUUGGGUUGCCCAAGUAAUCAAGUCCACCCUCGCUGAAUAUCUGGGAUCCAGCCUUGAACUACACAGCCUCACCAAACUUGACACCAUUACGGGCCAAGAGCUAGGGGAAGACACAUCCAAGAGCACCAAGCAUAGCCCAUCUGCAGUGGAUCACCUCAAGUUCACGGUUCUUGGCAAAGGUUUCUGGGUCUGCUGAAAGUCCAGCAGUGUCCCACCCGUAGUCACCGGGAAAUUCACCGGUCAAGUAGCUUGGAGACUCACCUGAGAAUGGGCCCAAGUACUUGACACAGUCUGGCCCAUACCAUGGGCUGCCAGAUGAGGCAGGCUUGGAAACAGCCUUUCUCAUAGAGAUCCUUCCAUUUCCAGUGAUUUCUGAGGCAGAGGGUGAGAGUUUCACUGCCUGUCCAGCAAAAGAAGGGGAAGAAAGUGCCAUUGUAGAACUUGCCAUGGCUUAUCAAGAGAAAAGUAAGUGUUUGAUGGUAUGAAUAUUGUUGAAGUUGGUUGUGAUGAAGCUGAAGUCAGUUGGGUUUCAGAAUAUAUAGCAAGUAAGAGGGAAAGAAUACUUAUCUAGUGAUAUCUAUAUCUAUGAUCUCAUUGGGUAUCAAGAUCCCAUGUACAACAAUUAAUGCACUCUUGGGAAUCUCCAAUCCUUCAAUUUUCCAGGAUGUUCACUAAGGGGACCCAACCAAUUUUGUCCUCCUAUAUGUGGCUGCAAGGCUUGAAAUCUAUUCUAUGAUUUCUUGAGCUUCAAUAUGAUAUCUCUUAUCCAUUGGGAAUUUCUCAAGAUUUUAUCCACCAGGACUAUAGUUCAUUCAGAGUAGAACUAUGGCGUAGCAUUUCACUAAAUAAAUUGAGGAAAAGCUGAAAUUCAUUUGUAUCAGAUUAUCAAUUACUGAUGUUUGUCAAAAGAUUAACCUGUAAUUGCUUAAUAAGCAAAGUGGAUCAAGCUUUGAACUUUAUGAGUUUUGAAAUGUAGGACUAGACCUUAAGCAGUAUAUCCUCCGUCCUAAUUUAUGUGGCACAAUUGAAUUUCGAGAGUCAACCAAGUUUUUGUUUGAUGGAAUUUCUUUAUAUGUGUUUUAAAUAUUUCAAGUUGUUAAUUAUUGUGAUUUAUAGUAGUACUUUUUAUUUUUAGAUAACCAUGGUGUCCGAUAUUCGCCACCUCCCACCAACAUGGGAUUUGAACCUAAAACUUCUGAGGUUCUCAACCCACUUCAUUGACCAUUAGACCUUGGGUUCAUUGUGAUUUAUAGUAUUGUUUAAUAGUUUCCAAGUACAUUGAUUUUAUUUCAAAAAGCUUAAAACUUUGGUGUCCAAAUUGAUGUUGACACCUAAUUUUUACCCCCCCACCCCCCAUAACUAAGUUUAAUUUCGAGUUCUUCGAUUCUUAAUAAGAUUACAACAUUUAUUUUAUUGAAUAAAGGAAAUUUUCAAAAAUAUUUAUUGGGGUAAUUUCGUCACUUUAAGUAGCAAUAACAUGUUAUCGUGCCCGACUAUAUGAAAUUAUAUGCUUUGGUUACUUAAAUGGCUAUUUUCUAUAAAAUAAUCAAAGUUUGUCUUGAAAUAAUUUCGAAUGGUUAAUCUUGGUCUAAACAUAAUUUAAUCUCAAAAAUAAUUUGUAUUUAAUCUCAAAAAUAAUUUGUUCAUAUAAAUAUUUGUUUAAAUUUUAUUAAAUCAAGAAGCUCAGAAUUAAAGGAAAUAUUAAUUGAUUUCGAAUUUUGAUUCAAUUCGGCCAACCUAUCAGCUUCGACCACAAUUGAAAUUAGAUUGGCCAUUAUUGCGAGCAAUUGGCCAAUUGAUUUUAAAUUUGGCCAAAAUUUGAAUAAAUCAGCCAAAUCCCUAAUUACAUAAUCCACCCAAUUAAAUCAAUAUUGUCUCAUUUUAUAAACUACAAAUAGCAGCCCACUUUCUUAAUUUAGCUUACUAGCCUUGCCAACCUAAUAGUUAAGAUCAGCCCUUUCCCCUUUCAGUUGGGCCGUUAGUCCAAAACUUUCAGAUGACCCAACAAUUUUCAAAUGACAGCAAACCCAACCCAUUUUCUCAGCAAUCUUUUUCUUUAAUUAUAUUGACCGCCCCAGCCCAACAACAACAUCCGAUUCAUAACCAGGCGCAAUUUCAGCAUCCCCACCAGCCUAUUUUCCUUUUUCCUAUUUUCCUUUUUUUUCUCAAGCAGGCCUAAAUCAACCACCUGUGACCCGAUCCAACCCAAUUCCCUUUACCCCCUUUAUGUUCUUUCUCUUCAAACCAAGGGAAAACCAAAAACAGCUGUAAUACUACAACACCACCACCUUCAUCGACAACACAAGCAACCAACAACGGCGAAAAACCCGAAUCCAUCAACCCGAUAACCCGACUCCACCAGCCCCAACCCUUUUGUUUGCUCUCCACAAGCAUAUCACGCGUUAGAAAGAUGAGAAAGGAAUCCAAGAAAAAAUCAGUCCCAAACCUUCUAGAACGAGCCUACGUGUCAUCCCCAAAGGUUCAAUCCCGUGUUUCUCGGAUAAGAUUGUACGAUUUCGUACAGAGUUGGAUGAUUUUCAUUGGUUCUUGGAAAGAGUCCGUUUUUCCUAAAUGGUAUUAGUCUACCUGUCGCAAAUUUCUCCAAAAAAAUCCAAAGUUGGUAUGUUUUGGGCUAAAAAAUGAGGUUGUGGGAGGAUGGGAUUCUGAAUUUCGAAUUUCUCUUUUUUUUUAAUCCCUAGAUUACCCCCAAUUCAUCCCAUAUAUAAGGAUCCAUCGGGUCACUGUGAUGGGGGGAUUUUUUUUUAGAUGGGACUCUCCUCUUUUUUUCUAGGUUCACAACUUUAGAGGUAAAGGGAUUCCAACUGGGAGGUUUGGAAAAUUUCGCAAAAGUAUCGAGGGUUUUGGGGUCGAAAAAUUUUAGGAAAAAAUUUCUUAAAUUAGGAAAUUGAUAGAGAGGGCUAAGUUCAGAAACCAAGGAGGAAGUUUCUAGAGAAAGGAAACAAAAUUUUUAAUAUAGGUGUCUUUGGUCGACGAUUACUUCGAGCUUUCGUGGUCACCGUGUUAAAAUUUCUAGUGGUGUUGCAAUCCUGUCGUCAGCUCAACAACCCAUUUUGCUGCUCUGAAACAGGUAAACGCGUCUUUUCCUUUGAGUUUGUUUUGCUUCUUCAUCUCAUCCUUCAUAGUUUUGUAAUUAUAGUGAUAGUGGGAUGGUUUGUUGUAGAUGGUUGUUAUGGCCAUAGGAUUUUCUUGAAAAGAUUGCCGUUAUGUUGGUCGUUGCAUAAAUGUCUACACUCCAAUCCUUCGCUCCACUUUCGAUUUCGUAUGUUUCGGUUCGAUCGUUUUGACUCACCAUAUUAUUUUCAUGCUGUUAGUUAGUUUCAAUCCAUUCUUAAUAGUAAUCAAUGUUGUCAUGGUGGUGUUUUUUUUUAGUAUAAAUGUUGCUGAUUUUUUCAGUUUAAAUAGUAUUACUUUCAAUCUAGAAUAUUGUUAUUUUCUGAGUCUAAGUAUUGUUGGGUUUCAACCCCAAAUAUUAUUGUGUUUUUUAGUCCAAGUAGUGCUGUUUUUAGGCCUGAUUAUUGCUGUUUUUUAGCCUAAAUAUCGCAGGUUUUUAGCCUGAAUGAUGUUUCGGAACUUAAAUAUUUUUCCCAGACCUUGAACAUCGUCGUUGAACUCUUUGGUUUUGUUUUGUUGCGUCAAACAUGUAAAAUUUUCUUAAGUAGCAUACAGUUGAGUCGGAUCUUAUUUGGUUGUCUUUAGAAUCGAUCAAUAACAUGUUGGUUGUUUUGUUUCGAUUUAAAUCGGUCUUCCUUUCGAAUUAUAGAUGACCAAAAUAGAUAAUGUGCUUCUUUCUUCUUGAAAAUGACGUUCAAAACUGUUUGUGCUUGAGGCGUUGAUUUAUUUUUGCUUUCCCCCUUUGUUAAAAAUAUGUCCAAUUCAUCUUUUUGUGUCGAUUAGAACAGUGGCUUGUCAAUAUCCUAUUCUUACGUUGGUCUGAUUUUCGCUCAUAGGCUUAAAACUCUUAAGGUUUUGCAAAGCUAUUAUGUAGAAAACAACGAUUCUAUUGUCUUUUGGAUACGAAUCUGCAUCCUCAAUAUUUCUUCCGAUAAAUUGUUUCGGAGUCUAUCGUUUUCUCUUUUUGUCUUUGUUAAUAUGUGUCAUUUGCUACUACUUGUUGAUUCUUUGUUUGUAAUACUUGUUUUUCGGUUAUCUUCUACCCUGUUUAAUUAUCUGGUUCAAUAUAUUAAUUUUUUUUAGCUUCAAGAAUCUUGUGAUGAACUAUCACUUGUUGGUCAUUGAUAUCAAAAUAAAUCAAGAUGUGUUCAAACCAAGCUAUAUAAUUGGUCUUUUCUCUUAAGUUUGUGCUUUCUGGUUGAUAAAUUUUAAGGUGAUAUUUCUAUGGGUGAAAUGAAUCAGGAGCUUUACAUGAUAUUUCUUUUAAUUAGAUCACACUAGUACUGUUUUAUUCAUGCACCAAAUGUAUUCUUUUCCAUGUCAUCACUUAUUUGUUAAGUAACCAACUUUCAAACAUAUAUUAAUUUUCUUACUUUUUACUUUGCAUGUGGAUACGUUUGAGUCCUAAACGGACUCCUUUUCACCUUUGCAUCCUCGCUAUGGGCCCUUGAGGCUCACCUCGUUGAACUAAGCCCAAAAGAAGGUCCAAAAGGCCAUCGUUUGGCGUAUGGAUACGAGAAGACGGGAGGAAAGGAAAUGGAUUAAAGCCCUACAUUUGAAGCGGCUAAGAGACAAAAGUCUCAUUUAUUAUUUCAUUCUAUUUAAUUAUUGUUGCUUUUUUUAUUUAUUUUAUUUGUUUGUUCAUUUUAUUUAUUCAUUCGGAUCACGAAGCCAAAGUUGUAAAUUUAAUACAGGUGGAGCGAGACUCGAGCUAAAGACUCGAAAAACAUAGAAUUAGGAUAGGUGCAAAUGGGUCGAAAUCCUAACUAGAUUAGGAUAGGGUCGACGGUUUGGGCUUAAAAGCCUAAAUCAUUACUUUCCCACUUUUUUCCUUUUUUCUUUUCAUUUACUUGUUUGCUUGUCUCUUUGCGAAGUUAGUUAAAUCCCUAACUAAGUCACUAAAAAAUUGAUUUUGAAAUUUUUUUUAUUUAAUCAACUAUUUUUCUAGCAAAUUGAUUUUCCGAAGUUAAUCAAAAGAAUGUUUUUAAACAGUCCGGAUAACCGCAAGUUAACGGACGUUUUAGGUGCCUAACACCUUCCUAAAAUGUUAAUAGGAACUGCUUACUCAGAAUCUAUUAACUUAAACGAUUUUCCUGUUUUGAAUUGUUUGAUGUAAUUCUCUAAAGGUUUCUUAAUUUCUUUUCAAAAUUAAGUGGCGACUCUCUUUCAAAAGUUAAAAUUUCCGCAAAAUAGAAAUGGCGACUCUGCUGGGGAUUUUUUGAACUAGGUUCUAACCAAAUGUUUGAUUUUGUCUUUUGAUUAAAUGUUUAUGUGUUUAUAUAUUUCAAUUCUAUAAAUAUUAAUUAUCGCAUCUCAUGGCAUAUCCCUGCAUUAUUUAAACUGUUUUGGGAUUUUGUGGAUGUUCGGCCCUUGUUGUUUAAUUUCAAAAUGUGUUGGAAAUACGAACAUCUUAUUUGCACGUGAGUCAUCUGAUGCUGUUCGUAUUUUCAAACUCAAGUUGUCCUUUUGAGAAUCAGUGUUCAAACCACUCUAGACACAGAGGAUAGAACGAAACCAAAAUCCUAUUUUAGGCAUGAGUGUAGGACGAUCCAGUACCCGAGUGGGGUAUUGGGCCCAUUGGAAAACCUACCCUACGUCUAUUGACCCCGAGUUAAUUACAGACGAAUCAUAUUUAUGUGUUGAAAAAAAUACAUGCUUGUCUAAUUCAAUCCAUUAUCCUUUGGGGUCUGGGGAAGGCUUAUCUUUGUCUGCUUUCAUGUAGGAUAUGGCUCAACUACAUUCCCACGAAAAGUUCAAGAUGGUUACUAAACCUGACGAUUUCUUGAAACUAUGGUGGGACCACAUGAGCGCAGGAGAGAAAAAGAUUGUUAGAACACACAUUGGGCAUCUUCCUUCUUUGAUCGAGAUGGACGCUUGGCCCGAAAUUAUCCAUGUACUAAUAACUUUUUGGGAUGAUCAGAAUAUAGUAUUUCGCUUUAGGGAUGUUGAAUUGACUCCUACCAUUGAAGAGGUAUUAUUUGUUACGAGAGUACAGAAAUGUGUUUUAAGAGAAGGGAGACACCUGAUAAGAACAUUUUAGUCCCGAUUGUGUGGGAUCGUCAAAAGAUCAAGGAGGUAUUUUUAACUAACGACGACACCUGGCUAGGAGAACGUGUGGAGAAAAUAUCACUUUUCGUGAGUUGUAUCGUCGGUUCGGGAGAUUCAAUGCUUUUCACAAAUUUGGGCAUAAAUAUGAGUCAGAAGCAAAAUGGAAAGAGUCGAGAGCCUUUGCAUUUGCGGUAGGCCUACUUUGAACCAUGGUGUUCCCACAAGGGGAAAAUGGCACAAUUCAUCCGAGGGUUGUCUCAGUGACCUAUGCACUCUUCUUUGGAAUGGAGUACAAUUAUAAAAAGGUAUUUCACAACUUAGAUCCUAUGAUUGUUGCCGACUUAUAUCGAACUUUGGGAAGGUGUCAAGUCGAUAAUCGUUUCUUUCAAGGCUGCAACCUUAUGUUACAAUGGUGGAUGAUGAUUCAUUUGGUGAAAAAUCCUAGAAUGACACAACCUGACCACAAAACAAGGUGGAAUCUGCUAGAAUCGCACGACAUGUGGUUGUUUUUACACAGGUUCAAAAGGGAAGCAUCUCAUGAAUUUUGGCUUAAGACUCUUGGAGAAUUAAGAGAUGACGAUGUCCAAUGGUCCCUUAACUAUCUUCAUUCAGGGAAAUACAUUAUUCAAGGGGGUGAGUGGCCUUUUCUAGUGCUUCCGGGUAUCAGGGGAACCUGUCCCUACAAUUCUGGUAGAGUUCUUAGGCAAUUUGAGAUCAAGAAGGAGAUGCCUCAAAUCGAUUCUAUGCUCAGAUUCUUCACCGAAUAUGAUGAAACCGAGCCCUCGCUCAAAGACUACAUGAUAAACGAAUUUAGAAGGAGAAGGUGGACGGAAGUCUCUUUCCAUAUAGGGUAUGUACCUGAAGUCAACGAUACUUACAAGGAGUGGGUAAAAAAGAGCCUCAGUGGUGCAUUAAUUUCGGGGCCAAACGUGCCCACUUGGGUCGUGGAUGUAGAAUUCGAGCAUCAGAUCCAACUCCACAGGCUUCAGGAUAAAUUUUAGAAAAAUGAAAUCGCGCACCGACAUCGCAUGUAGAAGAUGCUUUAACAAUACGUAUGUUGAGGGAAGAGUUGAAAAGAGCUAGGCAAGAGGCUGAUGAUGCUAGGCAGUGUUUAAUCGAUUUGGAUGAUAGCAUGGCCUCUCAACUCGAUAGUAUAGGGAAAAUGACUUACCACAGCAAGGCACAAUUAUACGGGAGUCAUCUGAUCAUCAAUAGGUAUCAAAUAGCACAGGAGGUGAACAAGGAAAAGAAGGCAAAGACAGACAAAGGAGCCUCCGUUAGCUAGUUUUUCUAUUUCCCCUGCGCGGGAACUUAUUUUCUUUCAUGUUAUUUCCCUUUUUUCCUAAAGAUUGUAUCCCUCUUUUCUUAUUUUUUUGAAGGCAUCUAUGCCCUUUUUCGUGUCUAUAUAAAUUAGGGGAUAAUGGAUUGACUUUAAGGAAGCAUAUAUUUUCUUCAAAAUCGUUAGGCCUGAACCCUUGGCUCAAAAAGGGUCACCCCAGUUAGGAUACGCAUUAUUAUAAUGUUUUGUGUGAUAUAAUUGUCUUAUGUUCUUAUGUGUGUUUAUUUGGAUCAACGGCAAGUUUAUUCGCUAUACUCCUAUGGAUGAAUUUGGCUAUGACUCAAAAAACUCUAUGUGAUUAUUUCUUGUCAAAUAUUUUGCAUUACUUAUCACAUACGGAAACUAACACAUCUGCCUUUGAGUUGUUUUACUUAACAGAUAGUAGAAACUACUCUGUGUUGAUAUAAGUUGGCAGAACAUCCCUACUUCACCCGGUCAAAAGCGCACAAAAUCCCAUCCUCUGACCAUCAUUUAAUAAUACUAGAAAUAAUGAAGAAAACGCAUUGACCAUCAGGGACAAUCUAAUAGUGGAACAGAAUGAGAUGAUUACGGAACUCGCAAGAAAGCUUGAAAUGCUUCAGGAGGAAAUAAAUUGUACUCGAGAUUUGGCUCACCUGGCCAUCACUGUUAAUGCUCCCGCUCCAGGAGGACACGGGACUCCACUCCAAAUACCUUCCCUUAGUACGCCUAUUCUCGGGGAUCAGCCAAAUAACAUAUCAUCCGUCUCUGCCCCUUCACUUGUCCAAAAUACCAAUCGCGAAAAUAACCCAGAUGCCUACCAUCCACAAAAUCCAUCUCUAACCCCACAAAACCCAUCUACGAAUCUAUUCCCAAAUCCCCAGAACACAUUUUCAAAUCAAGAAAAUUCAUUCCCAAAUCCACAGGAUUCACUUCCAAACCCGUAAAAUCCAUUAAAUCUAUUCCCGAAUCCACCAAAUUCGUUUCCAAAUCCGCAGAAUUCUCCUCCAAUUCCACCAAACCACUCGUAAAUUCCACAAAACCUUCCUAAAUUUUAAAACAUCAUCCCCACCUACCAAUAAACUUCCUUUCAUCUGCAAAAUCAAGCCUCCUUUCCAAAUCUCCCUCAUGCCAUCAUAUCCCCUGACAUCUAUAAUCCCCUACCUAAUUUUGAGAUGGACCAUUACUAAGAGAAGGAGAAAGAGUGGAUGAUCGAGGAUGAAAUUAGGUUGCUAGCUAUGAAUGAAGAGAUCAUGAGGAUCAAAGAAUCUCAUGAAGCGAGGGACCACGACGGUUUAGGGUAUGAUGACUUAUGUGUUCACUCUGGAGUAGAUCUACCAGAAGGGUACAAGGUCCCCAAGUUUGAAGUGUUUGAUGGUGCUGGGAAUCCAAUGGCCCAUCUGAGGAGGUACUGUAAGCAACUGGUAGGGAUCGAGAAAAAUGAGGUGUUAUUGAUGCGCCUAUUCAGCCGAAGUUUAAGCGGUGAAGCCUUAGAGUGGUUCAUGUAUCAGUAGCCAAAAAAAAUGGACUGGUUGGAAAGCAUUGGCUAAGGGUUUCCUCGAAAGGUUCUCAUUCAACAUUGAAAUUAUCCCGGACCGGUAUUCACUAGAUCGGAUCAAACAAAAGAGUGAUGAGAGUUUUCGAGACUAUGUUUUUCGUUGGAGGAAGGAAGCUGCCAAAGUUCAACCCUCCAUGUCUGAGGAAGAAAUGGUAUCCGUAUUCUCUCACGCUCAAGAAGGACAAUAUUAUACCAGGAUGGUGUCCGCUUCAGGGCAACUUUUGCAGAUUUGGUAAAAAUUGGGUAAUCACUGGAAGAAGGUAUUCGUACAGGAAAAAAUUGCCAAGACCCCAACAUCGUUCGAAACUGCUAUGUUCUCGAAGAAGAAAAAAGAGGAUGUAGGCACGGUUUCUGCUGAUUCUAUUGCAAAAACGAAAAAAAGGUUCAACUCUAGGAAUGUUUUCUCUUCUCCACCAUCACCAAACUUUCAGCAUGUAUUCUACACCCAACCCCAAUACCAAGCUUCACUUCCAAAUAUCCAACCUCAGUACCAAACUCCACUCCCAAAUAGUCAACCCCAGUACCAAGCUCCACUCCUAAAUGUCCAAUCCCAAUUCCAAGCUUCGCAGCCAAAUAUUUUUCCCUAAUGUCAAGUUCCACCGCUGAAUUAUCAUCCUAAUAUCCAAUCCACUCUUCCAAACAUCCGAAAAAACAUCCAAGCACCUCUAAAUUAUCAUUAAGUGCUUCCUCCUGCAAAUCAAAAUCAUUAUAACACUCCGCAUCCAAACAUCAAAAAUAAACCUCCCCAAAACUCCACGUUGCUUGCUGAAAGUCGCACCCAACUAUUUGAAAGAUUGAAGAAUAUCGGUCACUUGUAAUCGAUCCAGUUAAAUCUUGUCAAUCCCAACUCUCGAUUUUAUUAUCCUGAUCAAAAUUGUUCUUAUCAUUAAGGAGCAGCAGGGCACAGUACCGAGGACUGUUUUAUCUUGAAACAGAGGAUCCAAGAUCUGAUUGAUCAAAAGGUCAUCACGCUUCAGUCACCGACACCAAAUGUCAAUAGUAACCCAUUGUCUAAUCAUGGGGGAUCUACUAUUAACAUGAUUGAAAUGAAACGAGAAUGGGUGUCUGGCAAGACUAUUACUAAGAUGAAUUCAGAAGAGUGCAAAAGGGCGGAAGAGGUAGAAAAGAUAGAGAGAGUUGUGGCUACCUUAAGUGUCAACGAGAAAGCCCCAUUUAUAGUGAUGACGGCCCCUAUCCAAGUGUACACUCACCCGCCAAGGAAGGAAUUUAUUGUACAGACCGUUGUUGCCUAAGGGAUGAUGCAAUCGGGAUGAUGCUACAUCUCUAAAGAAUUGACCAACAAAAAAAAUUCACAGAAAAGGCCAACCACUAAAGGGGAGGAUGAGGAAUUUUGGAGGCGUAUGCAACCCAAAGAUUAUUCAAUUUUCAAACAUUUAGAGAAGACGCCGGCCCAAAUCUCCAUUUUGGCACUAUCAAUAAGUUCGCAAUACCACCGAUAAGCUUUAUCAAAGGUCUUGGAUGAAGCGUAUGUUCCCGUAGGAACGAGUGUUGAGAACAUGGUUGCGAUGAUAGAAAACAUUGUGGGGAAUCAUCGUAUAUCAUUCAGUGAUGAAAAGUUGCCUUUUGAAGGAGUGAUGCACAAUAAAGCCUUGCAUGUCACUGUCAUUUGCCAAGAUUAUGCGAUUAAUCAGGUAUUAAUAGAUGAUAGAUCUGGUGUGAAUAUUUGUCCCCUCUCCACGUUGGUUCAAAUGGGCUAUAAUUUGGGAAAAAUUCAUCAAAGCCACAUAAAUGUGAGAGCAUUCGAUGGAGGGCAGAGAGAUACCAUAGGAGAAAUUGAUUUGUACAUCCAAAUGGGACCUGCUGAGUUCAAAACUAAGUUUCAUGUUAUGGAUAUUCAUCCUAGCUACAACCUUCUCUUGGGAAGACCAUGGAUACAUGGUACAAAGGCCGUUUCAUCACCCCGUCAUCAACUAUUGAAAUUCAUUUGGGAGGAUCAUGAAGUAGUCAUCCAAGGGGAAGGAAGCCGAGCGGAUCGUCCCAAUGGUUAUGUGCCGGUAAUUGAAGAUGUUCCAAAGGGUAGUAGUUUCUAUACGGUUGAAAUUAUAAAUGCUGUGGAGAAGGAUCUGACGCUCAAAGGGACAAUGCCUUCUUUCUAUAAAAUAAUUGCGACGGUGAUGUUAAGAAAUAGAUUCGAGCCUGGUCGGGGUUUGGGUACGAAUCUACAAGGAAUUAUUGAGCCUAUUAUGAUCCCAGAGAAAGCCUUUAAAUAUGGGUUAGGAUAUCACCCUACCGAGAAGGAUAUGGUUGAGGAUAAGUUAGAGCAGAGUCUGUGUAGGCCCUUUUUGCUUUUAUACCAGUCAUUUCCUAUACGGGAGAUGUCGAAUGAUGAUGGUCUUGAGUAUGGGAUAGGAGAUUUGUUUGAGGGAUGCAAUGCUAUACCAGAAGAUUUCCCAAAGUCCGGCGGGGUGAAGAAGAUUGCGCCAGGGGAGGCCUUGAAAAACUGGACCUCCACUCCAACCCGUCGCCCAUCGUGGUAGAUGAAAGGGCAAUUCAGAAUAGUUUUAAAAUCAGUGAUGAUCUGGAAGAGGCCCCACGAUCCACACUUUAUAUCUCAAAACUUUAUUUUUAUAUUUUACUGCUUUCAAAAAGGCAUGGACUUGUAUUUGCACGAGUCAUGAGCCAUGGUUUUGUAAUUAUCUCGCAAAUUUCAUUGAAAAGGCCUUCAUUCAUUUAAAAAAAAAUUAUUAUUCCUGAAACAUUCCUAUUCGUAUAUUUUAUUAUUAUCUUAUUAUCAUCUAACUUGGUUUGUUUGUCCAUUACAGUAACAGUAACUUAAAAUCUGCCAAUGUCAUGUCAUAUCAAAGCUUAGACGAACAAAAUAAGGGGAAUGAUGAUGAUUGGAAGGACGGUGAUGAGGAACAAUUAGUUGAAGAUAUAGAGGAGUUUGAGAAUCGAGAAAAGCCUAACCUAGAGGAAACUAAAAUAGUCAACCUCGGAGAUCAAGAUGAAAUCAAAGAAAUAAGUGUCAACGUCCACUUGGCGGAAGCACAAAAGAGAGAGCUCAUUCACCUGUUACAGGAAUAUAUUGACGGUUUUGCUUGGUCCUAUGAUGAUAUGCCGAGAUUGAGCACCAAUAUUAUGUCGCGUAAGUUGCCAAUAAAUCCAGAGUUUGAUCCAGUCAAGCAAAAAAUACGGAAAUUCAAGCCAGAUUUAAGUCAAAGAUCAAGGAAGAAGUGACAAAACAAAUCCAGUCUAAGGUUGUGGAGGUCACAAAAUAUCCAACAUGGUUGGCCAACAUUGUCCCUGUGCCGAAGAAGGACGACAAUAUUCAAAUUUGUGUUGACUAUAGAGACUUGAAUAGAGCCAGUCCUAAAGAUAAUUUUUCGUUGCCCAAUAUCCACAUCCUCAUCGAUAACUGUGCAAAGCAUGAAAUUCAGUCAUUCGUUGAUUGUCUUGCCGGGUAUCAUCAGAUAUUAAUAGAUGAGAAAGAUGCAGAAAAGACGACUUUUAUUAAGCCCUGGGGUAUUUAUCAUUACAAGGUAAUGUCGUUUGGUCUCAAGAACGUGGGUACAACAUAUAUGAGGGCUAUGACGAUGAUUUUCCAUGAUAUGAUCCAUAAAUAGAUUGAGGUGUAUGUGGAUGAUGUAAUUAGCAAAUCCUGCGAGAGUUCAGAUCAUCUGACUCAUCUGGAGAAAUUCUUUAACAGAUUAAGAAAGUACAGUUUAAAGUUAAAUCUUGCUAAGUGUACUUUUGGUGUGCCAUCAGGGAAGUUACUGUUCAUAGUUAGCAGAAGAGGCAUCGAGUUAGACCCAUCCAAAAUCAGGACAAUCCAGGACUUGCCAUCGCCGAGGACUAAGAAGAAAGUUAUGAGUUUCAUGGGUCAUUUGAAUUACAUUAGUAGCUUCAUCGCUCAAUCGACAUUCAUAUGCGAUCCAAUUCUCAAGAUAUUGAAGAAAAAUUCAUUGAAUGAGUGGACAGAAGAAUGUCAGAGAGCUUUUGACCACAUCAAAGAAUAUCUAUCUGCACCACCGGUUUUGGUUCCACCAAGAGAAGGAAUUUCAUUAUUGCUUUACCUGUCAGUCCCAAAAAAUGCUUUUGGAUGUGUCCUCGAGCAACAUGAUGAGACCGGUAGAAAAGAGAAAGCCAUUUACUACUUGAGUAAAAAGUUUACGCCAUAUGAAGCCCGUUAUACUCUUGUAGAAAUGACAUGUUGUGCUUUGACUUGGGCUGCACAAAAGUUAAGGCAUUAUCUGUCUUCGUACACGACAUACAUCAUCUCGAGAAUGGAUUCAUUGAAGUAUAUAAUACAGAAGACUAUACCCACAGGAAAGCUAGCCAAGUGGCAAAUAUUGCUAAGCGAGUUUGACAUCAUGUAUGUAACUCAAAAUGCAAUCAAGGGGCAAGCUUUGGCAGAUAAUUUGGCAGAGAAUCCAGUUGAUGAUGAGUAUGAACCACUUCAAACUUACUUCCCAUAUGAGAAAAUUCUAUUUGUGGGAGAAGACAUUACAGAAAUUUACCCUGGAUGGAGGUUAUUCUUUGAUGGAGCGGUCAACUUCAAAGGUUCAGGAAUCGGAGCAGUGUUGGUCUCAGAAAUGGGUCAACAUUAUCCAGUAACUACUAAGUUGCAUUUCCCAUGCACCAACAACAUGGCCGAAUAUGAAGCUUGCAUCCUGGGUCUCAAAUUGGCACUUGAUAUGGGUGUUCGUGAAUUGCUAGUCAUCAGGGAUUUAGAUUUGCUGAUUCACCAGGUACGGGGAGAAUGGGCGGUAAAAAAUUCCAAGAUUACUCCUUAUGUUGAGCUGGUACAGGAAUUAUGUGGAAAAUUCAAAGAAGUUGAUUUCAGACAUAUCCCAAGAAUACAAAAUGAGUUUGUUGACGCUUUGGCCACUAUAUCCUCUAUAAUUUGGCACCCAGAUCAGAGUUAUAUUAAUCCUUUGGAAAUAAGCUUGAAGGAGCAACCUGCGCAUUGUGCACGUGUUGAAGAGAAGCCCGAUGGAAAGCCAUGGUACUAUGACAUUAAAAGGUAUUUAGAAUCUGGAAUAUAUCCUGAAGAGGCCAGCAACAACCAAAAGAAACAACCCAGCGUUUGGCAAAAAACUACUUUCCAAGUGGGGAAUUUCUUUUUAAGAGGACACCUGAUUUAGGAUUUUUAAGAUGCGUAGAUGCUGUGGAAGCCAAUAAAUUGAUAAAAGAAGUACACACAGGAGUUUGCGGACCCCACAUGAAUGGGUUUGUCCUUGCCAUAAAGAUCCUGAGAACCGGCUACUUCUGGAUAACUAUGGAGAAUGAUUUAGUAAGUAUGUGCAGAGAUGUCCAAAAUGCCAUACACAUAGAGAUUUGAUUCGAAUGCCUCCACACGAGCUUCAUGAAAUGAAUUCACUUUGGCCUUUCGUAGCUUGGGGCAUGGAUGUUAUCGGACCGAUAGAGCCAUCAGCAUCGAUAGGCAUAAAUUUAUUUUUGUUGCCAUUGACUACUUCACUAAGUGGGUCAAAGCUGCAUCAUAUAGAUUCGUCACUAAGAAAAUGGUUGCAGCUUUCGUUAGGAAUAACUUGAUUUGCCAAUUCGGAGUACUGUAAUCAAUCAUUACUGAUAAUGGGGCAAACUUGAACAGUCACUUGAUGAAAGAAAUUUAUGAUCAGUUCAAAAUUGUGCAUCGCAACUCUACCGCAUAUCGUCCACAGAUGAAUGGAGCCGUAGAAGCUGCCAAUAAGAACAUCAAGAAGAUCUUGAGAAAGAUGGUCAAAAUGAUAGAUCAUGUCAUGAGAUGUUACCUUAUGCUUUGCUAGGUAUCGCACAACAGUUCGAACCUCCAUCUGGUCAACUCUCUAUUUGUUGGUUUACGGGAAUGAAACUGUGAUACCUGUUGAGGUUGAAAUACCUUCCCUGAGGAUUAUUCAAGAGGCCGGACUAAGUAACAAAGAGUGGGUUCGCGCUCGUUGUGAACAACUCAUGUUGAUUGAUGAAAAGAGAAUGGUUGCCAUGUGUCAUGGUUAGUUAUAUCAGCACAAGAUGAUUCAUGCUUUCAACAAGAAAGUGAGAGCUCGAACAUUUGAAGUUGGGCAAUUAGUUCUCAAAUGCAUACUCCCUCACCAAGAAUAUUACAAGGGCAAGUUCGCUCCAAAUUGGCAAGGUCCAUACAUAGUUCGCAAGGUACUAUCUAGAGGGGCUCUGAUUUUUCUGAGAUGGAUGGCCAUGAGUGGACCAAACCAAUCAAUUUUGAUGUGGUGAAAAGAUACUAUGUUUGAAGGGCGUUCUAGUUUUAUGGUUCUUAGUUUAUCUGUAAUCGCCAUGUAAUAAUGUGUUUUAUGAUGUGUAAUUGCCUAGAACACUUUUCCCUUUAUGUACGAACUAUGUUUGACCUGAAUUCCCAAGAAAGGGAUACGUAUGCGGCCUAUGUCGGAUUCGGUCAACCUCUUAGAGAAUUUAUUCUUUCCCUUUAUGUAUGAACUACUUGAUGACCUGAAUUCCCAAGAAAGGGAUACGUAGGCGGCCUAUGUCGGCUUCGGUCAACCCAUUAAUUUGUUUUGUAUAUUCCUAGCGUAAUCCUAAACUACAUUUGACCUGAUUCCUACUUCAACGGGAUACGUAGGCGCCCCAACGGUUCGAUCAUAUAACCCCAAGAAAUGAAAACUGGGGCAGAAUUUUUGAGAAGGAAUCUCGAAAAUUCACAAGAGAAGAUCAACAUCCAACAAAGAGAACGAAGAUCAGCAAAGACUUUAGAUCCACUCAAGAUGAUAUCAUCUCAGACUACUUUAAACUGGGGCAGAAAUUUUAAGGAAGACCUCAAAAUUUCAAUCAAAUACUGGAAUAUAUUUUAGAUUCCCCAGCACUAGAGGUCAAAGUUGAGAUUUGAGAAUAACCACCUGUGAUAAAGUCUAGGAAGACUGAAUCUCCAUCUUUGAUAAAACCUCUGGUAGAGAGCCUCGACAAUCUUGAAUCCCAGCUAUCCUCCGUCAAACGUCAGACAUUGUCAGAAUCAAGAUAAAGAAGGUCGUUGAGCUAGCACAUGACAUGACUGGCAAAGAUUUUUCAAAGUUUUGCAGGAGUUCUCAAAAUUAUUUUCUAAAAAGUAAGAGUACUAAAAUCUAUAUAAAUCUUUUACUUAGUUAUUGCCUAGACAUCAAUUAGGACGGAGAGUCAUAAGUAGAAGUCCCAACACGACGAAAUACCUGAAAAAUGGCGAAAGGUAAAUCAAGGAUCGAAGGAGGUCAACACGAAGUAGUUUCACUCAAACUAAUCAUUUUUUAUGGGCGCAAGGACCAAUACACAAAAAUGAAAGUCUCUUUCAAAAAUCUCCGAGCAAAUUGGGAGCCACACCAGAGCACUAAUGCUCAAGAACAGUAUUUUUGGGUAGCCCUAAAAAUGGGUUUAGUACCCAUAUAUUGAAGACCUUUUAAAGUUGUCCAUCUCAUUUCUUGAGAUCAUGGAGGACAAAUAAAAGUGUCUUGUCUUCUUUACAAAUAUUGUAUUUAGAAUUUUUCUAAAAAACAUUCGCUAGCAAAAACGACUUUGUGUCUACUAAUCGUCUACCUUGAGUAUAGGUACAUGCAGAAAGCAAGAUCCUGACAAAUGAUUUCAGUUGAAACUAUUUUUAAUUUACCGGAAGAACCAUUGCAUAUCAUUGCCGAAAGAACAAUUUGAGAGAUUAUCUAUAAGUCAUAUUGUAUCCAAGGUCGGAUGAUAUGCAGGAACCCCUGAAAGCUAGCGAUUGGAGGGAUAUCUGUAAGCUGUCUCUUAUCCAAAGUCGAAUAAUUUGCAGGAUUACCUAAAAGCUAGAAAUUCAAAGGAUAUUUGUAAGUUUCCUCUUAUCCAAUAUCAAAUAAUGUGCAAGAUUAUCCAAAGAUUGAUAAUUUAAAGGAAAUUUAUAAAUCAAUCAUCGUCAAUAACCAAAAAGGUUAUCCUUCCACAUACAACAAGAAUUAUAGGUGACCGAAGAAGUUACCACAUCUACACAAGAUUACAUGGUUGUGAGGACCAUUCUUCAUAAAAUAUCAUUGAUGUCCGAAGGGCCACCCCACUUUGAAGAUAUAUUCAACCGACAAAUGCCAUAAUUAUACAACUAUCAAGAAGGUUGUUGUGCCUGUUAUUUCAAGUUAUUUCCUUUCAAACAGGUACAAGAAAGGAUGACUUCGCUUUUUAGACAACAACUCACGCGGAGAUAUGGUAAAAUACUAUAUACCUCUUUCGUGAGUUAUGCUUAUCACUAAUGAUUUUUGUUUGAGAUAUUGUCGAGAGCAUCCGAGAGGAUAAAAAUCUCAAAUCAAAACCACAAGUGAGGACGACUCCAAAAAGGACGCAGCACAACGUGGAACUCUUUCUUAGCAGCAAAACGGGACAUAGUCUAGACAGGGAUGUCAAACUCUCUGGAUGCGAGCUAAAUGAUGAUUACCACCACCAUCUAACCACACCCCUUUUAGAAGGCAUGUGGGUAUUUUGGGAUAUUCUGGUUUCAGCUUCACCUUCGGGAUAUUUUCUUUACUCAUACCGAGGGUAACCUUCUCUUUCUUUCAAAUUUGGGUGACAACAUACUUAGAGUUUUGAAAAUUAUGUCCAGGUAAGUUCUUAUCUAUGGAUGUGAAGGAUCCCACAUUCAUGAUUAAGAGGUUACAAACCUUUUUUCCGCAACUCAGUCAACUUGUCACUUAUCCUGAUCCAAAGAUUGUCUAAAAAUAGAAGACUAUCUUUUCUACCGAUAGAGUCGAACUACAAGCAGUCUGAUUCCCUGAGUCUCGGGGAUAUGUAAGCUGGGCUCUAUGUAGAAAACUCAACUGAAUUCCAACCUCCCCCCAAAUCCCUCUAUUCCAUAGCUUUUUGAUUUUGUCAAAAACUCCAAAAAUCGAGACAACUUGUGAAUUUUUUAAAAAUCAUGCUUUAAAUCAUGCUUUAUGAACUACAAGUGGCCUGAAUUCUCAUGCCACCUGAGAUAUGUAGGAAACCUGAUGCCAAGGUUCGGCCAUAACUCAUUAAACUCGUGCUUAAGCCAACCUUUUUCAGAUGUGAAUUUGUGAUCAAACAAAAAUUAGGAACGUCAACCUCCCUUUGCCUAGGAUUACUUGCAUCCACCCUACCCAAAGGGAGGGGGCAGUUGUUGACACCUAAUUUUUACCCCCCAUAACUAAGUUUAAUUCCGAGUUCUUUAAUUUUUAAUAAGAUUACAACAUUUAUUUUAUAGAAUAAAGGAAAUUUUCAAAAAUAUUUAUCGAGGUAAUUUCGUCACUUUAAGUAGCAAUAACAUGUUAUCGUGCCCGACUAUAUGAAAUUAUAUGCUUUGGUUACUUAAAUGGCUAUUUUCUAUAAAAUAAUCAAAGUUUGUCUUGAAAUAAUUUCGAAUGGUUAAAAUCUUGGUCUAAACAUAAUUUAAUCUCAAAAAUAAUUUGUUCAUAUAAAUAUUUGUUUAGAUUUUAUUAAAUCAAGAAGCUCGAAAUUAAAGGAGAUAUUAAUUGAUUUCAAAUUUUGAUUCAAUUCGGCUAACCUGUCAGCUUCGACCACAAUUGAAAUUAGAUUGGUCAUUAUUGCGAGCAAUUGGCCAAUCGAUUUUAAAUUUGGCCAAAAUUUGAAUAAAUCAGCCAAAUCUCCAAUUACAUAAUCAACCCAUUUAAAUCAGUUUUGUCCCAUUUUGUAAACUACAAACAGCAGCCCACUUUCUUAAUUUAGCUUACUAGCUUUGCCAACCCAAUAGUUAAGAUAAGCCCUUUCCCCUUUCAGUUGGGCCAUACAGUUGGGCCGUUAAUCCAAAACUUUCAGAUGACCCAACAAUUUUCAAAUGACAUCAAACCCAACCCAUUUCCUCAGUAACCUUUUUCUUUAAUUAUAUUGACCGCCCCAGCCCAACAACAACAUCCAAUUCAUAACCAGGCCCAAUUUCAGCAUCCCCACCAGCCUAUUUUCCUCUUUAUUCUCAAACAGGCCCAAAUCAACCACCUGUUACCCAAUCCAGCCCAAUUCUCUUUACCUCCUUUAUCUUCUUUCUCUUCAAACCAAGGGAAAACCAAAAACAGUUGUAAUACUACGACACCACCACCUUCAUCGACAACAUAAGCAACCAACAAUGGCAAAAAAUUUGAAUCCAUCAACCAGAUAACCCGAAUCCACCAUCCCCAACCAUUUUGUUUGCUCUCCACAUGCGUAUCAGGCAUCAAAAAGACGAGAAAAGAAUCCAAGAAAAAAAUAGUCUCAAAUCUUCUAGAACGAGCCUAGGUGUCAUCCCCAAUGGUUCAAUCUCGUGUUUCUCAUAUAAGAUUGUACGAUUUCGUACAGAGUUGGAUGAUUUUCAUUGGUUCUUGAAAAUAGUCCAUUUUUCCUAAAUGGUAUUAGUCCACCUGUGGCAAAUUUCUCUAAAAAAAUCCAAAGUUGGUACGUUUUGGGCUUGAAAAUGAGGCUGUGGGAGAAUGGGAUUCUGAAUUUUGAAUUUCUCUUUUUUUUUCAAUCCCUAGAUUACCCCGAACUCAUUCCAUAUAUAAGAAUCCAUCGGGUUACUGUGAUGGGGGGAUUUUUUUUUUAGACGGGCUUCUCCUCCUUCUUUCUAGGUUCGCAACCUUAGAGGUAAAGGGAUUCCAACUAGGAGGUUUGGAAAAUUUUGCAGAAGUAUCGAGGGUUUUGGGGCCAAAAAAUUUUAGGGGAAAACUUCUUAAAUUAGGAAAUUGAUAGAGAGGGCUAAGUUCAGAAACCAAGGAGGAAGUUUCCAUAGAAAGAAAACAAAGUUUUUAGUAUAGGUGUCUUUGGUCGACGACUACUUCGAGCUUUCGUGGUCACCGUGUUAAACUUUCUAGUGGUAUUGAAAUCCUGUCGUCAGUUCGACAACCUAUUUUGAUGCUCCGAAACAGGUAAACGCGCCUUUUUCUUUGAGUUUGUUUUGCUUCUUCAUCUCAUUCUUUGUAGUUUUGUAAUCAUAGUGAUAGUGAGAUGGUUUAUUGUAGAUGGUUGUUAUGGCCAUAGGAUUUUCUUGCAAAGAUUGUCGUUAUGUUGUUCGUUGCAUAAAUGUCUACACUCUAAUCCUUCGCUCCACUUUCGAUUACGUAUGUUUCGAUUUGAUCGUUUUGACUCACCAUAUUAUUUUCAUGUUGUUAGUUAGUUUCAAUCCAUUCUUAAUAGUAAUCAAUAUUGUCAUGGCGGUAUUUUUUUUAGCAUAAAUGUUGCUGAUUUUUUCAGUUUAAAUAGUAUUACUUUCAAGCCAGAAUAUUGUUAUUUUUUUAGUCUAAGUAUUGUUGGGUUUCAACCCCAAAUAUUGUUGUGUUUUUUAGUCCAAGUAGUGCUGUUUUUAGGCCUGUUUAUUGCUGUUUUUUUAGCCUAAAUAUCGCAGGUUUUUAGCCUGAAUGAUGUUUCGGAACUUAAAUAUUUUUCCCAGACCUUGAACAUCGUCGUUGAACGCUUUGGAUUUGUUUUGUUGCGCCAAACAUCUAAAAUUUUCUUACGUAGCAUACAGUUGAGUCAGAUCUUGUUUGGUUGUCUUUAGAAUCGAUCAAUAACAUGUUUGUUGUUUUGUUUCGAUUUAAAUCGGUCUUCCUUUCAAAUUAUAGAUGACCAAAAUAGAUAAUGUGCUUCUUUCUUCUUGAAAAUGACGUUCAAAACUGUUUGUGCUUGAGGCGUUGAUUUAUUUUUCCUUUCCCCCUUUGUUAAAAAUAUGUCCAAUUCAUCUUUUUGUGUCGAUUAGAACAGUGGCUUGUCAAUAUCCUAUUCUUACGUUGGUCUGAUUUUCGCUCAUAGGCUUAAAACUCUUAAGGUUUUGCAAAGCUAUUAUGUAGAAAACAACGAUUCUAUUGUCUUUUGGAUACGAAUCUGCAUCCUCAAUAUUUCUUCCGAUAAAUUGUUUCGGAGUCUAUCGUUUUCUCUUUUUGUCUUUGUUAAUAUGUGUCAUUUGCUACUACUUGUUGAUUCUUUGUUUGUAAUACUUGUUUUUCGGUUAUCUUCUACCCUGUUUAAUUAUCUGGUUCAAUAUAUUAAUUUUUUUUAGCUUCAAGAAUCUUGUGAUGAACUAUCACUUGCUGGUCAUUGAUAUCAAAAUAAAGCAAGAUGUGUUCAAACCAAGCUAUAUAAUUGGUCUUUUCUCUUAAGUUUGUGCUUUCUGGUUGAUAAAUUUUAAGGUGAUAUUUCUAUGGGUGAAAUGAAUCAGGAGCUUUACAUGAUAUUUCUUUUAAUUAGAUCACACUAGUACUGUUUUAUUCAUGCACCAAAUGUAUUCUUUUCCAUGUCAUCACUUAUUUGUUAAGUAACCAACUUUCAAACAUAUAUUAAUUUUCUUACUUUUUACUUUGCAUGUGGAUACGUUUGAGUCCUAAACGGACUCCUUUUCACCUUUGCAUCCUCUCUAUGGGUCCUUGAGGCUCACCUCGUUGAACUAAGCCCAAAAGAAGGUCCAAAAGCCCAUCGUUUGAUGUAUGGUUACGAGAAGACGGAAGGAAAGGAAAUGGAUUAAAGCCCUACGUGUGAAGCGGCUAAGAGACAAAAGUCUCAAUUAUUAUUUCAUUCUACUUAUUGUUGCUUUUUUUUUUUAUUUAUUUUAUUUGUUUGUUCAUUUUAUUCAUUCAUUUGGUCCACGAAGUCGAAGUUGUAAAUUUAAUACAGGUGGAGCGAGACUCGAGCUAAAGACUCGAAAAACAUAGAAUUAGGAUAGGUGCAAAUGGGUCGAAAUCCUAACUAGAUUAGGAUAGGGUCGACGGUUUGGGCUUAAAAGCCUAAAUCAUUACUUUCCCACUUUUUUCCUUUUUUCUUUUCAUUUACUUGUUUGCUUGUCUCUUUGCGAAGUUAGUUAAAUCCCUAACUAAGUCACUAAAAAAUUGAUUUUGAAUGUCAAUAUCCUAUUCUUACGUUGGUCUGAUUUUCGCUCAUAGGCUUAAAACUCUUAAGGUUUUGCAAAGCUAUUAUGUAGAAAACAACGAUUCUAUUGUCUUUUGGAUACGAAUCUGCAUCCUCAAUAUUUCUUCCGAUAAAUUGUUUCGGAGUCUAUCGUUUUCUCUUUUUGUCUUUGUUAAUAUGUGUCAUUUGCUACUACUUGUUGAUUCUUUGUUUGUAAUACUUGUUUUUCGGUUAUCUUCUACCCUGUUUAAUUAUCUGGUUCAAUAUAUUAAUUUUUUUUAGCUUCAAGAAUCUUGUGAUGAACUAUCACUUGCUGGUCAUUGAUAUCAAAAUAAAGCAAGAUGUGUUCAAACCAAGCUAUAUAAUUGGUCUUUUCUCUUAAGUUUGUGCUUUCUGGUUGAUAAAUUUUAAGGUGAUAUUUCUAUGGGUGAAAUGAAUCAGGAGCUUUACAUGAUAUUUCUUUUAAUUAGAUCACGCUAGUACUGUUUUAUUCAUGCACCAAAUGUAUUCUUUUCCAUGUCAUCACUUAUUUGUUAAGUAACCAACUUUCAAACAUAUAUUAAUUUUCUUACUUUUUACUUUGCAUGUGGAUACGUUUGAGUCCUAAACGGACUCCUUUUCACCUUUGCAUCCUCUCUAUGGGUCCUUGAGGCUCACCUCGUUGAACUAAGCCCAAAAGAAGGUCCAAAAGCCCAUCGUUUGAUGUAUGGUUACGAGAAGACGGAAGGAAAGGAAAUGGAUUAAAGCCCUACGUGUGAAGCGGCUAAGAGACAAAAGUCUCAAUUAUUAUUUCAUUCUACUUAUUGUUGCUUUUUUUUUUUAUUUAUUUUAUUUGUUUGUUCAUUUUAUUCAUUCAUUUGGUCCACGAAGUCGAAGUUGUAAAUUUAAUACAGGUGGAGCGAGACUCGAGCUAAAGACUCGUAAAACAUAGAAUUAGGACAGGUGCAAAUGGGUCGAAAGCCCAACUAGAUUAGGACAGGGUCGACGGUUUGGGCUUAAAAGCCUAAAUCAUUACUAGAUUAGGACAGGGUCGACGGUUUGGGAUUAAAAGCCUAAAUCAUUACUUUCCUGCUUUUCCCCCCUUUUCUUUUCAUUUAGUUGUUUGCUUGUCUCUUUGUAAAGCUAGUUAAAUCCCUAACUAAGUCGCUAAAAGUUUGAUUUUGCAAAAAAAUUUUCCUUAAUCAACUAUUUUUCUAGCAAAUUAAUUUUCCAAAGUUAAUCAAAAGAAUGUUUUUAAACAGUCUGGGUAACCGCAAGUUAACGGACGUUUUAGGUUCCUAACACCUUCCUAAAACGUUAAUAGGAACCGCCUACUUAGAAUCUCUUAACUUAAACAAUUUUCCUGUUUUGAAUUGUUUGAAGUAAUUCUCUAAAGGUUUCUUAAUUCCUUUUCAAAAUUAAGUGGCUACUCUCUUUCAAAAUUCAAAAUUUUCGCAAAACAAUUAACUGUCAAAGUUUGAAUUUUGAAAUUCCGACCGAGCCACAUAAAUAAAACAGAGGGAGUAGUAAAAAGAUUAUGAAUUUGAUUACAUACAUAUUUAAUGAAUUUUUUAACACAUAUACAUAAUUUGGGCCAAAGCUACUUGGUUCUGUCAAACAGUAUGCUGAAGGCUACUCUGCCCCUGUUAAUAAGUGAUAUGAUUGUAUUAGUACUUUUUAUAAUGUCAAUGCAUAGAACUUAAUUUCCUUUCUAGUAAGUGUCAUGUAUAGCAUACUUUUAUCUUCUUCUUACUAUGUCCUUUUGGCUUUGGUCAUUACUAUGUGCCAUGUUUGGAACGAUGCCUCACUCUGUUAAAUAAGUUGUCACAUAUGCAUGCAAGGAAGGAACAGUAUACAAGAAAUUUAUGAAUUUGUUCAAAUUAAAGAUGCAUGGUUGAGCGGAGAUUAAGGAAGGUCAUGUCUAUUUCGGAGAAUCAGUUUGGAUUUAUGCUUAGUCGCUCGACGACAGAGGUAAUCCACUUGGCCAGGAGANNNNNNNNNNNUGGAAAGAAAGAGGGAUCUACACAUGGUGUUCAUCUACCUGUAGAAGGCGCAUGACAAAGUCCCUAGGGAAGUUCUUUGGAGGUGCUUGAAGGUGAGAGGGGUCCCGAUGACGUAAAUCAGAGUCAUUAAGGACAUGUACAAUGAAGGGAAGACUCGGGUGAGGAUGGCGGGCGGAGAAUCAGAUCAUUUUUUGGUCGAGACAAGGUUAUAUCAGGGAUCGACUCUCAGUCCGUGUCUGUUUGUGUUGGUGAUGGAUGUGUUGACGCAAAGUAUUCAAGGUGAGGUGCCUUGGUGUAUGUUAUUUGCAGAUGACGUAGUGUUGAUUGAUGAGACACUGGGAGGUGUAAAUAAAAAAUUAGAGGUUUGGAGGCAUACCCUUGAGUCUUAGGGGUUUAGGUUGAGUAGGUCAAAGAUAGAGUAUAUGGAGUGCAAGUUUAGUGACUCGAAGCAGGAGGCCGAAGUGGUGGUAAGGUUGGAUUCCCAGGAUGUUUGCAAGAGGGAUAGUUUUAAAUAUCUCGAAUCUAUGAUUCAGAGGAAUGGCGAGAUUGAUGAGGAUGUCUCUAAGCGUAUUGGAGCAGGUUGGAUGAAGAGGAGGCUCGCCUCGGGAGUGUUGUACGAUAAGAAGGUGCCCUUAAAGCUUAAAGGUAAGUUCUACGGAGUGGCAAUCCGCCCGGCCGUGUUGUAUGGUGCGGAGUGUUGGCCAGUCAAGAACUCCCAUAUUCAAAUAUUGAAGGUAGCGGAAAUGAGAAUGUUGCAUUGGAUGUGUGGGCUUACUAGAAGGGAUAGAGUUAAGAAUGAGAUUAUCCGGAAGAAGGUGGGAGUGGCGUCGGUGGAAGACAAGAUGAGGGAAAAAAGACUGAGAUGGUUUGGGCAUGUGAUAAGGAGGGGCACAGAUGCCCCAGUUCGUAGGUGUGAGAGACUAGCUUUGGAUGGUUUCAGGAGGAGUAGAGGCUGACCGAAGAAAUAUUGGAGAGAGGUGAUUAGACAUAACAUGGAGCUGCUACAGCUUACUGAAGACAUUACCCUAGAUAGGAAGGUGUGGAGGUCGCGAAUAAGGGUGGAAGGCUAGUGCGGGUGUGGGUUGUGACUUGUAGUUAGGGAGCUCUUCUGUAGUCGAUUUAGUAACCCUAGGACUGUCCUUUGGUAGGAGCCGCUAGUGUAUUCUACUACUAGGUGAGUGUCCUUGUCUUAUUUCUUAUUUCCUAUUUCUUAUUUUCGUAGUUCGCUUAUUUUCGUGUCGCUCUUAUUUUUAUUAUUAUUGUUUCUUAUUUCUUAGUUUUUGGUUAUGUCACCCAUCUUGUUUCAUGUAUUAAUAUGACCUUGUUAAUUAUUCUUUAUCUAGAGUCGGGGGUCUAUCAGAAACAACCUCUCUACUUCUUUGGAAGUAGCGGUAUGGACUACGUACAUUCUACCCUCCCCAGACCCCACUUGGUGCAAAUACACUGGGUUUGUUGUUGUUGUUGUUGUUGUAAAGAUGCUAAUUAAAUUAAGGUACACAUAAACCUAAGUAUUAUGACUUGGAAACUCACAUAGUAGUACUUGCUACGUUCAGACUACAAAACACAUUGAUUUUCCCUUUUAACUGAAAUGUCAUUGAUCUAGUAGUAAAAUGUUACGAUGAUCCUCUUUCACUUCUUGACAGAAAAAUGAGGAAUCAUGCAAUAAGCUUAUAUCGUUCAACAUUAUUAUUUGCACUGAUUUUGAGUAUUGCUUCUUGAGAAUUAAUUGAAUUCGAUAAGUUCCUCCGGUCUGUAAAUUUAAGUUUAAGCUUUUAACAGCUUUAUAGUUUUUCUAGUUACCAUAUCCCAAAUGUAGCUUCGGUCGUUUUUGCUAUGUUCUUUUUUUUUUCCUUUGAUAUGAAAGUGGCACUAUAUGAUUCAUGUCUUUGGAAAGUGAAACUCAGAACUACACCAUCAUUGGAAUAUAUCAAACAUUUAUUCUAUUGUCAACUCAAUCACAAUAACUUUACAAGGCCAUCAAGCAAUCAAAUUUUAAGAAUUAUAUGAUGAUAUUCAUUUUCCGGGAACAAAAUUUGUGGCGUAGGCCCAGGCAUUGUUGUUAACCGGAUCUGCUAGGUGGUCAGCAAGGUUCUCCAAUGGACCCUUUCCUGUAACAAUGGCCUGAACAAAGAAUCCAAACAUAGAGAACAUAGCAAGUCUACCGUUCUUGAUCUCCUUUACCUUGAGCUCAGCAAAUGCCUCUGGAUCAUCAGCAAGACCUAAUGGGUCAAAGCUGCCACCGGGAUAGAGUGGGUCGACAACCUCGCCAAGAGGCCCACCAGCAAUACGGUAUCCCUCAACGGCUCCCAUCAAGACAACUUGGCAAGCCCAGAUGGCCAAGAUGCUCUGUGCAUGGACCAAACUUGGGUUGCCCAAGUAGUCAAGUCCACCCUCGCUGAAUAUCUGGGAUCCAGCCUUGAACCACACAGCCUCACCAAACUUGACACCAUUACGGGCCAAGAGCUCGGGGAAAACACAUCCAAGAGCACCAAGCAUAGCCCAUCUGCAGUGGAUCACCUCGAGUUCACGGUUCUUGGCAAAGGUUUCUGGGUCUGCUGAAAGUCCAGCGGUGUCCCAACCAUAGUCACCAGGGAAUUCACCGGUCAAGUAGCUUAGGGGCUCACCAGAGAGUGGGCCCAAGUACUUAACACGGUCUGGGCCAUACCAUGGGCUGCUAGAUGGUGCAGACUUGAGAGCCCUUCUCAUAGAGAUUCUUCCAUUUCCAGUGAUUUCUGAGGGAGAGGGUGAGAGUUUCACUGCCUGUCCAGCAAAAGAAGGGGAAGAAAGAGCCAUUGUAGAAGCUGCCAUGGUUUUUCUCAAGAGAAAGGUAAGUGUUUGAUGGUAUGAAAUAUUGUUGAAGUUGGCUGUGAUGAGGUGAAGUUAAUUACAAGGGGCUUCACCAUAUAUAGGAGGAGUAAGAGCGGUAGAGGCCUUUAUCUAACGAUAUCUACAUCUUUUUCUUUUGGUGUUAACGAUAUCUGUAUCUGUGAUCUCAUUGGGUAAUAAGAUCACAUGUGUAGAAAUUAAUGCACACUUGGCAAUCUCCAGACUCCAAUCCAUCAAUUUUCCAAGAUGUUUACUAAAGGGACCCAUCCAAUAUUGUCCUCCUUUGUGUGGAUACGAGGGUAUUGACUCUAUUCUGUGAUUUGUUGAGCUUACAAUAAGAUAUCUCUUAUCGUUAUCCAUUGGGAAUUUCUCCGGAUUUUAUCUAAUAGCUGGGAAUAAGUUACCAACACUAUAGCUCAUUCAAUGUAGAAGUAGAAACUAGAACUAUGUUUUAAGCAUUCCACUAAAUAAAUUGUGGAAAAACUGAAUUUUUUAAAUCAGAUUGUCAGUUACUAAUGUUUAUCAAAAGAUUAAUUUGUAGUAAUUACUUAAUAAGCAAAAGUGGAUCAGAAUUUGAACUUUUAUGGGUUCUGUAGUCUAGGACGACGACCUUAAAUUCUACUAAAUAGUUUCUAAAUUUAACUUUUCUACAUAUUUAAUAAGUUUAUUAAAACAUACAUGGUUUGGGCCAAAGUUAGUUCUGUCAAACCGGUUUGCUGAAGGGUACCUCUGCGCGUCCAUGUUAAUAAGUGAUAUGAUUGUGUUAUGCGUAAGUAUUUUUACAAUGUCAGUGCAUAGCGUCUCUAUAGGGUCGUCUAUACCUUGUAUCUUCUGCUUACAAUGUCCAUUUGGCUCUGAUCAUUGCUAUGUGAACAUGUUCUUCUCUAAAGAUAGUACCGCAUGCAUGUAAGGAAGGAGGACUACACAAGAAAUUCAAGAAUUUGUUCAAAUCUAAGAGGCUAAUUAAAUUAAGGGCACAUUAGUAUAAUGACCUGGAAACUCAUAUAUUACUUGCUACGUUCAUAUUACAAAACAUAUGCAUUGGUUUUCCCCUUAUCAUUUAAAUGUCAAUGGCCUACGUAGUAGUGAAAUAAUAUUAUGUCCUCUUAAUUUAUCUCACUUCUCUACAGGAAAAUAAGGAAUCAUGUAAAUAGCAUCAUGUUGUUCAUUGUUAUUCUUGGCACUAAGAGUAUUGCUUCAUGAGAAUUAAUUGAAUUUCAAGCUUUACCACAUCCAAAUGUAUCUUGGGUUUUUUGUUUUGGCUCUGUCAUCUUUUUUUCUCGCCUUGAUAUGAAACUGGCAGUAUUUUAUUCAUGCCAUUGGCAAAUGAAAUUCAGGACCAUACAAUAGUUGGAAUAUAAGAAAAAUCCAUUCUAUUGUUAAGUAAACUCACAAUUACAACUUUACAAGGACAUCAAACAAUGAAAUUUUAAGAUUGUUUUAUGAUAUUCAUUUUCCAGGAACAAAGUUUGUGGCGUAGGCCCAUGCGUUGUUGUUAACUGGAUCUGCAAGGUGGUCAGCGAGGUUUUCCAAUGGACCCUUUCCGGUAACAAUGGCCUGAACAAAGAAUCCGAACAUAGAGAACAUAGCAAGUCUACCGUUCUUGAUCUCCUUUACCUUGAGCUCAGCAAAUGCCUCUGGAUCAUCAGCAAGACCCAAUGGGUCAAAACUGCCCCGGGGUAUAGUGGGUCGACAACUUCACCAAGAGGCCCACCAGCAAUACGGUAUCCCUCAACGGCUCCCAUCAAGACAACUUGGCAAGCCCAGAUGGCCAAGAUGCUCUGUGCAUGAACCAAGCUUGGGUUGCCCAAGUAGUCAAGUCCACCCUCGCUGAAGAUUUGGGAUCCAGCCUUGAACCACACAGCCUCACCAAACUUGACACCGUUACGGGCCAACAGCUCGGGGAAGACACAUCCAAGGGCACCAAGCAUAGCCCAUCUGCAGUGGAUCACCUCGAGUUCUCGGUUCUUGGCAAAGGUUUCUGGAUCUGCUGAAAGUCCACCGGUGUCCCACCCGUAGUCACCAGGGAAUUCACCGGUCAAGUAGCUUGGGGCCUCACCGGAGAAUGGGCCCAAGUACUUAACACGGUCUGGGCCAUACCAUGGGCUGCCAGAUGAGGCAGGCUUGGUGACAGCCUUUCUCACAGAGAUCCUUCCAUUUCCAGUGAUUUCUGAGGCAGAGGGUGAGAGUUUCACUGCCUGUCCAGCAAAAGAAGGGGAAGAAAGAGCCAUUGUAGAAGCUGCCAUGGCUUAUCUCAAGAGAAAGGUAAGUGUUUGAUGGUAUAAAAUAUUGUUGAAGUUGGUUGUAAGGAUGCUGAAGUUAGUUGGGUUCAGAAUGUAUAGGGGUUAAGUAGAGAGAAAAAAUCCUCUUAUCUAGUGCUGUCUAUAGCUAUGAUUUCAUUGGGUAUCAAGAUCCCAUGUAUAGCAAUUAAUGCACUCUUGGCAAUCUCCAAUCCAUCAAUUUUCCAAGAUGUUCACUAAGGGGAACCCAACCAAUUUUGUCUUCCUAUAUGUGGCUGCAAAGCUUGAAAUCUAUUCUAUGAUUUCUUGAGCUUCAAUAUGAUAUCUCUUAUCCAUUGAGAAUUUCUCAAGAUUUUAUCCACCAGGAGUAUAGCUCAUUCAGUGUAGAACUAUGGCUUAGCAUUUCACUAAUUAAAUUGAGGAAAAGCUGAAAUUCAUUUGUAUCAGAUCAUCAAUUACUAAUGUUUGUCAAAAGAUUAACCUGUAAUUGCUUAAUAAGAAAAGGUGGAUCAAGAAUUGAACUUUAUGAGUUCUGAAAUCCUGGACUAGACCUUAAGUAGUAUAUCCUCCGCCUCAAUUUAUGUGACACAAUUGAAAUUUCGCGAGUCUACCAAGUUUUUUUUUGAUGGAAAUAUCUUUGUAUGUCUUUUAAAUAUUUCAAGUUGUUAAUUAUUGAUAGUAGUACUUUUUGUUUUUAGAUGACCGUGGUGUCCCAUACUUGCCACCUCCCACCAACAUGGGAUUUGAACCUAAAACCUUUGAGGUUCUCAACCCACUUCAUUGACCAUUAGACCUUGGGUGCAUUGUGAUUUACAGUAUUGUUUUAAUAGUUUCCAAGUACAUAGAUUUUAUUUCAAAAAACUUAAAACUUUUGUGUCCAAAUUGACUGUUAAAAGUUUGAAUUUUGAAAUUCCUACCGUGCCACAUAACAGAGGGAGUAAUAAAAAGAUUCUGAAUUUGAUGUACAUACAUAUUUAAUGGUUUUUGUAACACAUAUACAUAAUUUGGGCCAAAGCUACUUGGUUCUAUCAAACAGUAUGCUGAAGGCUACCCCUGCACCUGUUAAUAAGUGAUAUGAUUGUAUUUAGUAUUUUUUAUAAUGUUAAUGCAUAGAACUUAAUUUCCUUUGUAGUAAGUUUCAUGUAUAGCUUACUUUUAUCUUCUUCUUACUAUGUCCUUUUGGCUCUGGUCAUUACUAUGUGCCAUGUUUCGAAGGAUGCCUGCCUCUGUUAAAUAAGCCGUCACACAGGCAUGCAAGGAAGGAAGGAAGAGUAUACAAGAAAUUUAUGGAUUUGUUCAAAUAAAAGAUGCUAAUUAAAUUAACGUACACGUAAACCUAAGUAUUAUGACCUGGAAACUCAUAUAGCAGUACUUGCUACAUUCAGACCACAAAAAUAUUGGUUUUCCCUUUUAACUGAAAUGUCAUUGGUCUAGUAGUAAAAUAAUAUGAUGAUCCUCUUUCACUUCUUGACAGAAAAAUGAGUAAUAAUGUAAUAACAUCAUAUCGUUCAACAUUAUUCUUUGCACUCAUUUUGAGUAUUGCUUCUUGAGAAUUAAUUGAAUUCCAUUAGUUCCUCCGGUCUGAAAAAUGUAAGUUUUAGCUUUUAACAGCUUUAUAACUUUUCUAGUUACCAUAUCCCAAUUGUAGCUUCGGUCUUUUUCUGCUAUGCUCUUCUUCGUUUUUCCUUUGGUAUGAAAGUGGCAAUAUAUGAUUCAUGUCUUUGGAAAGUGAAACUCAGAACUAGACCGUCAAUGGAAAAUAACAAACAUUUAUUCUAUUGUCAACUCACUCACAACAACUUUACAAGGCCAUCAAACAAUCAAAUUUUAAGAAUUAUAUUAUGAUAUUCAUUUUCCAGGAACAAAGUUUGUGGCGUAGGCCCAGGCAUUGUUGUUAACCGGAUCUGCUAGAUGGUCAGCAAGGUUCUCCAAUGGACCCUUUCCUGUAACAAUGGCCUGAACAAAGAAUCCAAACAUAGAGAACAUAGCAAGUCUACCGUUCUUGAUCUCCUUUACCUUGAGCUCAGCAAAUGCCUCUGGAUCAUCAGCAAGACCUAAUGGGUCAAAGCUGCCACCGGGAUAGAGUGGGUCGACAACCUCGCCAAGAGGCCCACCAGCAAUACGGUAUCCCUCAACGGCUCCCAUCAAGACAACUUGGCAAGCCCAGAUGGCCAAGAUGCUCUGUGCAUGGACCAAACUUGGGUUGCCCAAGUAGUCAAGUCCACCCUCGCUGAAUAUCUGGGAUCCAGCCUUGAACCACACAGCCUCACCAAACUUGACACCAUUACGGGCCAAGAGCUCGGGGAAAACACAUCCAAGAGCACCAAGCAUAGCCCAUCUGCAGUGGAUCACCUCGAGUUCACGGUUCUUGGCAAAGGUUUCUGGGUCUGCUGAAAGUCCAGCGGUGUCCCACCCGUAGUCACCGGGAAAUUCACCGGUCAAGUAGCUUGGAGACUCACCUGAGAAUGGACCCAAGUACUUGACACGGUCUGGCCCAUACCAUGGGCUGCCAGAUGAGGCUGGCUUGGAGACAGCCUUUCUCAUAGAGAUCCUUCCAUUUCCAGUGAUUUCUGAGGCAGAGGGUGAGAGUUUCACUGCCUGUCCAGCAAAAGAAGGUGAAGAAAGUGCCAUUGUAGAAGCUGCCAUGGCUUAUCAAGAGAAAAGUAAGUGUUUGAUGGUAUGAAAUAUUGUUGAAGUUGGCUGUGAUGAGGUGAAGUUAAUUGCAAUUAAUGCACUCCUGAGAAUCUCCAAUCUAUCAAUUUUCCAAUAUGUUUAUAAAGGGGGACCUAACCAAUUUUGUCCUCCUAUAUGUGGCUGCAAGGCUUGAAAUCUAUUCUAUGAUUUCUUGAGCUUCAAUAUGAUAUCUUUUAUCCAUUGGGAAUUUCUCAAGAUUUUAUCCACCAUGACUAUAGUUCAUUCAGAGUAGAACUAUGUCUUAGUAUUUCACUAAAUAAAUUGAGGAAAAGCUGAAAUUCAUUUGUAUCAUAUUAUCAAUUACAAAUGUUUGUCAAAGAUUAACCUGUAAUUGCUUAAUAAGAAAAGGUGGAUCAAGAUUUGAACUUUAUGAGUUCAGUUCUGAAAUCUAGGACUAGACCUUAAGUAGUAUACCCUCCGUCCCAAUGUAUGUGGCACAAUUGGAAUUUCGAGAGUCAAUCAAAUUUUUCUUUGAUGAAAAUUCUUUGUCUUUUAAAUAUUUCAAGUUGUUAAUUAUUGUGAUUUGUUGUAGUACUUUUUAUUUUUAGAUAACCGUGGUGUGAGGUAUUUGCCACCUCCCACCAACAUGGGAUUUGAACAUAAGACCUUAAUCCACUUCAUGGACCAUUAAGCCAUAACCUUGGGUGCAUUGUGAUUUAUAGUAUUGUUUACAUAGUUUCCAAGUACAUAAACUUUAUUCUUCAAAAAACUUAAAACUUUUUUGUCUAAAUUGAUUGUCAAAGUUUAAAAGUUUGAGUUUCGAAAUUCUGAUUGUGCCACAUAAAUAAAACAGUGGGAGUAGUAAAUAGAUUCUGAAUUUGAUUUAUAUAUCUAUUUAAUGAUUUUUUUAACACAUAUACAUAAUUUGGAUCAAGGCUACUUGGUUCUGUCAAACAGUAUGCUGAAGGCUACGUCUGCCCCUGUCAAAUAAGUGAUCUAAUUUUAUUAAUAUUUUUUAUAAUGCCAAUGCAUAGAACUUAAUUUCCUUUGUAGUAAGUGUCAUGUAUAUCUACUUUUAUCUUCUUCUUACUAUGUCCUUUUGGCUCUGGUCAUUACUAUGUGCCAUGUUUCGAAGGAUGCCUGCCUCUGUUAAAUAAGCCGUCACACAGGAAUGCAAGGAAGGAAGAGUAUACAAGAAAUUUAUGAAUUUGUUCAAAUUAAAGAUGCUAAUUAAAUUAACGUACACGUAAACCUAAGUAUUAUGACCUGGAAACUCAUAUAGUAGUACUUGCCAGUAGGGCUGGGCAUAUUUUGGUUUAAACCGAAAAAACUGAAAAAUCAAAUCGAAAUUUUAAUUUCGAUUUAGUUUUUCGAUUUCUUGGAUCGGUUUUGAUUUUCAAUUUUUGAAAUUCGGUUAAACGGUUUGGUGUUCAUUUUUUCAAAAAACAAAAAAUUUGGAUAAACCGAUUAACCGAAAUUCUAUAAAUAAUUAAUAAUAUAUAUAUAUAUUAUUUAAUAUAUAAUAAAAUAAUAUAAAUAUAUAAUAGCCACCCUAAUAACUAAUAAGUAAUAGCACGCCACAUACAGCUAAAAACAUACAUCAGUCCAAUAUUAGAACAAUCGAUUGAACCAUCGACCGCCAGCGAGAUCGUCGUCUGUACAACGACACUAGAGCGGGCGACCAGACGACCACUGUGGGCUGCAGCCUGCAGCGCCGUCUGUGGUCUUUCCGGCAGCGACCACUCUUCCGAGUUUCGACUGUUUAUGCAAACUUAUGUUAUUUUCGUUUGUACUUCGGGUACACAGAAUCUGUAUAUGCAGAAACAGCAACUUCAACUAAAGUUCAAGUAUAUAAACAAGAACACAAUGAAGUAUAUCAAAUACCCUCAACACAAGAUCAAAAUGACCUUUCCAAGAGGUGUAUUUUAUUUUUCAGAAAAUAGAUGAAACAGAAAUGAAUAAGACCAAGCAGUCCGAAUUCACGGACUUUCCUUAAGGAAUAAUGCCCCUCACUGUAUCCGAGGUUAUGGAAUCUUCCUCCCAGGAUAAAAUGGCCUUCAAUCCGACUAUAGCGGUACCUCAAAUAAGCGGAUUCUUCAAACACACAGAACGCUUUGAUUGAUCACACAGAAUAUUUGUAAAGAAAAGAAGAGAGUUUUUAUUCUGCAAAAUUUUUAUAUCAAAACCUGUAAAGGUAAGCAGGUUUAUAUAGCCUAGCAAAUGCCUCUUCGAAAAGGUGGCAUUGGUUCACUUAAAUGGUGUGAUAUUUCUGAAAAUGCAUGUCUGCAACAUUUUUGCUGAAGCAGUAUACCAUUUCACCAAACAGUGCACCUGUUCGAAACAGUACAUCACUUCAUUGAAGAAUUGUAUCUGUUCAGUCGAAGCAAAAAUAGUAUAUCAGUUCAGUGCAUGCAUCAGUUCAGUCAAAACGAAACAGUACAUCAGUUCAGUCAAAACAGUGCAUCAUUUCUGUUGAAACAUUGCAUCUAUUACAGUUACUACAUGUAUUUCGUUAAAUAAAGUUUGUCCAAAAAAGAUAGAUCUCAUCGAUCUAUCAUUUUCCAAAUUCGAAUCCAAAUUCGAAGCCGAGAGAGCGACGACGACGACGGCACGAGGCAUCUCUUAUUUCUUGCCUCACUUAUCAUGUGGAGUAAGUAUUCAUCAUUAUAAACACUCCAAAGUUCCCUUCUCCCAUAAAUGUGGGAGAAUUAGUGAACUUUUUAAUUUUGGGAGUAUACUUUCCAAAUUGGUGUCUCCUCUUCUCCACCAUUUUUUUCUCUAUUUUCCAUUCACACUUUUAUGAAACUAACAAUCCCCCACAUGAAUGGGGAAUGGCUAUUUUUUGUAAAAAUUUUACGGACAAGAAUAUGAUCAUCAAGCAAAGACUGAUUUCAUCUGGAUAAGUGGGUUUCCCUUUGAACUUUCCGUAGUGAACAUGCAUCAGAUGCACUCGGUAAAUUGAUAGAUUUGAUAUCUUUGAACCGUCGAGCUUUAAUGUACACCUAGACAACACAUAUCACACAACCAUCCUUUUAACAUUUAUGGUUCUUACAAUUUUGUUCUUUUCAUCCAUGAACACGUCCCGGUUUUCAUGAGGGCUUAGAGAAUAGGCCUUUACUAACAUUCUCCUUGAAGCGGCUUUCACUUCACCCUUACAUAGGUGAUUUCUAAACGUUCUAUCCUGCAGAUUAAAAUAUUUGGUCAAAUCUGCCAAAUUUAGAUAAUCAUUAAAAGACUUUUCACCUUAAGUUUUAUCCUAGUUUACUAUACAUUAUCUACAUCAUGAGAAUGGGUUGGGUAAUUGACAAUGUUGAACCUGUCAGACACAACUUUGUUUGAUCUCCUUUAACCUAGUUGGGAUCGCCAGUCUGCUAGGUAGAGUUAUCGCUAUGCUGACUCGUCCUAGGCCUUAAACCCAUUCUCUUGGAUGUUCUUUCCACUCCUUCUCUAGAUAGGCCUUUUGUAAGUGGAUCCGACACAUUAUCAUUUGACUUUACAUAGUCAAUAAUGAUAAUUCCACUAGAGAGAAUUUCCCUAACGGUAUUAUGUCUCCGUCGUACGUGACGAGAUUUACGGUUGUACAUCAUGCUCCCUGCCCUACCUAUUGCCGCUUGGCUAUCAUAGUGUAUACAUACUGGUGCCACUGGUUUGGGCCAAUACAAAAUAUCUCCCAAGAAAUUUCGGAGCCAUUCUGCUUCUUCACCAGCUUUAUCUAAUGCGAUAAAUUCAGAUUCCAUUGUAGAGCGAGUGAUACAAGUCUGUUUGGAUGAUUUCCAAGAAAUUGCUCCUCCACCGAUAGUAAAUACAUAUCCACUUGUGGAUUUUACUUCGUUCGAUCCGGUGAUCCAAUUUGUAUCACUAUGUCCUUCAAGUACCGCAGGAUAUUUAUUAUAAUGCAAAGCAUAGUUUUGAAUGUAUUUUAAGAUACCCCAAAACUCUUUUCAUUGCCAUCCAAUGAGUUUUGUUGGGAUUACACCUGUACCGACUCAAUUUUGUAGUUGCACAUGCUAUGUCCGGUUGUGUACAGUUCAUUAUAUACAUUAAAAAUCCCAAUACUCUUGCGUACUCCAAUUGUGAAUCACUUUCACCUUCAUUCUUUCGAAGUGCAAAGUUCACGUCCAAUGGAGUCAUGGCAAUACCGAAUUCCAUAUCCUUGAACUUGUCAAGUACUUUUUCGAUAUAAUGAGACUGUGACAAUGCUAACCCUUGUGGAUUUUGAUGGAUUCUUAUACCUAAGAUUACAUCUGCAACUCCAAGGUCUUUCAUAUCAAACUUGCUCUCGAGCAUUCGUUUGAUUGCAUUUAUGUCACAAAUAUAUCUGCUGAUGAUCAACAUAUCAUCCACAUAUAAACAAACAAUGACUUGGUGAUUUGGUGUGUCUUUAAUAUAUAAACAUUUGUCACAUUCAUUUAUCUUGAAUCCAUUUGCCAACAUGGUUUGGUCAAACUUUGCAUAUCAUUGCUUAGGUGCUUGUUUUAGUCCAUAAAGUGACUUAACAAGUUUACACACCUUAUUUUCUUUUCCUGGCACCACAAAACCCUCAGGUUGUUCCAUGUAUAUUUCUUCCUCCAAAUCUCCAUUUAGGAAUGCGUUCUUCACAUCUAUUUGAUGGAUUUGAAAAUCAUAUACCACCACCAAGCCAAUUAACAUUCAAAUCGAGGUUAUCCUUGUUACUGGUGAGUAUGUAUCAAAGUAAUCAAGGCCUUCCUUCUGUUUGAAGCCUUUUACUAUAAGUCUUGCCUUGUAUUUGUCAAUUGUACUAUCUGCCUUCAUUUUUCUUUUGAAGAUCCAUUUAGAACCUAACGGUUUAUUUCCUGGAGAAAGGUCAACCAAUUUCCAUGUAUGGUUGCUUAAGAUUGAAUCUAUCUCACUAUUGACUGCCUCUUUCCAAAAGGAUGAGUCUGACGAUGGCAUCGCUUCUUUAAAUAUUUGAGGCUUAUUUUCUUAGAGAAAUGUUACAAAAUCUGAUCCAAAUGAAGUUGACAUUCUUUGAUGUGUACUAUGUCUUGGAUUUUCUUCAUUAUGUACAUUCUCACUUGGUUCAUCUCGAGGUCGCUUAGAUCCUCCACUAAACUGUUCAUGUCUAAUUUUAUACGGGUAAAUAUUUUUAAAGAAUUCAGCAUUGUCUGAUUCAAUAAUUGUAUUUUCAUUAAUAUCCGAAUGUUUGAAUUUAUGAACCAAAAAUCGACAUGCUUUACUACUUUUAGCAUAUCCUAUGAACACACAGUCCACUGUUUUAGGUCCUAUCUUAACCCUUUUAGGUACAGGAACUUGAACCUUCACUAGACACCCCCACACUUUGAAAUAUUCAAGCUGGGUUUCCUUCUUUUCCAUUUUUCGUAAGGAAUUGAUUGUGUCUUACUAUGGAAAACUCUGUUGAGUAUACGAUUGGCCAUAAGAAUAGCCUCCCAUCAUAAGUUUUGUGGUAAAGCAGAACUUAUAAGUAAGGCAUUCAUCAUUUCCUUCAAAUUUCGUUUUUUCCUUUCCGCAAUUCCAUUAGAUUGAGGUGAAUAUGGGGCCGUAGAUUGAUGGAUUAUUCCAUUCUCUACACAUAUUUGCGCAAAGGGAGAUUUAUAUUCUCCGCCCCUAUCACUUCUUAUCAUUUUGAUCUUUUUNNNNNNNNNNNNNNNNNNNNNNNNNNNNNNNNNNNNNNNNNNNNNNNNNNNNNNNNNNNNNNNNNNNNNNNNNNNNNNNNNNNNNNNNNNNNNNNNNNNNNNNNNNNNNNNNNNNNNNUAAACGCAUCUAUUGCUUCAUCCUUACUAUUUAUCGAGUAGACAUAACAGUAUCUAGUGCAAUCGUCAAUAAAAGUUAUGAAAUAUUUUUUCCCACCACGAGAUGGUGUUGACGUUAUAUCACAAAUGUCAGUGUGUAUUAAGUCUAAGGGAUUGGAAUUCCUUUCAACGGACUUAUAAGGAUGCUUUGCAUACUUCGAUUCCACACACGUUUGACACUUUGAUUUAUUGCACUCAAAGUUUGGCAAAACUUCUAAGCUAAUCAGUUUUCAUAACGUUUUAUAAUUAACAUGGCCUAAACAUUCAUGCCAUAAUAAGACUCAAGAAAAUAAGAAGAAUUCAAACUUUUAUUUAUUUCAACAGUCAUUACAUUCAUCUUAUAAAGUCCUUCGGUCAAAUAGCCUUUUCCUACAUACAUUUAUCCUUUGCUAAUUACAAUUUUUUCAGAAACGGUUACACAUUUGAAUCCGUUCUUGUCUAGAAGUGAAACAGAAAUUAAAUUCCUACGUAAAUACGGAACAUACAAGACAUUGUUAAGUGUCAAGACCUUUCCGGAAGUCAUAUUUAAGAAAAUUUUUCCUAUUCUUUCUACCUUAGCCGUAGCGGAGUUAGCCAUGUAGAUCAUUUCUUCUACUUGAGCAGAAGCAAAUAACGAAAACAGCUCCUUGUUGGCACAUACAUGGCGGGUGGCACCAGAAUCCAUCCACCCUUCACUAGGAUUCCCCGUCAAGUUGCAUUCUGAGAACAUAGCACACAGAUCAUCGAAUUCUUUGUUGGAUUCAAUCAUAUUUGCUUGAUCCUUCUUCUUUCCUUUCUUUGGGGCACGACAAUCUGUGGACUUGUGGCCAAUCUUGCCACAGUUGAAGCAUUUUCCCUUGAACUUUUUCUUGGUUUGAUUGCUUCCUUGUUUAGCUUUCUUCCUUUUCUUGAAAUUGUUUUGGUCAUCUUCUACAAUAUGUGCUCCAUUAAUUGUAGAAUUCCUCUUUGACCUUCUUUCGGAAGCUUUAUUAUCCUCUUCAAUACGAAGUCGGACAAAAAGUUCUUCAACAGUCAUCUCCUUGCGUUUAUGCUUUAAGUAGUUUUUGAAGUCUUUCCACAAAGGUGGUAGCUUCUCAACUAUCACUGCUACUUGGAAAUCAUCAUUCACAAUUAAACCUACAAUACAGUUUAUGUGAGUAUUAAGAACAUUUUUAAUUUGUUCAACUAAGGUAUUUUUCAAAGAUAUACCUUCUGCUAAGAGAUCAUGUAUGAUGACUUGCAACUCCUNNNNNNNNNNNNNNNNNNNNNNNNNNNNNNNNNNNNNNNNNNNNNNNNNNNNNNNNNNNNNNNNNNNNNNNNNNNNNNNNNNNNNNNNNNNNNNNNNNNNNNNNNNNNNNNNNNNNNNNNNNNNNNNNNNNNNNNNNNNNNNNNNNNNNNNNNNNNNNNNNNNNNNNNNNNNNNNNNNNNNNNNNNNNNNNNNNNNNNNNACAUAAAGUGGUGAGGUAAAAGAACAUCUUUUGCUGCCACCGCUUGAAGUCAAUGCUUGAAAAUAUUUUGGGCUACUCCGUCAGUGCCAUUGUUGGCGGAGCAUUUGUGUGACUUGAUGUGGCAAUAUUAGUUACCCCCAUAGACGUUGUCGCAUCUAUUAUUUCACUUUCGUUAGUCAUCUUUCCUGUCAACACAAGACAGAAAAAUUUAGUAUUUUCAGAAUAUUACUUAUAAAGUUAAAUAACUUUUCAACUUUUCUUCUUGUUUCUAAUUAACGACGAAGCUUUUAUAACUUCAAAUCGUCAACUGAGUGAACUUUAACUUGUGAUGAAGAUUUUAUGUCUUCUAAUCACUAGUUAAAUUCAAGCGGAGUAAAAAGUUUAAAGCUUUAAUCUCCAAAAACAAGUUAUACAGAUUCUGUAAAAGGAAUUAUUCCUUAAGAUUCUUAUUUUUGUUUUACUUUGGGUACACAGAAUUUGUAUAUGCAGAAACAACAACUUCAACUAAAGUUCAAGUUUAUAAACAAGAACACAAUGAAGUAUAUCAAAUACCCUCAACACAAGAUCAAAAUGACCUUUCCAAGAGGUAUAUUUUAUUUUUUAGAAAAUAGAUGAAACAGAAAUGAAUAAGACCAAGUCGUCCGAAUUCAUGGACUUUUCUUAAGGAUUAAUUCCCCUCACUGUAUCCGAGGUUAUGGAAUCUUCCUCCCAGGAUAAAAUGGCCUUCAAUCCGACUAUAGCGGUACCUCAAAUAGGCGGAUUCUUCGAACACACAGAACGUUUUGAUUGAUCACACAGAAUCUUUGUAAAGAAAAGAAGAGAGUUUUUAUUCUGAAAAUUUUUUAUAUCAAAACCUGUGAAGAAAAGCAUGUUUAUAUAGCCUAGCAGAUGCCUCUUCAAAAAGGUGGCAUUUGUUCACUUAAAUGGUGUGAUGUUUCUGAAAAUGCAUGUCUGCAGCACUUUUACUGAAGCAGUAUACCAUUUCACCAAAUAGUGCACCUGUUCAAAAUAGUACAUCACUUCAUUAAAGAAUUGCAUCUGUUCAGUCGAAGCAAAAACAGUAUAUCAGUUCAGUGCAUGCAUCUGUUCAGUCGAAAAGAAAUAGUACAUCAGUUUAGUCAAAAUAGUGCAUCAAUUCUGUCGAAACAUUGCAUCUGUUACUAUUACUAAAUGCAUAUAAAUGGAGUAUUUAUCAGAUUUCAUCAAAUAAAAUUUAUCCAAAAAGACAGAUAUCAUCGAUCGAUCAUUUUCCAAAUCCAAAUCCAAAUCUGAAGUCGAGCGACCGACGACAACAGUGGCGCGAGGAAUCUCUUAUUUCUUGCCUCACUUAUCAUGUGGAGUAAGUAUUCAGCAUUAUAAACACUCCAAAGUUUCUUUCUCCCACCAAUGUGGGAGAAUUAGUGAACUUUCCAAUUUUGGGAGUACACUUUCCAAAUUGGUGUCUCCUCUUCUCCAUAAUUUUUUUCUCCAUUUUCCAUUCACACUUCUAUGAACCCAACAAUCCCCCAUAUGAAUGGGGAAUAUAUAUUUUUCGUAAAACUUUUACGGACAAGAAUGUGAUCAUCAAGCAAAGACUGAUUCCAUCUGGAUAAGUGGGUUUCCCUUUGAACUUUCCGUAGUGAACAUGCAUCGGAUGCACUCGGUCAAUUGGUAGAUUUGAUAUCUUUGAACCGUUGAGCUUUAAUGUACACCUAGAUAACACAUGUCACACAACCAUCCUUUAACGUUUAUGGUUCUAACAAUUUUAUUCUUUUCAGUCAUGAACACGUCCCGGUUUUCAUGAGAGCUUAGAGAAUAGGCCUUUACUAAUAUUCGCCUUGAAGCAGCUUCCACUUCGCCCUCACAUAAGUGAUUUCUAAACGUUCAAUCCUGUAGAUUAAACUAUUUGGUCAAAUCUGUCAAAUUUAGAUAAUCAUUAAAAGACUUUUCACCUUAAGUCUUAUCCUAGUUUACUAUACAUUGUCUACAUCAUGAGAAUGGGUUGGGUAAUUGACAAUGUUGAACCUGUCAGACACGACUUUGUUUGAUCUCCUUGAACCUAGCUCUUGGGAUCUCCAGUCUGCUAGAUAGAGUUACCGCCACGUUGACUCAUCCUAGGCCUUAAACCCAUUCCCUUGGAUGUUCUUUCCACUCCUUAUCUAGAUAGGCCUUUUGUAAGUGGAUCCAACACAUUAUCCUUUAACUUUACAUAGUUAAUAGUGAUAAUUCCACUAGAGAGAAUUUCCCCAACGGUAUUAUGUCUCCGUCGUAUGUGAUGAGAUUUAUGGUUGUACAUCAUGCUCCCUGCCCUACCUAUUGCCGCUUGGCUAUCACAGUGUAUACAUACUGGUGCCACUGGCUUGGGCCAAUACAAAAUAUCUCCCAAGAAAUUUCGGAGCCAUUCUGCUUCUUCACCAGCUUUAUCUAAUGCGAUAAAUUCAGAUUCCAUUGUAGAGCGAGUGAUACAAGUCUGUUUGGAUGAUUUCCAAGAAACUGCUCCUCCACCGAUAGUAAAUACAUAUCCACUUAUAGAUUUUACUUCGUUUGAUCCGGUGAUCCGAUUUGCAUCACUAUGUCCUUCAAGUACCGCAGGAUAUUUAUUAUAAUACAAAACAUAGUUUUGAAUGUAUUUAAGAUACCCCAAAACUCUUUUCAUUUUCAUCCAAUGAGUUUUGUUGGGAUUACUCCUAUACCGACUUAAUUUACUAAUUGCACAUGCUAUGUCUGGUCGUGUAUAGUUCAUUAUAUACAUUAAACAUCCCAAUACUCUUGCAUAUUCCAAUUAUGAGUCAUUUUCACCUUCAUUCUUUUGAAGUGCAAAGUUCACAUCCAAUGGAGUCUUGACAAUACCGAAUUCCAUAUCCUUGAACUUGUCAAGUAAUUUUUUGAUAUAAUGAGACUAUAACAAUGCUAACCUUUGUGGAUUUUGAUGGAUUCUUAUACCUAAGAUCACAUCUGUAACUCUAAGGUCUUUCUUAUCAAACUUGCUCUAGGGCAUUCGUUUGGUUGCAUUUAUGUCACAAAUAUCUCUGCUGAUGAUCAACAUAUCAUCCACAUAUAAACAAACAAUGACUUGGUGAUUUGGUGUGUCUUUAAUAUAUAAACAUUUGUCACAUUCAUUUAUCUUGAAUCCGUUCGCCAACAUGAUUUGGUCAAACUUUGCAUGCCAUUGCUUAGGUGUUUGUUUUAGUCCAUAAAGUGACUUAACAAGUUUACAUACCUUAUUUUUUUUUUCUGAAACCAUAAAACCUUCAGGUUGUUCCAUGUAUAUUUCUUCCUCCAAAUCUCCAUUUAGGAAUGCGGUCUUUACAUCCAUUUAAUAGAUUUGAAGAUCAUAUACCGCCGCCAAGGCAAUUAACAUUCGAAUCAAGGUUAUCCUUGUUACUGGUGAGUAUGUAUCAAAGUAAUCAAGGCUUUCUCUUUCUGUUUGAAGCCUUUUACUACAAGUCUUGCCUUGUAUUUGUCAAUAGUACCAUCCGCCUUCAUUUUCCUUUGGAAGAUCCAUUUAGAACCUAACGGUUUAUUUUCGGGAAGAAGGUCAACCAAUUUCUAUGUAUGGUUGCUUAAGAUUGAAUCUAUCUCACUAUUGACUGCCUCUUUCCAAAAGAAUGAGUCUGACGAUGGCAUCGCUUCUUUAAAUGUUUGAGGCUUAUUUUCUUAGAGAAAUGUUACAAAAUCUGAUCCAAAUGAAGUUGACGUUCUUUGACGUGUACUACGUCUUGGAUUUUCUUCAUUAUGUACAUUCUCACUUGGUUCAUCUCGAGGUCGUUUAGAUCCUUCACUAGACUGUUCAUGUCUAAUUUAUACGAAUAAAUAUUUUUAAAGAAUUCAGCAUUAUCUGAUUCAAUUAUCGUAUUUUCAUUAAUAUCCGGAUGUUUGGAUUUAUGAACCAUAAAUUGACAUGCUUUACUAUAUUUAGCAUAUCCUAUGAACACACAGUCUACCAUUUUAGGUCCUAUCUUAAUCCUUUUAGGUAUAGGAACUUGAACCUUCGCUAGACACCCCCACACUUUAAAAUAUUCAAGUUGGGUUUCCUUCCUUUCCAUUUUUUUUAAGGAAUUGAUUGUGUCUUACUAUGAGGAACUCUGUUGAGUACACGAUUGGCCAUAAGGAUAGCCUCCCAUCAUAAGUUUUGUGGUAAACCAGAACUUAUAAGUAAAGCAUUUAUCAUUUCCUUCAAAGUUUGGUUUUUCCUUUCCGCAAUUCCAUUAGAUUGAGGUGAAUAUAGGACCAUAGUUUGAUGGAUUAUUCCAUUCUCUACACAUAUUUGCGCAAAGGGAGAUUCAUAUUCUCCGCCCCUAUCACUUUUUAUUAUUUUGAUCUUUUUGUCUAAAUGAUUUUCAACUUCAGUUUUAAUUGCCUAAAUGCAUCUAUUUCUUCAUCCUUACUAUUUAGCAAGUAGACAUAACAAUAUCUAGUGCAAUCGUCAAUACAAGUUAUGAAACAUUUUUUCCCACCACGUAAUGGUGUUGACUUCAUAUCACAAAUGUCAGUGUGUAUUAAGUCUAAGGGAUUAGAAUUUCUUUCAACGAACUUAUAAGGAUGCUUUGCAUACUUUGAUUCCACACACGUUUAACACUUUGAUUUAUUACACUCAAAGUUUGGCAAAACUUCUAAGUUAAUCAAUUUUCGUAACGUUUUGUAAUUAGCAUGGCCUAAACGUUCAUUCCAUAAAUCAUAACACUCAAGCAAAUAAGAAGAAUUCAAACUUUUAUUUAUUUCAACAGUCAUUACACUCAUAUUAUAAAGGCCUUCGGUCAGAUAGCCUUUUCCUACAUACAUUUCUCCUUUGCUCAUUACAAUUUCUCCAUAAAUGGUUACACAUUUGAAUUCGUUCUUCUCUAGAAGUUAAACAGAAAUUAAAUUCCUACGUAAAUACGGAACAUACAAGACAUUGUUAAGUGUCAAGACCUUUCCGAAAGUCAUAUUUAAUCAAAUUUUUCCUAUUCUUUCUACCUUAGCCGUAGCGGAGUUAGCCAUGUAGGGAGCGAAUGACGAAAACAACUCCUUGUUGGCACAUACAUGGCGGGUGGCACCAGAAUCCAUUCACCAUUCGCAAAGAUUCCCCAUCGAGUUGCAUUCUGAGAACAUAGCACACAGAUCAUCGCAUUCUUUAUUGGAUUCAAUCAUAUUUGCUUGAUCCUUCUUCUUGCCUUUCUUUGGGGCACGACAAUCUGUGGACUUGUGGCCAAUCUUGUCACGGUUGAAGCAUUUUCCCUUGAACUUUUUCUUAGGUUGAUUGCUUCCUUAUUCAGCUUUCUUCCUUUUCCUGAAAGUAUUUUAGUCAUCUUCUACAAUAUGUGCUCCAUUAAUUGUAGAAUUCCUCUUUGACCUUCUUUCGGCAGCUUUAUUAUCCUCUUCAAUACGAAGUUGGACAAUAAGAUCUUCAAUAGUCAUCUCUUUGCGUUUAUGCUUUAAGUAGUUUUUGAAGUCUUUCCACAAAGGUUGUAGUUUCUCAAAUAUCAUUGCUACUUGAAAAGCAUCAUUCACAAUUAAACCUACAAAAUAGUUUAUGUGAGUAUUAAGAACAUUUUUAGUUUGUUCAACUAAGGUAUUUUUCAAAGAUAUACCUUCUGCUAAGAGAUCAUGUAUGAUGACGUGCAACUCCUGUACUUGAGAGACAAAAGAUUUGCUAUCUAUUAUUUUGAAGUCCAAGAACUGUGCAACAAGAAAUUUUUUAAUUCCCGCAUCCUCCGUCUUAUAUUUUCGUUCAAGCGCCCCCCACAGUUCCUUUGAUGUCUUGGUUCCACUAUAAACAUUGUAGAGGUCGUCUUGGAAACUACUCAAAAUAUAAUUCCUGCAAAGAAAGUCCGAAUGUUUCCAAGCUUCUACAAUAACGAAGCGUUCUUUGUCCGAGGUUCCCUCGGGCACCUCAGGAGCGUCUUCGCUAGUGAACCAUUGCAAACAUAAAGUGGUGAGGUAAAAGAACAUCUUUUGCUGCCACCGCUUGAAGUCAAUGCUUGAAAAUAUUUUGGGCUACUCCGUUGGUGCCAUUGUUGGCGGAGCAUUUGUGUGACUUGAUGUGGCAAUAUUAGUUACCCCCAUAGACGUUGUCGCAUCUAUUAUUUCACUUUCGUUAGUCAUCUUUCCUGUCAACACAAGACAGAAAAAUUUAGUAUUUUCAGAAUACUACUUAUAAAGUUAAAUAACUUUUUAACUUUUCUUCUUGUUUCUAAUUAACACUGAAGUUUUUAUAACUUCAAAUCGUCAACUGAGUGAACUUUAACUUGUGAUGAAGAUUUUAUGUCUUCUAAUCACUAGUUAAAUUCAAGCGGAGUAAAAAGUUUAAAGCUUUAAGCUCCAAAAACAAGUUAUACAGAUACUAUAAAAGGAAUUAUUCCUUAAGAUUCUUAUUUUCGUUUAUACUUCGGGUACACAGAAUCUGUAUAUGCAGAAACAACAACUUCAACUAAAGUUCAAGUAUAUAAACAAGAACACAAUGAAGUAUAUCAAAUACCCUCAACACAAGAUCAAAAUGAUCUUUCCAAGAGGUAUAUUUUAUUUUUCAGAAAAUAGAUGAAAGAGAAAUGAAUAAGACCAAGUCGUCCAAAUUCACGGACUUUACUUAAGGAAUAAUUUCCCUCAUUGUACUCGAGGUUAUGGAAUCUUCCUCCCAGGAUAAAACGGCCUUCAAUCCUACUAUAGCGGUACCUCAAAUAGGCGGAUUCUUUGAACGCACAGAACGUUUUGAUUGAUCACACAGAAUAUUUGUAAAUAAAAGAAGAGAGUUAUUAUUUUGAAAAUUUUUAUAUCAAAACCUGUGAAGGAAAGCAUGUUUAUAUAGCCUAGCAGAUGCCUCUUCGAAAAGGUGGCAUUUGUUCACUUAAAUGGUGUGAUGUUUCUGAAAAUGCAUGUCUGCAGCACUUUUGCUGAAGCAGUAUACCAUUUCACCAAAUAGUGCACCUGUUCAAAAUAGUACAUCACUUCAUUAAAGAAUUGCAUCUGUUCAGUCGAAGCAAAAACAGUAUAUCAGUUCAGUGCAUGCAUCUGUUCAGUCGAAAAGAAAUAGUACAUCAGUUCAGUUGAAAUAAUGCAUCAGUUUUGUCGAAACAUUGUAUCUGUUACUGUUACUAAAUGCAUAUAAAUGGAGUAUUGAUCAGAUUUCAUCAAAUAAAGUUUGUCCAAAAAGAUAGAUCUCAUUGAUCGAUCAUUUGACAAAUCCAAAUCCAAAUCCGAAGCUGAAGCCGAGCGAACGAUGACGAUGACGACGCGAGGCAUCUCUUAUCAUGUGAAGUAAGUAUUCAUCAUUAUAAACACUCUAAAUUUUCCUUCUCCCACCAAUGUGUGAGAAUUAGUGAACUUUUUAAUUUUGGGAGUACACUUUCCAAAUUGGUGUCUCCUCUUCUCCACCAUUUUUUUCUCUAUUUUCCAUCCACACUUCUAUGAACCCAACAAUCCCCCACAUGAAUGGGGAAUGACUAUUUUUCAUAAAUCUUUUAUGGACAAGCAUGUGAUCAUCAAGCAAAAACUAAUUCCAUCUGGAUAAGUGGGUUUUCCUUUGAACUUUCCGUAGUGAACAUGCAUCGGAUGCACUCGGUCAAUCGGUAGAUUUGAUAUCUUUGAAUCUUCGAGCUUUAAUGUACACCUAGACAACACAUAUCACACAACCAUCCUUUUAACAUUUAUGGUUCUUACAAUUUUGUUCUUUUCAGCCAUGAACACGUCCCGAUUUUCAUGAGAGCUUAGAGAAUUGGCUUUUACUAACAUUCUCAUUGAAGCAUCAUCCACUUCGCCCUCACAUAGGUGAUUUCUAAAUGUUCAAUUCUGUAGAUUAAACUAUUUGGUAAAAUCUGUCAAAUUUAGAUAAUCAUUAAAAGACUUUUUACCUUAAGUCUUAUCCUAGUUUACUAUACAUUGUCUACAUCAUGAGAAUGGGUUGGGUAAUUGACAAUGUUGAACCUGUCAGACACAACUUUGUUUGAUCUCCUUGAACUUAGCUCUUGGGAUCUCCAGUCUGCUAGGUAGAGUUACCGCCAUGCUAACUCGUCCUAGGCCUUAAACCCAUUCCCAUGGAUGUUCUUUAGCCUAGUAGAUGCCUCUUCAAAAAGGUGGCAUUGGUUCACUUAAAUGGUGUGAUGUUUCUGAAAAUGCAUGUCUACAGCAUUUUUGCUGAAGCAGUAUACCAUUUCACCAAACAGUGCACCUGUUCGAAACAGUGCAUCACUUCAUUGAAGAAUUGCAUCUGUUCAGUCGAAACAGAAAUAGUAUAUCAGUUCAGUGCAUGUAUCAGUUCAGUCGAAAAGAAAUAGUACAUCAGUUCAGUCAAAACAGUGCAUCAGUUUUGUCGAAAUAUUGCAUCUGUUAUUGUUACUGCAUGCAUAUAAAUAAAGUAUUAUCGAAAAAGAUAGAUCUCAUCGAUCAUUUUCCAAAGCCAAAGCCGAGCGAGCGACGACGACGACAGAGCGAGGCAUCACUUAUUUCUUGCCUCACUUAUCAUGUAGAGUAAGUAUUCAUCAUUAUAAACACUCCAAAGUUCCUUUCUCCCAGCAAUGUGGGAGAAUUAGUGAACUUUCCAAUUUUGGGAGUACACUUACCAAAUUAGUGUCUCCUCUUCUCCACCAUUUUUUUCUCCAUUUUCCAUUCACACUUCUAUGAACCCAACAACUUAUACAUAAUAAAGUUAUAUAUUAUGUUAAACUAAUGGUUAUAUCAUUUAAUUUCAUCUAUGUUGAGUUAUUUAUAUUUGGAAAUGAAAAAUAGGUUUGAAAAUAAUUAUUUUAUAAGAAAAAUCAUUAAUUUUAAAUGUCCAGUCAUAACAAAGAGGGGUUCACUAGUUUAAUCUUCAAAAUAAAAAUAAAAAUCUGAAAUAAUCGAACCGAAUUUGUAGAAACCGGACCGAACCGAAUUUAUUUCGGUUUGAUUACGGUUGUCAUUUUUGUCAAUUCAAAAAUCGAAAAACCAAACCGAUAUUAAACUAUCAAACCGAACGAACCAAAUGUCCAUCCCUUCUUCCCAGGGGCGAACCUACGUAGAUUCAAGUGGAUUCAUAUGAGCCCACUUCGUCGAAAUAUCACACCGUAUGUAUCAAUGUUUGAAAAUGUACAAGAUAUAUAUUAAUUUUUUAACCCAUUUUAAAUAGCUCAGCCUAGUGGAAAGGCGGGUUCAAGAUUUUUGAUAGGUCAAACUUUCCGACACCAACAACCUUUUUGUUAAAUGUCAGAUAAUUUUUUCUUUCUAAUUUUUUUUUAUUAUAAUAUAACUUUAAAAUUUAUUUAAUCAAAAUUUGUUUAUUUAUUUCUCUGGGUAUUCAUUUUUUAUAUAUUUGAACCCACUUUCCUGAGCAGAAUCUAUGUUGCUAUUAUUGUAUAUUUGAACCCGCCACUGGUACUUGCUAUGUUCAGACUACAAAACAUAUUGGUGUUCCCUUUUAACUGAAAUGUCAUUGCUCUAGUAGUAAAAGGUCAAAGUCAUCAAUAGACACUCAAACUUAUUGUCAAAAUUCACUUAGACACCUAAACUAAGGCAUGUUCCUAUCAGGCCCCUAAACCCCCCACAUUUUGUUCAAAUUGGGUUUUUUUUGCCCUAUCAGCAAAAAACUCAAAGUGUGUUGCACACAAGCGAUGACAUGGCAAAAUGAGCUAAUUAGAAGCUGACACGUGGCAUUAUGGGUCCAAUAAUUAUUAAAAAUUAAUUAUAAUUUUAAAAAAAAAAAGUAUAUACAAAUGGCAUUGAAUAAAUUAUUAAAAAAUAAUUCUAAAAUUAUUUAAAAAUAAAACUGAUUAUUUAAAAAAAAUUAUAAAAAUUUUCUAAAAAUGAAAUAAAUUAUUAAAAAAUUAUUUUAAAAAACAAUUAAUUAAUAAGAAAAAUUAUAAUUUUUUUUUAAAAAUGGCGAGGAUAUAAAUUAUGAAAAAAUAAUUAUAAAAUUAUUUGAAAAAUAAAAAUAAAAAAUUAAUUAUUUUAAAAAAAUAUAAAUUUUUUAAAAAAUGAAAUAAAUUAUUAAAAUAUUAUUUAAAAAAUAAAAACUUAAUUAUUAAAAAAAAUAAAAUUUUUUAAAAAUUGAAAAUGAAAAAUGGCAUAGAGGAUAUAAAUUAUGAAAAAAUAAUUAUAAAAUUAUUUUUUAAAAAAACUAAUUAUAAAAUUAUUUUUUAAAAAAACUAAUUAUUAAAAAGAAAUCUUAAAUUUUUUUAAAAGAUGAAAAUAAAGAAUUAAUUUUUUUUAAAAUUCAGUUUAUUAAAAAUAAAAUAAAAUUGGGGCCUUCUAAUGCUUUUUGGGGCCUUUAGUGUUUCAAAAAAAAAAGAAAAUUUGUUAUUAAAAAAAUUUUGGGGCCCUCAAUGCCACUUGACAACUUUUUAUUCGUAAAUUAGUAAAAAAAAAUGCUCCUCACACGCCUUCCACAAUGGCACUGCACACGUAGUGUCACAUAGGCAAAAAAUGUCUAAUUGGAACAAAAUUCAGGGAUUUAAUGGUCUGAUAUGAACAUGUCUUAGUUUAGGGGUCUAAUUGAAUUUUUGCAAUAAGUUUGAGUGUCUAUCGAUGAGUUUGACCUUUUCAAAUUGACACAUGCGUAACCAAUUCUCUAAAUACCAAUUAUUUCUCCUUCAAGUGAUGUCAUCUUCCACAUGGUGGACCCCAUGAUCCUAAGAAUUAUUUAAAAAAUAAAAAAAUAAUUAUUAAAAAUAAAUUAUAAAUUUUUUAAAAAAAUAAAAAUCCCCCACCUAUCCCAGCCCCCAACGUAUUGUUUUAUUAAAAAAAAAAAUUGGAACCCCCUAAUGCUUUUUGUUUUAUUAAAAAGUGUCUUUAGUGUUUAAAAAAAAAUUGUUAUUAAAAAAAUUUUGGGGCCCUCAAUGCCACUUGGCAUCUUUUUAUUUGUAAAUUAGUAAAAAAAAUUGCUCCUCACACGCCUCCCACGAUGGCACUGCACGCGUAGUGCCACAUAGGCAAAAAAGGCCCAAUUGAAACAAAAUGUGGGGGGUUUAGGGGUCUGAUAGAAACAGGCGUUAGUUUAGGUGUCUAAGUGAAUUUUGACAACAAGUUUGAGUGUCUAUCGAUGUCUUUGGCCAGUAGUAAAAUAAUAUGAUGAUCCUCUUUCAUUUCUUGAUAGAAAAAUGAGGAAUCAUGUAAUAACAUCAUAUCGUUCAACAUUAUUCUUUGCACUAAUUUUGAGUAUUAUGUUAAGGUUUUUAAACUGAUUUUCUUAUCAAAAUUAAGUUUUACUUUUUUCUUGUAAGGAAAAUAAAAGUAAUCAUAAAUAUUUUUACUUUUCAUAAAAGAAAAUAUAAAACUUUUUCAUAUUUGGCAAACCUCUUUCUUAGAGGAAGGUUUUGGACAUCUAUAAGAAUUAAGAUCCCCUCUUCAUACCAUAACAUUGUAACAUUCUCAAUGUAGUCAUUGAAGAGUCUUUGUUUAUGAGUGAUUUCUCUCAAUAGGUUUAAUGUUUUUCGAUAUUAGGUUUUAUAAUAUGCAGGCCGAUUGGCCAAAACAUAUAAUAAUUUUAUGUUUUUUAAUAUUGUUUUCUUUGUCGCCUGAUUUAUCAUCUCAUAGUUUGCAACUAAUAGCUUCCGCAUGACAUCCUCUCGUUUUUGAACCCAACAAAUGGUAUCAGAGUCGAUGGUUCAAAGAUCCGAUGGUUCGAUUGAGGACUUUUUAAGAUCAAAGUUGCAAUCAAUUUGGCGAUGAUGAAGCUUUUGUCAAAAAAAAAAAAAAAGGUUCAAAAACUACAUGUGGAGAAAAAGUUUCAAACAAAAUUUCAACAAUCUUGGUGCUAAUCCAUCUUUAAAACCAAAAUCAAUUUCAACUCAUAUUUAUGACUUCAAUUUUCAAUCUAUACUUGCUUUAACGCUUGGGCUCCUUUCAACUCGUGCAUUUAUUUUUAAUGCAUGAGCUCCACUCUUAACCUGUGCUCACUUUCAAUGCACAAAGUUCUACUUUCAAUCUUAUCAACCGUGCUUUUAUUUUUAAUGCAUAGGACUCUAAUUUUAACCCAUAUCAAUUUUUAAUCAUGGUUGACAGCAGUGAUAUAUGAAGAAUAUAUGAAAAACGAAGAUCAUGCACAAGAAAAAGGAGGAUCAAGAAUAUUUUGCAGAAAAUCAAGCAAAAAAGGGAGAUUUGUUAGGGUUUUUACUCUAAUUUUCUUACCAAAAUUAAGUUUUACUUUUUCUUAUAAAAAAAUAAAAGUAAUCAUAAAUACUUUUAUUUUUGUUAAAAGAAAAAUAUAAAACUUUUCUAUAUUUGGCAAACCUCUUUCUUGGAGGAAAGGUUCUGGACAUUAGGAUACUCUUCUCAUGCCAUAAUACGGUAGCAUCCACAAUGUAGUCAUUGAAGAGUUUUGUUUAGGGAAAUUUAAUGUUUUUUCGAUAUUAGAUUUUAUAAUAUGCAGGCCGAUUGGCCAUAACAUAUAAUAAUUUUAUACUUUUUAGUGUUAUUUUCUUUGUCACCUGAUUUAUCGUCCCAUAAUUUGCAACUAAUAGCUUCCGCAUGACGCUCUCUCGAUUACGAUCCCAACAUAUUGUUUCUUGAGAAUUAAUUGAAUUCCAUAAGUUCCUCCGGUCCGUAAAUUUAAGUUUUAAGAUUUUAACAGCUUUAUAGUUUUUCAGUUACCAUAUCCCAAAAUGUAGCUCCGGUCGUUUCUGCUAUGCUCUUUUUUUUUUUUUUUUCCUUUGGUAUGAAAGUGGCAAUAAAUGAUUCAUGUCUUUUGAAAGUGAAACUAAGAACUAGACCGUCAUUGGAAAAUAACAAACAUUUAUUCUAUUGUCAACUCACUCACAACAACUUUGCAAGGCCAUCAAACAAUCAAAUUUUAACAAUUAUAUUAUGAUAUUCAUUUUCCGGGAACAAAGUUUGUGGCGUAGGCCCAGGCAUUGUUGUUAACCGGAUCUGCUAGAUGGUCAGCAAGGUUCUCCAAUGGACCCUUUCCUGUAACAAUGGCCUGAACAAAGAAUCCAAACAUAGAGAACAUAGCAAGUCUACCGUUCUUGAUCUCCUUUACCUUGAGCUCAGCAAAUGCCUCUGGAUCAUCAGCAAGACCCAAUGGGUCAAAGCUGCCACCGGGAUAGAGUGGGUCGACUACCUCACCAAGAGGCCCACCAGCAAUACGGUAUCCCUCAACGGCUCCCAUCAAGACAACUUGGCAAGCCCAGAUGGCCAAGAUGCUCUGUGCAUGGACCAAACUUGGGUUGCCCAAGUAGUCAAGUCCACCCUCGCUGAAUAUCUGGGAUCCAGCCUUGAACCACACAGCCUCACCAAACUUGACACCAUUACGGGCCAAGAGCUCGGGGAAAACACAUCCAAGAGCACCAAGCAUAGCCCAUCUGCAGUGGAUCACCUCGAGUUCACGGUUCUUGGCAAAGGUUUCUGGGUCUGCUGAAAGUCCAGCGGUGUCCCACCCGUAGUCACCGGGAAAUUCACCGGUCAAGUAGCUUGGAGACUCACCUGAGAAUGGACCCAAGUACUUGACACGGUCUGGCCCAUACCAUGGGCUGCCAGAUGAGGCUGGCUUGGAGACAGCCUUUCUCAUAGAGAUCCUUCCAUUUCCAGUGAUUUCUGAGGCAGAGGGUGAGAGUUUCACUGCCUGUCCAGCAAAAGAAGGUGAAGAAAGUGCCAUUGUAGAAGCUGCCAUGGCUUAUCAAGAGAAAAGUAAGUGUUUGAUGGUAUGAAAUAUUGUUGAAGUUGGCUGUGAUGAGGUGAAGUUAAUUACAAGGGGCUUCACCAUAUAUAGGAGGAGUAAGAGCGGUAGAGGCCUUUAUCUAACGAUAUCUACAUCUUUUUCUUUUGGUGUUAACGAUAUCUGUAUCUGUGAUCUCAUUGGGUAAUAAGAUCACAUGUGUAGAAAUUAAUGCACACUUGGCAAUCUCCAGACUCCAAUCCAUCAAUUUUCCAAGAUGUUUACUAAAAGGACCCAUCCAAUAUUGUCCGCCUUAGUGUGGCUACGAGGUUAUUGACUCUAUUCUGUGAUUCGUUGAGCUUACACUAAGAUAUCUCUUAUCGUUAUCUUUUGGGAAUUUCUCCAGAUUUUAUCCACCAGCUGGGAAUAAGUUACCACCACUAUAGCUCAUUCAAUGUAGAAGUAGAAGUUAGAACUAUGGUUUAGCGUUGCACUAAAUAAAUAGUAGAAAAGCUGAAUUUUUCAGAUUAUCAGUAACUAAUGUCUAUCAAAAGAUUAAUUUGAAGUAAUUGCUUAACAAGCAAAAGUGGAUCAGAAUUUGAACUUUCAUGGGUUCUGUAGUCUAGGACGAGUUCUACUAAAUAGAUUCCAAAUUUAACUUUUCUACAUACUCGCUCCGUCCCAUUUUACCCGUCCCAAAUUGGCUAAGUUGAUGUUUCAUUUUAGUUGUCCCAUUUUACUUAUCAAGAUAAGACAAACUUUUCUUUCCAUGUUUUACCCUUUGCAUUAAUUAUCUUUUCUUUAAAUUAAAAUGUAAACAUCAUUUAAUAGGGGUACUUGGGUAAACUAGCCAUGUUAUAUAUUAUUUUUCUUAAUUGUUGUGCCAUCCUAAUUUGGGACAAGUAAAAUGGGACGGAGAGAGUAUUUAAUAAGCUUAUCAAAACAUAUGCAUGGUUUGGGCCAAAGUUAGUUAGUUCUGUCAAACUGGUUUGCUGAAGGCUAUCUGCGCAUGUUAAUAAGUGAUAUGAUUGUGUUAUGUGCAAGUAUUUUUACAAUGUCAAUGCAUAACCUCUCUAUAGUGUCCUGUAUAGCUUGUAUCUUCUGCUUACAAUGUCCUUUUGGCUCUGGUCAUUGUUAUGUGAACGUGUUCUUCUCUAAAGAGAAUACCACAUGCACGUAAGGAUGGAGGACUAUACAAGAAACUCAUGAAUUUGUUCAAAUCUAAGAUGCUGCUUAAAUUAAGGACACAUAAGUAUAAUGGCCUGGAAACUCAUAUAUUACUUGCUACGUUCAAAAUACAAAACAUAUACAUUGGUUUUCCCCUUAUCAUUAAAAUGUCAAUGGUGUACGCAGUAGUGAAAUAAUAUUAUGUCCUCUUAAUUCAUCUCACUUCUCGACAGGAAAAUAAGGAAUCAUGUAAAUAACAUCAUGUUGUACAUUGUUAAUCGUGGCACUAAGAGUAUUGCUUCUUGAGAAUUAAUUGAAUUCCAUAAGUUCCUCUGGUCUGUAUAUUCAAAUUAUAAGCUUUUUGUCAAAAAACAAAGGGAGCGGUAGAGUUAAGCUACAAGGAGAAAAAUAUAAGGAAAUUGCAGCUGUAAAUUGCUACAAAAAAGACUGCAGUAAAGAACAAGAAGCUGAAACUUUUUGAGUGUUUUCUAUUUUUUGGAUAGUUAUAAAUGUCUAAUGUCAUCCCUUAUUUAUACUUAUGUAGGGAUGAUUCUAGAUACUACAAAUCUAGAGUGUUCGUAUACAAAUAUCUCCCUCAAAUAUCUAGCACCCUCUAGAUCUUUCCUAAAUAUAAAUAUCAAAUAUACUACACUAUUCCUUUCUAGAUUCUUCUAACUAGAAUUACCUAAAUAUCUAGAUAUUUCUUUAGCAUGAUCAUCCUAGAAAUUUUACUAGACUAUUCUACAGACUGAACUAGAAAUCUAUGAUUCCAAAAAAUCUACUUUAAUAUUUUCACACUCCCUCUUAAAGUGAUUUUUUUGGAAGCUAUCCUAAACUUGUUGCGGAAGAACUCAAGUGAAGCUUUGAACCGUACUUUAGUGAAAAUCUUGAUAGUUUUUGCAUGACUCCUCUUUCUUCUUCAAAUGAUGAAGAUUUCUCGUUAAUGAUUGGCCCUUGUUGAGUUUUAUCAUAUUGAGUUCUCGAGCUCCCCCUUUCUCUGAACUCCUCCGUAACUUCAUUAUCUGGUGACCCAAAUAUGAUGGAAAAGUUUGAAACUCUAGGAUUGAAGAUUUUAGAACUUACUCUUUCUGAAGCAACUCCAUAACACAAGAAUAAUUUUUUGGUAUCAACCUCCUUAUUUGAUUUGAUGACGAUCUUUUGUUCGGGCCUAUCAACUAGCUCCCAAGUAUUAUUUUUUUAUCAUGGCAAGCUCCUCAUCCAUUGCGGAAAUCCAAGUUUCAUGACUUCUGCUUCUUCAAAAGAAGAUGGUUCCACAAGAGCAAAAUUGCAUUGCUCAUAAACUUCAGGUAGUGACCUGGUCUUCAAAAUAGGAGAAUCUGAAGUUAAUUCAACAUCUGAAUUGUCUUCUUUUUCAAUAAGAGGAUUGGAAGAAAUAUUACACGUCUGUGGAUUUUGAGCUGCAACUGAAGUACACUCAUCUUGGUUCUUUACAACAAUAUCUCGAUCCUAAUCAUAGUGGCUAGACUCAUCCACCGCAAGAUCUCUACUGAUAAGCACCUUUUACGCACGAACAUUAUACACUUUCUACCCUUUUGCAGCUGUGUUAUAGCCCAACAAAAUACAAAGUCCUGCCUUGUUAUCCAAUUUACCUCUUUUAGCAUCAGGAACAUAUGCAUAACAGACUGAACCAAAAACUUUUAAGUGUCUCACAGAUGACUUUAUACCUUUCCAUGCUUUAAAUGGUGUCAUGUCUUGGAGUGCUCUAGUUGGUAAUAUGUUUAGUAAAUAGACUGCAGUACUGACUGCCUCAGCCCAAAAACAUUUGGGUAUCUUCUUUUCUGCUAGCAUACAUCUCACCAUCUCCAUCACGGUUCUGUUCUUUCUCUCAGAAAUACUGUUUUGUUCUGGAGUGUAGCUCACAGUAAAUUGUUGUUGAAUGCCCACAUCUUUACAAUACUUGUUGAACUAAUGCGGAGUAUAUUCAGUUUCAUUAUCUGACCUGAUAUACUUCAAUCGGCAACCACUCUUCCUUUCUACCAUAGCCUUGAAUUCUUUGAAAACAGAAAACACCUGAACUUUGUUACUUAAAAAUAGACCUAUGUCAUUCGAGUUAGAUCAUUUAUAAAGAGAAUAAAAUAUUUAUUCCCACUCAAAGAAGUUGUCCUCAUUGGUCUACAUAUAUUUGUAUGAACCAACUCUAGUUUUUCCUUCGUCCUCCAAAGACUUCUUUUAGGAAAGAAUUAUUUAUGCAAUUUACCAAAUUGACAUGACUCACAAACAUCUCGGCACAUGUCAAUUUUGGGUACAUCAAGCACCAUACCCUUGGAUUGCAUAUACACCAAUGAACUAAGAUUGUAAUGACCGAAUCUUUUGUGCCAAAGCCAAAUAUCAAUUAUUUCAACAUUGAAAGAGCAACUUUCAACAGAAUAGCAUGAAAUUGGAAAGGAAUUACCAAUCAUGCUAAUUUUAGCUACUUCACAACCUUUAGGAUCAUAAAUGACACAUUUUUUAUCCUUAAAAAUAAGUGAAUAAUUAUUGUGAAGUAACUGAGCAACACUCAACAAGUUUUGAGUCAAGCUUGGCACAUAAAAAACAUCGUUUAUGAUUUUCAUACCUUCGUCCGUAGGAAAUUUCACUGAUCCUCUUCCUUGAGCUUGCACCAGUGCACCAUCUCCUAGCUUCACUUUGAUCCUAUCAGACCUGUCCAGGCUAACAAAUAGAUUUUCAACAAUCGUCAUGUGCCUUGUGCACGCACUAUCGACAUGCCAAUUAUAUCGAUCGACAUGUGAUAUGUGUGAAGCCAUGAAUACCUCUUCCUCUAUUUUUUGAACUUGGUGAUCUUCCGCAAAAUUUACUCAUUGAAAAGACUGACCAAUUUGAGUUUGCUUUUGCCUGCAAUGCUUCUCAAUGUGCCUAUACUUCUUGCAGUAUCUGCAUUGAAUAGGAGACCUCUUGGACUUCUGCCAACAAUUUUUCUAUAAGUGGUUUGUCUUCUUACAAAUACCACAAGGUGGAAAUUUUUCUCUCCUCAACGAUUCACCUUGGUAUCCACCAGAUUUCACCUCUCCAGAGUGGUCUAAAAAGACUUUUUUGCCUUCUUUUUGUUGCUUGAAAGGCAUAUUCGACUGUUCCUUCGAUUCUCAUAGUUACCCAUUGCUCUUGGAUUUGCAAUUUAGAGAUCAACUCAGCUAUUGAAAGAAUAGUCAAGUCACAGGACUCUUUAAUAGCUGAGAAUUUGUAUUUAAACUUGUCUGGAAAGCUGACCAUAAUCCCCUUUAUAACCUUCUAAUCUAAAAAGUUUUCACCAAGUAUCCUUAUGUGGUUCACAAUAUCCAUUAGCUUAGAAGAGUAUUCUUUUACACUAUCCGGAUCCUUCAUCUUCAAGAGCUCAAACUCCCUCUUCAAAGCUAAAACCUUAACAGACUUAACUCUGUUGCUGCCUUCAAACUCCUUCUUUAGCUUAUCUCAGGCUUCUUUAGCUGUCUCACAAGCCAUAAUCCUUGUAAAUAUCACUUCCGUAAGGGUUGAAUGUAUGCAAGUGAGUGCUCUUGGAGAUCUAGUCACCAAUUCAUCAUACUUUUUGAUAUCAUUUAGAGUUGAGUUGUCUCUCAAUGGCUGGACAGCAGGUUCUCCUCUCUAAACAAUAUCCCACAAGUUGAGAGUCUUCAAAUAAGCCUUCAUUUUAAUGGUCCAAAUAUGAUAAUUCUCCCCCGAAAAAAUCGAAGGACCCAUUGUUGGUUGAUUUUCUGGUGCCAUGUUUUUUCAGUAAAUAGAUUCAAGAAAGGAGCUAAAAAUAAGAUGAGUCAAUCAACAAAAAACAUAUUCAGAUCCCGUAAGAAAUGGGCUCUGAUACCAUGUCAAAAAAUAAAGGAAACGGGGAGAGUAAAGCUACAAGGAGAAAAAUAUAAGGAAAUUGCAACUGCAAAUUGCUACAAAAAAGACUGCAGUGAAGAAGGAGAAGCUGAAACUUUUUUAGUGUUUUCUAUUUUCUAGAUAGUUAUAAAUGUCGAAUGUAAACCCUUAUUUAUUCUUAUGUAGGGACGAUUCUAGAUACUACUCCCUCCAUCCCAUUUUACCCGUCCCAAAUUGGGAUGGCACAGCUAUUAAGAAAACAAUGAUUGGUAAUGUUACUUUACCAUUUUUUCUCUCUUAAUUGUGUCUUGUUGUUAGUUCCAAUAUUGAUGGAUGACCAAUACAAAAGCACCAUUUAUAUUCUUAAUGGUGUACUCCUAAUGGUACUCUUCUUUGCAACGUUUUUCAAAAAUGUUAAUAACAAGGAGUAAGCAAUUACACUGAGGAUAAAAUGAAAAAAAAAGUUGUCUUAUCUUGAUAAGUAAAAAAGGACAACUAAAAUGGGACAUCAAAUUAGAAAAUUUGGGACGGGUAAAAUGGGACAGGGAGUACAAAUCUAGAGUGUUCUUAUACAAAUAUCUUCCUCAAAUAUCUAGCCCCCUCUAGAUUUUUCCUAAAUAUAAAUAUCAAAUAGACUACACUCUUCCUUUCUAGAUUCUUCUAACUAGAAUUACCUAAAUAUCUAGAUAUUUCUUCAACAUGAUUAUCCUACAAAUUUCACUAGACUAUUCUAGAGACUUAACUAGAAAUCUAUGAUUCCAAAAAAUCUACUUUAAUACCAUCACACUUUUACCACAUCCAAAAUGUAUCUUGGGUUUUUUUUUUUUUUGGCUUUGUCAUCGAUUUUUCUCCCCUUGAUAUGAAACUGGCAGUAUUUAUUCAUGCCAUUGGAAAAUGAAAUUCAGGACUACACAAUAACUGGAAUAUAAGAAAAAUCCAUUCUAUUGUCAAGUAAACUCACAACUACAACUUUACAAGGGCAUCAAACAAUGAAAUUUUAAGAUUGUUUUACGAUAUUCAUUUUCCGGGGACAAAGUUUGUGGCGUAGGCCCAUGCGUUGUUGUUAACUGGAUCUGCAAGGUGGUCAGCGAGGUUCUCCAAUGGACCCUUUCCGGUAACAAUGGCCUGAACAAAGAAUCCAAACAUAGAGAACAUAGCAAGUCUACCGUUCUUGAUCUCCUUUACCUUGAGCUCAGCAAAUGCCUCUGGAUCAUCAGCAAGACCUAAUGGGUCAAAGCUGCCACCAGGGUACAAUGGGUCGACUACCUCACCAAGAGGCCCACCAGCAAUACGGUAACCUUCAACGGCUCCCAUCAAGACAACUUGGCAAGCCCAGAUGGCCAAGAUGCUCUGUGCAUGAACUAAGCUUGGGUUGCCCAAGUAGUCAAGUCCACCCUCGCUGAAGAUUUGGGAUCCAGCCUUGAACCACACAGCCUCACCAAACUGGACACCGUUACGGGCCAAGAGCUCGGGGAAAACACAUCCAAGAGCACCAAGCAUAGCCCAUCUGCAGUGGAUCACCUCGAGUUCUCGGUUCUUGGCAAAGGUUUCUGGAUCUGCUGAAAGUCCAGCGGUGUCCCACCCGUAGUCACCAGGGAAUUCGCCGGUCAAGUAGCUUGGGGGCUCACCCGAGAAUGGGCCCAAGUACUUAACACGGUCUGGGCCAUACCAUGGGCUUCCAGAUAGGGCAGGCUUGGAGACAGCCUUUCUCAUAGAGAUCCUUCCAUUUCCACUGAUUUCUGAGUUAGAGGGUGAAAGUUUCACUGCCUGUCCGGCAAAAGAAGGGGAAGAAAGAGCCAUUGUAGAAGCUGCCAUGGUUUAUCUCAAGAGAAAGGAGAGUAUUUGCUGGUUUGAAAUAUUGUUGAAGUUGGCUGUGAUGAGAUGAAGUUACAAGGGGCCUCACUUUACCAUAUUAUAGCAAGUAAGAGGGGAAGAGUCCUUAUCUAGUGAUAUCUAUUUCUAUGAUCUCAUUGGGUAUCAAGAUCCUUUGUCUAGCAAUUAAUGCACACUUGGGUAUCUCCAAUCCAUCAAUUAUCCAAGAUGUUUGCUAAGGGGACCCAUCCAACAUAGUCCUCUCACAUGUGGCUACAAGGCUUGAACAAUAUUCUGUGAUUUGCUGAACUUACAAUGCUGAUAUCUCUUAUCAUAAUCCGUUGAGAAUUGCUCCAGAUUUUAUUUAUCAGCACUACAGCUCAUUCGAGGUAGAACUAUGGUUUACCGUUUCACUAAUUAUAUUCAGGAAAGUUCAUUACUUGAUAUAUAAAUUGUGUAAAAAUUAAUAAUACAUGUUUGGAACUUUAUUAUAUAAGACCUUAAUAUAUAGUAAUAUAAGAGUCAGUAGCAUAGUAAAUUAUUUAACCUGCAAUUCAUAUAAAAGUGAAGAUACUGUUUUGGGGGUUUUACAAAUUUAAUAUUUACAGGUGCAUGCAAAGCAAGAAUAUGAUCUUCCCUUUCAAAACAUUUAACAUAGGUUCAUGCUUGGAUCUUUAUUAAUCUGAUCAUGAAGAGGUAUAUUAAGUUCUAUAUAUGUUGCACUGUUAAUUUCAUGUUUAGAUAUUUAAUGACGGGUUAGAUUCAUUUUAACUACUGCACAGUGCUUAGACUAAUUGGAAAGAACUUGUUCAUGAGCGGGGGUUGGCAAACGGGCGGGUUGACUCAGAUAUAAACAAAUCAAAAAUGAGCCAACAAAAAUGGAUAAAAUAUCCGACCCACCUGUAUUUGAUAUGGAUGAAAAAUGAGAAACCAACGGGAUAUUAUUUCAUAUUAUGUAAAAGAAAUAAGUACUUCCAAUAUGAGAAAGGCAGAGUAUGUACAUGGAUUAAUUAAUUAAUUGGGAUUCACCAGCAGCACAAUAUGACCAAUUAAUUGUGUUAAGGGCAGGAACAUUUGCCAAUAAUGGAUCAGGUUAUUUACGGGUUUGGAUAAAAGGAACUUUAACUUGACACCAAAUUAUAACUAUGUGCUUUUAACUUUGUUAGUACACAAGUAGACCCUUUAACUAUAUAAAAAUCAAAUAAAAAAAUAGUCUAAUUCAGCAACUUACAUGCGUAAAAUUCAAUCACUCCUACGUGGAUUAAUAAUCCACUCAGAUGCUGCCACCUAAUAAAAAAGACGCAUUAUAACUAUGAUCAUUAACUUUGCGCACAAAUAGACGCUUUAAUUAUACAAAAGCUGAAAAAAAAAACACUUCAAUUUUAACUCUGACGCUCGUGAUUUUGAGUGUAUACAUGCAUUUUGCCAGGUUACGAUUGGAGUGUUUGUUUGUUCAACUUUUGUAUUGUUAAAGGCCUACUUGUACAUUGAUAAAGUUAAAGAUCAUAGUUAUAAUUUGAUAUCAAGUUACAUGUUUAUGUACUGAGUUUAAGUUCUGUGCACCGUCAGUGCACAAAAUAUUUUAUACUAUCAGUUAACUUGACCUGCUAUUGCAGGUUACCCAAUUAUUUAUAUAAAAAUUUAAAAAUAAAAAAUUGUUAUUGCAGGUUACCCAAUUAUUUAUAUAAAAAUUUAAAAAUAAAAAAUUAGAUAACCUGCAAUAGCAAGUCAAGUUUACCUAAUAGGAUAGAAUAUUUUGUACACUGAUGGUGCACAAAACUUAAAAAUUUAGGUAUUAUGCCUAUUUACAACUUAUGGAGUAAAUAUAAGUUGUAAAUAUUCUCUUUUUUCACACAGUAAUUUUUAACUUGUAAUAGCUGAUAAGUCCCCGUUGUUACAAGAAACUUUAAGAUUUUUUCCAAAGAUGCAUCAAAUUAAGGACAUAAUUAUAAUGGUCUGGAAACCUAUAUUAUAGCAUGUUGAUUACUACUUGCUAUACCUUCAGACUACAAAACAUAUUGGUUUUCACUUAACAUUGAAAUGCCAAUGGUCUAUAUGGUAGUGAAAUAAUAUUAUGUCCUCUUAAUUGCUCUUUCACUUCCCGAUAGGAAUCACGUAACAACAUCUAUGCUCAACAUUUCUCUGUGCACUAUUCUCUGUGCACUAAUUUAAUGUGUUCCUUCCUGGGAAUUAAUUGAAUUCCAUAACUUCCUGUGGUCAGUAAACUUAAGUUUGAAGCUUAUAACAGCUUUAUAGUUAUUCUAGUUACCACGUCUCAUAUUAAUCUACAGUUUUUCUUUACUAUGUUCUCUUUCUUUAAUUCCCCUUUAGUAUGAAAGUGGCAAAAAAUUUUAUUCAUGACUUUGGAGAAUGUAACUCAGAACUACACAAUUAUUGGAAUAUGAGACAAAAAUCCAUUCUAUUGUCAAGUAACUGCUCAUAACAACUUUACAAGACCAUCAAACAAUGAAAUUUUAAGAUUGUUUUACGAUAUUCAUUUUCCGGGAACAAAGUUUGUGGCGUAGGCCCAGGCAUUGUUGUUAACCGGAUCUGCUAGGUGGUCAGCAAGGUUCUCCAAUGGACCCUUUCCUGUAACAAUGGCCUGAACAAAGAAUCCAAACAUAGAGAACAUAGCAAGUCUACCGUUCUUGAUCUCCUUUACCUUGAGCUCAGCAAAUGCCUCUGGAUCAUCAGCAAGACCCAAUGGGUCAAAGCUGCCACCAGGGUAUAGUGGGUCGACUACCUCACCAAGAGGCCCACCAGCAAUACGGUAUCCCUCAACGGCUCCCAUCAAGACAACUUGGCAAGCCCAGAUGGCCAAGAUGCUCUGUGCAUGGACCAAACUUGGGUUGCCCAAGUAGUCAAGUCCACCCUCGCUGAAUAUCUGGGAUCCAGCCUUGAACCACACAGCCUCACCAAACUUGACACCAUUACGGGCCAAGAGCUCGGGGAAAACACAUCCAAGAGCACCAAGCAUAGCCCAUCUGCAGUGGAUCACCUCGAGUUCACGGUUCUUGGCAAAGGUUUCUGGGUCUGCUGAAAGUCCAGCGGUGUCCCAACCAUAGUCACCAGGGAAUUCACCGGUCAAGUAGCUUGGGGGCUCACCAGAGAGUGGGCCCAAGUACUUAACACGGUCUGGGCCAUACCAUGGGCUGCCAGAUGAGGCAGGCUUGGCAACAGCCUUUCUCAUAGAGAUCCUUCCAUUUCCAGUGAUUUCUGAGGCAGAUGGUGAGAGCUUCACUGCCUGUCCGGCAAAAGAAGGGGAAGAAAGAGCCAUUGUAGAAGCUGCCAUGGCUUAUCUCAAGAGAAAGGUAAGUGUUUGAUGGUAUGAAAUAUUGUUGAAGUUGGCUGUGAUGAGAUGAAGUUACAAGGGGCCUCACUUCACCAUAUUAUAGUAAGUAAGAGGGGAAGAGUCCUUAUCUAGUGAUAUCUAUUUCUAUGAUCUCAUUGGGUAUCAAGAUCCUAUGUGUAGCAAUUAAUGCAUACUUGGGUAUUUCCAAUCCAUCAAUUUUCCAAGAUGUUUGCUAAAGGGACCCAUCCAACAUAGUCCUCUCACAUGUGGCUACAAGGAUUGAACAAUAUUCUGUGAUUUGCUGAACUUACAAUGCUGAUAUCUCUUAUCAUUAUCCGUUGGGAAUUUCUCCAGAUUUCAUUUAUCAGCACUACAGCUCAUUCGAUGUAGAACUAUGGUUUACCGUUUCACUAAAUAUAUUCAGGAAAGUUCAUUACUUGAUAUAUAAAUUGUGCGGAAAUAAAUAAUACAUGCUUAUGUUUGGAAAGAAAUGCGUUUGGAACUUAAUUAUAUAAGACCUGAAUAUAUAUAAGCAAGAGUCAGUAGCAUAGUAAUUAUUUACCUGCAAUUCAUAUAAAAGUGAAGAUACUGUUUUUUGGGGUUUUACAAAUUUAAGAUUGACAAGUGCAGGCAAUGAAAGAAUAUGAUCUUCCUUUUCAAAAUAUUUAACAUAGGUUCAUGCAUGUAUAUUUAUUAAUCUGAUCGUGAAGAGGUAUAUAAAGUUCUAAAUAUGUUGCACUGUUAAUUUCAUGUUUAGAUAUUUAACGACGGGUUAGAUUCAUUUUAACUACUGCACAAUGCUUAGACUAAUUGGAAACGCGCAGAUUGAGUCGGAUAUGGACAGAUCAAAAAUGAGCUAGUGAAAAUGGAUAAAAUAUCUAAUUCACCCGUAUUGAUAUGGAUGAAACAUGAGAAACCAACGGAUAAUAUGGAUAUUAGUUCAUAUUAUGUAAAAGAAUAAGUACCUCCAAUAUGAGAAAGGCAGAGUAUGUACAUGGAUUAACUAAUUAAUUGGGAUUCAUCAGCAUCACAAUAUGACCAAUUAACUUUACGAGAAUUGUGUUAAGGGCAAGAGCAUUUGCCAAUGAUGGAUCAAGUUAUUUACAUCUUAUGCCUUAUGGUGUAAAUAUAAGUUGUAUAUAUUUUCUUUUUGGCAUGAUACACAAAUAUGAUCCUAAACUUAUAUCAAAUUAUAACUUUGACCUUAAACUUUGAUAGUGCACAAAUAGGACCUUUAACUAUUCAAAAUUUGAACAAAUAUGACCUCCGAUUUUGCAACCUCCAUGCGCGAGUUUCACUCGCGCCUAUGUGGAAAGCUCAUCAAUCACACGGUGCCACGUCGUUAAAAGGGCUGACUUGGAGGGAGGUCAUAUUUGUGCAAUUUUGAAUAGUUAAAGAUCAUAUUUGUGCACUGUCAAAGUUUUGCUUUUUGUGUUAAAACAACGUUGUUUUAUUAUUAUUAUUAUUAUUAUUAUUAUUAUUAUUAUUAUUAUUAUUAUGAAUAUUACUAUUUAUUUUUUUAAUUUUAUUUAUUUAUUUCUAUAGCAGCUAGGGGUGGGCGUUCGGUAUUCGAUAUUCGGUUCGGUAUUUUCAAAUUUCGGAUUCGAUAAUUUGGUAAUUGGUAUUUGAACGUAGAUACCAUAUACCAUACUAAUAAAUAUCGAUUCGGUAAUCGAUAAAUUAAAUUUCGGUUCAGUACGGUAUUUGGUAAUACCAUAUUAAAAUUGAAGAUGUGCAAAUAUACAUUUAAACUUCAAAGAGUAUAUUUAAAAGAAACCCUAUUUAGCAUUAUUUUGUUGCUUUUUACGAAUAUAUUAUCAAGGUCUAAGAGAUUCUUUGAGAUGACUAAUACUAUUGUUUAUUGGGUUGGUUAGACAUAUAGUAUAUAUAUAUAUAUAUAUAUAUAUAUAUAUAAUUCGGUAUUCGGUAUUUACCGAAUACAAAACGGUAUUAAUAUCUUGUACCAAAUUCAAUCCCGAAAUAUUAAAAUUUUAUUCUCAAAUACCAUACCAAAUACAAAAUUUUUUGAUUCGGUUCGGUAAUUCGAUUUUCGGUAUUUUAUGCCUAGCCCUAAUAGUAACAACACCUAACUUUUUUUAAUUAAAAAAAAAAAACCACUAGCAGGGAUCGACCCCACGCAGUAGGUUGAAGGAAGCACCCAAGAAGAGCAAAUAACACCACUGGAUUAUCUAAGUGCAAUGUUUCAUGUGGUUCAACAUUAAUAUACGUACAUAAAUAUAGAUUAUCUACCUUAUAUAUACAACAUAAUUUUUUUACCGAGGGGGUUCGGGUGAAUCCCAUGGCGACCACGUAGGUCCGCCCCUGCGUUAAUUUAAUAACGUUAAUUUAAUAACAUUUUAAUAACGUUAAUUUAAUAUACUACUAUUAUUAUCUUUAAUAACGUUAAUUUAAUAACAUUUUAUUAAAACUAUAAUUUUUUUAUUAUUAGUAUAGUUUCAUCUUUAAUUUAAUAUUUAAAUAAAUUAUAUUUCGAUAUAUUAUAUAACAUAAAUUCUCCCUCUGCUUUAUAAUAUGUAUAUAUACCCGCAAUUUUUUCGUAUGAGGCUAACCCACUUAAUUAAUAAAUCUUCAAUAUUGCACUUUUUCCGCAAUGACAAAAGAAAUUGAAUGUCAUUUUCAUCUUUGAGCUGAAAAUAAUGAAAAAUAAUAGUGAAAAGUCAUUUAAAGAUUAUAUUUGUGCAGUUUUGAAUAGUUAAAAGCCACAUUUAUGCACUCUCAAAAUUUAAGGUCAAAGUUAUAAUUUGGUGUCAAGUUUAGAAUCACAUUUAUGUAUUAUGUCCUUAGAUUUUAAACAGGACGCGCCCAAUUUUGCAUGUUGAACACGCAUUUUACCACAUAGGACCGAAGGUUAUAUUUAUGUAAUUUUAAAUAGUUAAAAAUUAUAUUUUUGCACUAUCAAAAUUUAAGGUUAAAAUUAUAAUUUGAUGUUAAAUUUAAGGCUUUAUGUAUUAUGCCUUUCUUUUUUCACACCAUCAUUAAAUUUUAAGUUGUAAUAGUAGAUAAGUCACCAUUGUUACACGAAACUUUUAGAUUUUUUCCAAAGAUGUUAAUCAAACCAAGGACAUAAUUAUAAUGGCCUGGAAACUUAUAUUAUAGCAUUUUAAUUACUACUUGCUAUACCUUCAGACUACAAAACAUAUUAGUUUUCACUUAUCAUUGAAAUGUCAAUGGUCUAUAUGGUAGUGAAACAACAUUAUGUUCUCUCAAUUGCUCUUUCACUUCUCUACUGGAAACAUAUAAUAACAUCAUAUUGCUCAACAUUUCUCUUUGCACUAAUUUACUGUGUUCCUUCCUGAGAAUUAAUUGAAUUCCACAAGUUGCUGUGGUCAGUAAACCUAAGUUUAAAGCUUAUAACAGCUUUAUAGUUUUUCUAGUUAUCAUAUCUCAUAUGUAUCUACCAUUUUUCUUUACUAUGUUCUCUUUCUUUAAUUCCCCUUUGAGAUGAAAGGGGCAAAAAAUUUUAUUCAUGGCUUUGGAAAAUGUAACUCAGAACUACACAAUUAUUGGAAUAUGAGAAAAAAAUCCAUUCUAUUGUCAAGUGACUGCUCAUAACAACUUUACAAGACCAUUAAACAAUCAAAUUUUAAGAUUUUCAUUUUCCGGGGACAAAGUUUGUGGCGUAGGCCCAGGCGUUGUUGUUAACUGGAUCUGCAAGGUGGUCAGCAAGGUUCUCCAAUGGACCCUUUCCAGUAACAAUGGCUUGAACAAAGAAUCCAAACAUAGAGAACAUAGCAAGUCUACCGUUCUUAAUCUCCUUUACCUUGAGCUCAGCAAAUGCCUCUGGAUCAUCAGCAAGACCUAAUGGGUCGAAGCUGCCACCGGGGUAGAGUGGGUCGACGACUUCACCAAGAGGCCCACCAGCAAUACGGUAUCCCUCAACGGCUCCCAUCAAGACAACUUGACAAGCCCAGAUGGCCAAGAUGCUCUGUGCAUGAACCAAGCUUGGGUUGCCCAAGUAGUCAAGUCCACCCUCGCUGAAGAUCUGGGAUCCAGCCUUGAACCACACAGCCUCACCAAACUGGACACCGUUACGGGCCAAGAGCUCGGGGAAAACACAUCCAAGAGCACCAAGCAUAGCCCAUCUGCAGUGGAUCACCUCGAGUUCCCGGUUCUUGGCAAAGGUUUCAGGGUCUGCUGAAAGUCCAGCGGUAUCCCACCCAUAGUCACCAGGGAAUUCACCAGUCAAGUAGCUUGGGGGCUCACCAGAGAAUGGGCCCAAGUACUUAACACGGUCUGGACCAUACCAUGGGCUGCUAGAUGCGGCUGGCUUGGAGGCAGUCUUUCUCAUGGAGAUCCUUCCAUUUCCAGAGAUUUCUGAGUCAGAUGGUGAGAGCUUCACUGCCUGUCCGGCAAAAGAAGGGGAAGAAAGAGCCAUUGUAGAAGCUGCCAUGGUUUUUCUCAAGAGAAAGGUAAGUGUUUGAUGGUAUGAAAUAUUGUUGAAGUUGGCUGUGAUGAGGUGAAGUUAAUUACAAGGGGCUUCACCAUAUAUAGGAGGAGUAAGAGCGGUAGAGGCCUUUAUCUAACGAUAUCUACAUCUUUUUCUUUUGGUGUUAACGAUAUCUGUAUCUGUGAUCUCAUUGGGUAAUAAGAUCACAUGUGUAGAAAUUAAUGCACACUUGGCAAUCUCCAGACUCCAAUCCAUCAAUUUUCCAAGAUGUUUACUAAAAGGACCCAUCCAAUAUUGUCCGCCUUAGUGUGGCUACGAGGUUAUUGACUCUAUUCUGUGAUUCGUUGAGCUUACACUAAGAUAUCUCUUAAAGAGCCAUAGUAGCAGCUGCCAUGGUUUAUAAAGAGGAAAGUGAGGGGGUUACUAGUUUGAUAUGUCAAAGUUGGUUGUGAUGAGCUGAAGUUUGUUGGGGUUCAGAAUAUAUAGCAAGGAAGAUGGGAAGGGUCCUUAUCUAGUGAUAUCUAUAUCUAUGAUCUCAUUGGCUGCCAAGAUUACUCUUCAUGCACACUUGGCAGUCACAAAUCCAUCAAUCCUCCAAGAUUUUUACAAGGGGGACCAACAAAUGUUGUGUGGCUACAAAGAUUGCUCUCUGUCUUGUGUGUUGUUUGGCUAACAGUAAGACAUCUUCUACUUUUUCAUUGGGUAAUUGUUUAGAUAUUUUUCUGCCGGCAUGGUAAAAGACACCACCAAUUACAGGUAUUUUCAAGUAAUUACAGUUCAAAUUUAUCCCUUCUUAGUGGGAAAUCAAAAGCUGAAAAAGAAAAAGAACCACUUGGUUAGUUCAUUGUCAUGGUUCUGUUUAAAAAAAAAACUGAUAUUAGCUGUGAAAUUUGUCGGUAAUCCAUCACUAAAUUGCUGGUUGCUAUUUAACUAUGGAAUUUCUCUGUUGCUGAUUACUAUUUCUUUUUGUAGCAGUAGGCAUAUAAUUCACAAUUCAUACAGGUGGUCCUGCCUAGGCACACACAAACAUGUGAAAUGCCAAUGCUAUCAAAAUGUGAUCCACCAGCUGAACAGAGAAAUAAGGACCUAGUGCCAUGCCAGCCCAACCAUAUUUAUUCUCUUAUGUUUGGUUACCUAUAGAGGUUUUUUUCUCUUUUAAUACUCCCUCCAUCCCAUUUUAUCAAUCCCAAAUUGGGAUGGCACAGCUAUUAAAAAAAAAAAAGGUAAUGUAACUUUACUAUUUUGUUCCUUUUAAUUAUGUUUUGUUAUUAGUUCUAAUAUUGAUAGAUGACUAAUAACAAGGAGUAAUCAAUUACAUUAAGGGUAUAAUGAGCAAAAAAAAAUUGUUUUGUCUUGAUAAGUAAAAAAGGACAAGUAAAAUGGGACAUCAAAUUAGGAAAUUUGAGACGGAUAAAAUGGGACGGAGAAAGUAUCUUAUAUAUUACUCUAUCUAAAGUAGCUCUAGGGCAAUAUCAAUCCACCACAAUGAAAUGGAGACCAAAGAAAUUUGGAUGAAAUUUGAUUUUUCUCAUCUGGUGAUUCAACUAAUUAUUACUAUUUCAGUAAGUCUGAAAGGAGAAAAAGGUUUGUGUGACAAACCUCAUAGGUAAAACAUUGAGGAUAAGGAAGGGUUGAUUUCUCAAAUAAUCAUCCACUUUCUUUGUUGAAAAAAAUUGGAAUCGAGAAGGCACCUUUCUAAGAUAAUAACUUAUUUUUCACCGUUAUACGUAAACAAAUAAAUACUCUUUCCACAAAACUUCAGCAGUUAUGUUUUCUCCCAGUUCCAUUAUUCAAUAACUCUUAUUAGCAAAUAUAUGAUCCAAGGUAUAAAACAGACACCAGGGAAGUCACUUGCAUUGAUAGAUCAUCAUUCAACCUUCUAAAAUCAAUUUUGGAUGCUUUAAGUUCAUUGAGUAGUAUGAAGUACAAACGCUAGCAUAAAAGAGAAUGUGAAGAAUACUAGAUCAAGUUAAAGCAAUCAAAUAAAAGAUAGCUCAACGCCAAAAUAUUAUUUCAGCACAAAGGGAUUGGAAAGUUAAAGGGCAUAUCAAUUAUUGAACUUUCGAAGAACAUUAGGUGGUUCAAAAUUUUUAAAGGCAUUAGCUGAACAGACUCUUGAAAUCCAAAUGAAGUUGUAAAUUCUAGUGUUGAUCUUUUACACAUAUUAGUUUUACUAAAUGAAUGAUAAAAUUGAACCAAAUCAACCUCAUUUCUAGGGAAUUAAAUAAAAGGAACUUGGUCUUUCCGGUAUUAAAAUUCAACUAUCCACCACUGACAACGGAAUACAACAUAACCAUGGUAACCUCACAAUGCAAUUCCGCAAAUGCUACUGCUGAUUUCAUUUUACUUUUGACCUUCUUUCUAAAUAUGUUUUGUUUCAAAUUAGUUGUCCACUUUCACAAAUCAAGAGUGUUAUAUUACUUCUUUUCCAUAUUAUCCUUAGUAUUAAAUAGCUAAAAAAAAUACUCCUUCCGUUUUGAAUUAGUUGGUCCGUAUGGCGUUGACACCUCCAUUAACAGCCCAAUAAUUAGAAGUGUAUUUUACUCUUUUACUCUUAUUUGCAUUUUAAAGUUCAAUAAUUAAUGCAAUAAUUAAACAUAGAAAUUUGGUGCAAUUACUCCAUUUCAUGCAUGCACCAACUGCUUGUUUGUGAUUGCUUAUUUCCUGCCAAAAGCACUUAUUUUGAGAAAAAAAUAUCUUUUUUAAAAGAAGGGUGUUUGGUAAACCCGCAAAAGUGUUUUUAAAAAUAAGCAGAAACAGUUUUCUAUUUCUGGGAAGAAACAAAAAAAAAAUUACUUUUAAAAAAAACAGAAGUAAAAAAAUAUUUUUUUAUGAUAAAAAUAUUUCCAUCACACACACAUCCCUUGUUAAUUAAUUAACAUAUCUUAUAAAUUUGAUUAAAAUUUAAUUUUAAAAUUUUAUAUUUCAUAUUUACAUCAUAAUUUCUUAUGAUUUAUAUAUUGUUAUUUUAUUUUGACUCAUUUUCUUCAUAUAAAUUUGAAAAUAUUCAUUUUUGUUUGAUAUUUUUAAGUAAUGUUUAAAUUAUUUAAAUAAUAUAUCACUAUUUAAUAUUUUUUAAUGUAUUAAUGUAUAUAAAUAUUCGUUGUAAAUUUUAGAAUAUGUACUUUUUAAUUAAAUAAAUAUAAAACUUUAAUUAAAAAUAUUAUAAUNNNNNNNNNNNNNNNNNNNNNNNNNNNNNNNNNNNNNNNNNNNNNNNNNNNNNNNNNNNNNNNNNNNNNNNNNNNNNNNNNNNNNNNNNNNNNNNNNNNNNNNNNNNNNNNNNNNNNNNNNNNNNNNNNNNNNNNNNNNNNNNNNNNNNNNNNNNNNNNNNNNNNNNNNNNNNNNNNNNNNNNNNNNNNNNNNNNNNNNNNNNNNNNNNNNNNNNNNNNNNNNNNNNNNNNNNNNNNNNNNNNNNNNNNNNNNNNNNNUGUAUUCAUUUUUGUUUGAUGUUUUAAGUAAUGUUUAAAUUAUUUGACCAAUAUAUCACCAUUUAAUUUUUUAAUGUAUUUAUAUAUAUAAAUAUUAAUUAAAAAUUUUAGAGUACAUGCUUUUUAAUUAAAUUUAAAAAGAUUAAUUAAAAAUAUUAUAAUAGAUAUUUAAAAUAAAUUUUCUUUAUAAAUUGAUUUUAGUAAUAAAAGUCAUUUGAUACAUGUCUUUUUUGGUUAUUUGUUUAAAAAAAAAAAAACACUUCUUGAAAAAAACUAUUCAAACACAAUUUGUUUAUCAAAAAAACUUUUCAAAUGAAUUUAUCAAACAAAAAUUAUUAUUUUCAAAAACACUUUUCUGAUCCUGGAUAGGAAGGUGUGGAGGAGGCGAAUUAGGGCAGAAGGUUAGUCUGGGUUAGGAUAUUGUAUGUUUUGAUGUAUACUUGGAGUAUCUUGCUUUAGGUAUUAUUGUGUAUGCUAAUUUCAAUUGCAUCUUGUUCUAUUACUAUUCCUUAUCUUAUCCUAGAUUGCUAUAUUUUAAGUCGGGGGUCUCUUGGAAACAACCUCUCUAUCUCACAAUUGAGGUAGUGGUAUAGACUUCAUACACUUACCCUCCCCAGACCCUACUUGAUGAAAAUAUACUUGUUAUUGUUGUUGUUUCUCAAAUAAACAGUUUUAUAACAGCAAUUUCAAACGGACUCCAAGUCUAGAACCUACAAAUUUAGAAUUGAAACUAUAAUGAUAGUUUUGAAAAUGUAAUAUUAUUUAAUUUCAAUAAUCUUGAAAAAUAAAUAGUAUUGAUUUAUAACUUGCACAAUUAAAAUGGAAUAAAUACUUUUAGCAAGAAGGCCAAUUAAUUCAAAAUGGAGAGUAGUAGUAAUAGUUUGAGCCCGUUUGAAAUUACUGUUACAAAAUUACUUAUUUGAGAAAUACUUUUAUAAAAUAACUUUUCAAAAAAUUACUUUUCGAGAAAAGCAAUUUGUGUUUGGGAAAUUCAUUUGAAAGUACUUUUGAUAAACAAACUGUGUUUGAAUAAUCUUUUUCAAUAAGUGUUUUUUUGGGGAUAAAUGAUCAAAAAGGACAUGCAUCAAUAGAUUUUAUUACUAAAAUUAAUUUAUAGAGAAAAAUUAUUUUAAAUAUCUAUUAUAAUAUUUUUUUAAUUAAAAAAUAUUUUUAUUUGAUUAAAAACUACGUACUCUAAAAUUUUCAAUCAAUAUUUAUAUAUAAAUACAUUAAAAAUACUUAAAAUGAUAUAUACUUAAAUGAUUUAAAUAUUAUUUAAAAAUACCAAAUAAAAAUAAAUAUAAAAAUUAUUCCAUAAAUUAAAUCACUACAUCUGAACAAACUAACGACAAAAAUAAUUAGUCUUUCAUACAUCACAAAAAUUUUAAAUGAUUUUAUUCCUAAUUUUAUCAUGCAAUAUCUCCAUACUAGUAGAAGAUCUGUUUUGUAUUUCUAAAGAUAUAUCAAAAUGCUCAUGUCCUUCUAUGAUCUUUGUGAUGAUGUCUUCGUUAACAUAAUAGUUAAAUUAUUUAUCAAUAAUAGAGCGUUGUCGUAUGAAAUAAAGUAUAGCCAUAGUAGUUGUAACAAGAUAAACUUGAUUGUCGAAUUUAAAAGAUGGCAUUGAACAUAAAAAAAACAAAUUUAUUUUUUCAAGCUCCAAAUAUUCUUUUAGUUGUACAUCUCAAACUGGAGUGAAAGAAAUUGAAAGUCUUAUUUGAAUUUUUGAAGUUAGAGUUACAUCUGAAACCAGGGAGAUGAUAACGGUCCCCUUUAUAUAUGAUCCUAAAUAACUAAUCUUCGUUGAAUAAUUUGAGUCCACUAAAUAAUAUUUAUCUACACUAAAAAAUUAUGAAACCAAUCGUUGUUAGAUAAUUCGAGUCCAUUAAAUAAUAUUUAUCUACACUAAAAAAUUAUGAUGUAAAUAUAAAGUAUAAAAUUUUAAAAUUAAACUUUAAUCAAACUUAUAUAUGUGUGUGUGAUAGGAAUAUUUUUGUCAUGAAAAAAAUAAUUUUCUGUUUCUGUUUUUUUGUAAAACAAAAAUUUUCUGCUUCUUUCCAGAAGCAAAAAAAUUGCUUAUACUUCACUCUACUUUCUAAAAGAAUGUCUUUUUCUCUUAUUUAUAAGAGGCAGUUUAGCAGCUUAAGCAGGCAAGAGGUCGAUAUGCCUGCUUCAGCUGCUUCAAUUAUGAAUUUACAAUAUUAUUCCUAAUUAAUUAUUAUAAGUCAUUUAUGUAUUAAAAAUAAUAAUAUUUAAUAAAAAAAUAAAAUAAAAAUUUAUGACAUGUCUGCUUCAGCUGCUUCAAUCGUAAUUUUACGACAGCACUCCUAAUUAAUUAUUAUAUCCCUAAUUAAAUAUUAUAAGGCAUUUACAUAAUAAAAAAAAUAAUAAUAUUUAAUUAGAAAAAAUAAAAUAGAUAUUUAUGAAAUGUCUGCUUCAGCUACUUCUACCAUAAUUUUACUGUAUCACCCUUAAUUAAUUAUUAUAAGUAAACUAAACAUUAAAAAAUUAAUAAUAUUUAAUAAAAAGGUAAAAUAGACAUAAACUGGAAAUUAACUAUUGAUGUUCUAAAUUAACUUGACGACUUAUAUGAGACUUUCUUAAACUUUUUUCACAGGUAUUUCUUUAAAGUAAUUUUGAUAAAUGGAGUUCAUCAGCUGAAGCAGGCAGCAAAUCGAUAUGUCUGUUUCAGCUGUUUCAAUCGUAAUUUUAUUGUAUCACCACUAAUUAAUUAUUAUAAGUCAUCUGCUUCAAUCGUGAUUUUACUAUAUCACCCAUAGUUAAUUAUUAUAAGUCAUCUAAGUAUUUAAAAAAUUAAUAAUACUUAAAAAAAAAAACAGAUAUAAAAGAUAAUUUUACUAUGUCACUUCUAAUUAGUAGAAUGGAUGAAAAAAUAUUAUAAAUCACAAUAAUUUAAAACUUAAAUUAUUUUUAAAAUAUAAUUGACUAUCAAUGCCACAAAAAAAUGAACAAGGAAAGUAACAUAUAUUAUUUGAAAAUUACAUAAAAAAAUACUAAAAAUUACAAUAGUUAACAACUUAAAAUAUUUAAAACAUAUUAAAAUUAUGAUUAAUUAUAUAAAUUUUAUCUGUAUCACAUAAAUUGAAGCAAAAAAAAAUAAUUUAUGUAUCUAGUUCUUAAAAUAAGUAGUACUAUUGUUUUAGAAAACUAAGCAAUCCCAAACAAACACUUAACCACUCAAAACGUGGUAGUGUGCAAAAAUCGAACCAACCGAUAAAUCGAACCGAUAAAAAUGCUAUUGGGCUAUUGGUAUUGGUUUAUUUGGUUAAUGGGUUUUUAUUGGUUUUAUAAAAAAAUUUAUUGGGUAAACGGUUCGAUUUUGAUUUUAGCUUAUUGGGUUAUCGGUUAAACCGAUAACCUUAACCGAUAACCCAAUAAGGAUUCACUAAAUUAUUAUUUUAUUCCUAUUUAUGUUAUAUACAUAAAUAUCUAAAUUACUUCUAUAUCUAUCUAUCUCUAUAUGCACUAUUUAUUCACAAUUCAGUGAUUCACAAAGUAUUAAGCUAUUCAGUGCAACAAAGGAACAAUAUAAAGCUCGAGUAUUAUCGUAUUAGAAAGCUUGAAGCAUUUAGUAGUUUCCAACAAUUAGGAUUUAGUUUUUUUCCAAACUAACAUUCAGUUCAAGUUUGAAGAUUCUUGUAAAUUAAAAUGCAUUGUAUAGGAUUUUAGUGGUAACUAAGAUUUUAUUUUUUAUGUGAGUUGUUACUAUUUUUAUUUUAUGAGUAUUUUCUUAUUAGUUAAAUAAAAAACAAACUAUUAAGAACCAAAAACUGAUAAAUCGAAACCGAUAAAAACGUAUCUUAUUGGUUGGAUAUUGAUUCAAUUGUCCUCUUCAGCAGUUGGCGCUCUUUUCAUUCCUUUCUCUUCUUUACCCUAACCCUAAAUCCCAAAUUCAAAUUCUGAUUCUGCCAAAAAAAAAACACAGAAGAAAUGCAAAGACCUUCUCCACAUUCCAAUUUCUUCUCUUCUCUCAAACAAUUGGAGAAAAGAUUGAAACUUGAGAACAACCCAUCUCAAAAAGAAGCUAUCAACACACCGACCCAGUCUCUGAUGAGCCCAUUGUACCUCAACUGUGAUGACUCCAUCACCAGCAACACAAACCUCAAAGAAAGCGAAACCCCACUUCGGUUUCUCUCUAAUUCCCCGCUUGACCAAGAAACCCCACCUCACAUAAGUCCUAAACAAGUUCAAGAAAGAGUUGGUGUGGUUGAAGCUGAUGGCGAUGGGGUUGAUGAGAUUCAACUGUUGAUGCAGCUAUUGGGUUUAACGGAUCGUAAAAGGGAGGGAUCCAAGAAGAUGGAAGUGGAAUUUGGUUGUGAUGAUGCAUUUUAUGGAAAGGUUGUUGGGGUUAAGGGACCAAAAAGUGAAAAAGAAGUGGAGAGGUUACAAGGUUGGAUUGAGCAUUUUAUGGAUAGGAAUAGUGGAGAGCGGAGAGAAUCGUUCAGGUUGGCUCAUCUGCUUUUAGGCAAAGCUGC
rnacentral:lncRNA from 1 species